rnacentral:lncRNA from 1 species
AAAGGAAAUACCUCCAUAUUGCGCUUGUGGGGGUUUGAACUACUACCCUCCAAAUUGGAGGGCAGCAGCCCUAACCACUCGGGUAGGGAUGGCAAUGGGCACCGCCCGCAGUGGGUUUGUCAUUACCAAAUUCAAACCCACACAAAUUUUAAAUUACUAAACUCACCCGUAACCCGCAUCAGAUUUUAAUUUUUUUUAAGAAAACCCACCUGUUGCGGGUCUUGAUAAUUAUCAAACCCGCAAUGGUAUCCAGCGAAUUUUUUGCGGGUUUGUACAUUUAAAAUCACAAAUGUUCAAUAUAUAAAUUUACAAUAAUAACCUCAAAUUCCACAUAACAUACUCAAUUUAAAAUUUAACCAAUGUAAAUAAAAAAAAUUAAAAUUUCAACAUCAAUCCAAUAUAAAUUCUCAAAUUUAAGUAUAAAAUAUACAAAUUCAUUAAAAAAAACCACAAACUAGUAUAUAAACAUAACAAUUACAUUUCAUAUUAUCGUUCAACACAAGCUCCAAGAGAAGAUUUCAUUUCAUUCACCAUCAUUAGCACCCAUCCAACAUGAUGCCUACAAUAAUGAUUAAGAUUAAUAUUUUUCAAAGAAUAAUAUUAGAAAAUCUGAAAAAAAUUAUAAUAAUGAAAUAAUUCAUGCAUUAAGUUAAAGAAAAAUAGUCCGUACAAAAACACUUUGAUUAUUUGGCACUUUUCAAGUAAAUAUUUCAAAAAACAUUGCGGGUUUAGCGGAUAUCCAUGCAAGUAUCUAUCGGAUAUUUAGUUAAUACCAAACUCAUCCGCAUCCAAGUGCGGAUUCCAAUUUAUAAUACCAAACCCACCCAUAACCCGCAAAAUUAUCCACAACGGGUGGGUUUUGGCGGAUUUGUGGGUUUGUUGGUACAAUUGUCAUCCCUACACUCAGCCAAAGGCCGAGUGGCAUGUACAAACUUGUGACUUAAAAUCAUCAACUUGGAACAUAGCGUAGUGGAAGAGUUGAGACUUCAACGAGGUAAUUGUUUAGUUAUCCAAAGGUAAUAACCACUUCUCAAUUGAUUCAUGGCUGCAUGGAAAAUCUAAGUAAAGCAUAUAUGCACCGAUUCCAUCAAAGGCAAAGCUGUUUACUUCAAUCUUACAAUAAUUUACAUGGUGGGUCAUAUAAGUUGUAACGUGUAACGUUUUGUUUCUACUGUCCAUCUUUAUGAUCUUGAGGACUUAAUAAGUGGGUGGAAUUAUUUUAAGAGAUGUUGAGAGUUGUUUGGACUUUCUCUUUUCAUGUCGAGAGUUCCUUUACUCUAGGUAUAAUUAUUGUCCUUGUUGCUUAUAGAAGUUUUUGCGAUCCUUAAUAAACUUGUGACUUUUAGUUUAUUAAUUAGUUCUUUAAACUUGUGACAUAGAAUGAAUUUCUUGCGCAUUAAUAAAAAAGCUUAGCUCAUAGUAAACUUGUGACAUUACCUUUAUUACUUGAAACAUUAGCAAAUAUACUUGAAAAAAAAUAGUAUUUUUUAUAACUUGUGACCUAAUAAACUAAUAACUAUAAAAAAAAAAAAAUUAGCAUACAUACUAAGAAAGUGUGAUUCUAACAAAAGUUUACGUACUUGAAAAGAAUGGAAUUUUGUACAAACUUGUGGCUUAAAAUCACCACCUUGGAGCAUAGCGUAAUGGAAGAGUUGAGACUUCAGCUAAGUAAUCGUUUAGUUAUCAAAAAAUAAUGACCACUUGUCAAUUGAUUUAUGACUACAUGGCAAAUCUAAAUAAAACAUAUAUGCACCAGUUCCAUCGAAGGCAGAGCCGUUUACUCAAUCUUACAAUAUUUUACAUGGUGAGUCAUAUAAGUUGUGAUGUGUAACGUUUUGUUUCUGUUGUCCAUCUUUAUGAUCUUAAAGACUUGGUAAGUGGGUGGAAUUAUUUCUAAGAGAUGUUGAGAGUUGUUUGGACUUUCUCUUUUCAUGUCGAGAGUUACUUUAUUCUAGCUAUAAUUAUUGUCCUUGUUGCCUAUAAAAGUUUUUGGGAUCCUUAAUAAACUGGUAACUUUUCCUUUAUUAGUUAGUUCCUUAAACUCAGUGACAUAGAAUGAAUUGCUUGUGCACUAAUGAAAAAGCUUAGUUCAUAGUAAACUUGUGACAUUACCUUUAUUACUUGAAAUAAUAGCAAAUAUACUUGAAAAAGAUAGUAAUUUUUAUAACUUGUGACCUAAAAAACCAAUAACUAGAAAAAAAAAAAUGGCAUACAAUCCAAGAAAGUUGUGAUUCCAACAAAAGCUAACGUACUUGAAAAAAAAUAGAAUUUUGUAUAAACUUGUGACUUGAAAUCAUCAACUUAGAACAUAGUGUAGUGGAAGCGUUGAACUUUAAAAAAAUAGAAUUUUGUAUGAACUUGUGACUUGAAAUCAUCAACUUAGAACAUAGUAUAGUAGAAGAGUUGAGACUUCAACCAAGUAAUAGUUUAGUUAUCGAAAAGUAAUGACCACUUGUCAUUGAUUUAUAGCUGCAUAGCAAAACUAAGUAAAUCAUAUAUGCACCAAUCCCAUCAAAAGCAGAGUUGUUUACUUUAAUCUUACAAUAAUUUACGUGGUGGGUCAUAUAAGUUGUAUGUUUUGUUUCUGCUGUCCAUUUUUAUGCCUUUGAGGACUUAAUAAGUGGGUGAAAUUAGUUCUAGAGAUGUUGAGAGUUAUUGGACUUUCUCUUUUCAUGUCGAGAGUUGCUUUACUCUAGGAAUAAUUAUUGUCUCUAUUCCUUAUAAAAGAAAAGGGAAUAAUUAUUGUCUCCACUUCUGAAUUGAUUAUAUUUAAAUGAUUUUUUUAAUUUUAAUCUUAAAUUACUUUAUUUUUAUUCAAAAAAUAAGAAAAAAUAAAGGUAGGUUGAUGAAUUAAUUUUUUAUGUUCUCAAUAAAAAUAAGAGUAAAUUAAGAUUUUUAAAAAUAAGAAACUAUUUAAAAAUAAUCAAUUCAUGAUAAGUGACAGCAAAAGAAAUAAUCAUAAAAUUAUAUAGUAUUUAACAUAUUUUUUCAAUUAAUUAUAAUAUUAUAUAGUGCUAACCUAUUCUUUUAUUAUUUUUUCAAUUAAUUGUAAUAUUAUAUGAUGUUAGUAUGCAUUAUUAUCAAGGCAAUGGUUUUGUUAGAGAUACUCUCCUGUGGCGUACUUCUUCAUAAGUACACAAUUAAAUAAUAUAGAAUAAAAACCACGAUAUAAUUUUAACCGGACCGUAUUAUCAAUUAUGAAAGAAAACAAAAGAACCUUUCCUAUUUUCCAAAAUCGAAGGGAUAAGGCAAAAAUCUAGUCCUUGUAGACUUUGCGGUCUAAAAUCAUCACGUUAUUUGCUUACAGCAAAGACUCAGAUGGUCUCAAAGAAGUAAAAACACAAAACAGAAUUUUCUACCAUGCAUUAUGUUAGGUCGCGUGUAAUAAAAUAUUUUAAAAAGAUACAGACCGCUGGAUUUGAUGCCUCAUACAAUCAGCGGCUUGAAGUUGUCUUGAAAUAUAAUUGGGAGUUUGCGGGCAACCGAUAGCAACAAUAUACCUAAAAAAACGAGAAAGUCAAUGUACUGCUCUUAGAAAUUGGUGACUAUUGUUUCUCUUUCUUUUUCGGGUCUGCCUCAAUGGAACCGAUGCAUAUACUUAGAUUUGACGUGCAGCCAUAAAUCAAUUAAUACGUGGUCAUUACUUUUUGAUAAACGAUUAUUCGGUUAAAGUCUCAUCUCUUCUGCUACUUUAUCUAAGCACCUUCACUAAUAUUUGAAAUAUAUCAGUUUUACUCACAUUUCAUAAAAAAAUUAUUUAUCCAUAAUUUCUUUCAGGAUUCAAAAGCAGCUCUAACCAUUUGGUUAAAGGCCAAAUGACUUAACUUUUGAUGGAAUCACAACUUUCUUAAUAUAUAUGUCUUUUUUUUUAAGUUAUUAAUUUUAGAUCACAAGCUAUAAAAAAAAUAUUUUUUUUUAAAGUAUGUUUGUUAUUGUUUCAAGUAAUAAAGGUAAGUAACAAAUUUACUAUGAGUUAAGGUUUUUCGCUAGUACACGAGCAAUUCAUUCUACGUCACAAGUAUAAAUAAACUAACUAAUGAAUAAAAAGUCACAAUUUGACAAUUUUAUGAAGGAGCCCACUCAAUAUUUGCAGAAGAUUUUUUUUUUUUCAUUUACAAUAACUCAAGAUUAUUAUAACAUCAAAUAGUGAUCAAUGUAUGAAAUAUAUUUUUAAUUAGAAACAAUGACGAUUAUAUUGUACAGUCAAUUAGGGAUUAAUUUAAUUAUUUAAUGACUAAAUUAUUUAACAGCUAUUUCUGAAAGUCUGUUCGUCUAUUUUCCGAGUAGUAUAUAUGAAGUCACAGCUUACACUAAUAAUGGUAAUUCCUCUUGCUAGUGAGACUGUAAAAAAAAAAAUUGAGAAUUUUUUUUUGGUUUCCUUUUUUGUUUCAUCCUUGUUGUCCCAACUCUUUAUGUGCUUCUCACAACUAUAUUAUUCAAUGAUCCAAUUUCUUAUAUAUCUAUCCCACUAAAACUUAUUGUUCACAGAUCUCUCUAUUAAAACCCAAGUUCCAAAGUUUGUUUCAUUUUUAUAUCAAUUAAAAGUUGUAUGUAUCACAGGUUAUAAAAGGAACAAAUUUUCCGAAGUUUGUCUCUCAUUGUUUCAAAUAGAAAAUUUUAUGUCACUAAGUUAUCAAAACAGGAUCAAGUUUUUUAUCACUUAGUUUCGUAUUAAAACCUAAUAUUAGGCGGGCAUUAUGCCGCUAUUUUACAGCAUAAACUUUAGGCGGCUAUUAUGCAAAACUUAUAAAUAUGAGGUGAUCAUUUUGCCGCUAUUAUACAACUCCUAUGGAGGUAUAAUUUCUUUUUUUUUUCUUUUUAGUUUUUUUCUGUGUUAGGCUUCCCAGGCUUAUUUUUAUCGGGAUUUAGUUGAAUAUUUAUGUGGGUUUAUAUGUAAAUUGUGUCAUAUAUAAUAUUUAAUUAUUAGUGUCUUUUUGUAAUUGAGUUAAAAAUAAUGGAAAAAAAGUUCCAAUUGCUAUGAAUAGAGAGAUGACAAACUAAGAAGCACUACUUUUUUUUUCUUCUGACGUAUCGCGAAUAGAGGGUUUCAGUUCUCAUAAAAUCAUAAAUGAAUUUUGAUUUAUAAGAAUUUAUCGUUAAUCCAUAGCAAUUUAGAAUGUAAAUGAACAGCUAAUAAAAUUUAUUUCUUUCCGAAAAAAAUUGAAGAUAAGUGUUAAAGUAGUCAAUGAAGAAAGAGGGAGAAGAUAUGAUUCAUCACGAAAAUGGAGUGGGAAAAUACCUUUUAUUUUUUAAUUAAAUUCUAUUGUCCUUGCACGCAGUUGUGUUUAAGGAUAAAUUAUUAAUUAAAAAAUUUAUUAAAUAAUUGGUUGACAGGGUAAAGUCAUAGCUUCAAAUAACUCCUUCCUUAAAACAAAUUGUAAUUAUAAUUGAUAUUCUAAUUAUUGUUACAAUUACAAUUUUACUAUUGCUAUUGUUACAGUAAUCUUAAUUAAAUAUUAUUAUUAUAACAAUUGUAACUGUUGAUGGAAUUAAGAUUAAAUUUGUUAUUACGAUAAUUCUUAUAGUAAUUACGGUUAUAGUUGUAAUUAAAAUUGUAAUUGUAACUAUAAUCAUAUUGUAAUCGGAAUUACAAUUGAAAUAAAAGUUGUAAUCGUUGUUCUAAUUGAAUUUGGAAUUAAUAUAAAAAAAAUUAAUAUUGGAAUUAUUGUUGUAGGAUACAUAAUUGUAAUUGCAAUUGCAAUUGUAAUUUUAAUUGCAGCUGCAAUUGAAAUUUAUAUUGCAACUCAAAUUAUAAAUUGUAAAUAUAAUUAGAAUUGUUCAACAAACAAUUGCUCGAAAAAGGUGUCCGCGCCAUUUUUCAUCUAUGAAAAAGAAAGAGAAACAACAGUAACCAAUUUCUGAGAGCAGUACAUUGACUUUCUUGUUUCUUCGGUAUGUUGUUGCUGCCGGUUUCCCGCAAACUCUCAAUUAUAUUUCAAAACAACUUCAACCGCUGAUUGAAUAAGGCAUGAGAUUAGGGAUGGCAAAAAUCCCCACGGGGACGGGUACCCUCGGAGAUUUUUCCCAUUCGGAGAGAGUAUGGGGAUAAUUUCAUACCCAAUUUCUUAUUCGAGGAGGGGACGGGGAAAUUUUUUUACCCAAUUUCUUAUUCGGGGAGGGGACGGGGAUGACUUGGAAUCCCCAUCCCCUACCCAUUUCCCCAUUUUAAUUUUUAAUUUUAUUUUAAUUUUUUAAAAUUACUAGUAAAUAAAUAAUAAAAUUUAAAUUAUAAAAUUAUAAAUAUUGGUAAAAAUAAAAAAUAUCAAAAUAUUUAUAUUAUUAAACUUUUAGGCCUAAUUAACUAAUUAAAAUCCUAAAUUUUAUUUAGGACAUUAAAAAGACCGAGUAGAUUCUAUUAGCCAAACGUUUUUUUUUAAAUUUUAAUAUUCUUUAAAUAUUUUAAACUUAAAUCUAUUUUUUAUUUAUUUUUAGAUGUUAUAAUUGCCCACAGUGAAUCACAAUUUUAAUAUCUAAUCUAAUCUAAUAUUUGCUUUUGAUUUGCUUCGAUUUAACUAUUGUGUUGUAAAGGGAAUAAUCCACAUUUAUAAAGUGCCCACGCCACCAUUGAAAAGUUAAUUUUGAAUCUAAAUUCGAUUUUAUUUGUAACAAUUUUGUAUUAGACUAUUAAUUUGUUCAUGAUAGUUUGUAAAAGAAGUUUGUAUCUCUUGCAUAUUGCGUUACUUACUAAUUUAAUGUAUAUGACUUUUGUAAUAGAUAUUAAUGUAAGAUAUAUUUCAAACUUUACUUUUAUUUGAAUUUUUUAUUUUAAUAUGAUUAACUCAAAAUAAAAAAAAUGUAUUAGUUAUUCGGGGAUCGGGGACCCUCGGGGAUCCUCUGUUAUUAUUCGGGGAGGGGAUGAGGAUUCUCUCAAGUAAUUCUGACGGGGACGGGGAGGGGACGGGGACAUACGUAAAAUAUCGGGGAUAGGUACGGGGAGAUCAGUCCCCUCCCCUCCCCUCCCCUCCCCAUUGCCAUCCCUACAUGAGAUCCAGCGUUCUAUAUUUUUUUAAAAUAUUUUAUUACAUGCGACCGCACGGUAGAAAUUUCUGUUUUUCUGUUUUUUCUUUUUUAAAGCCAUCUGAGUCUUUGGAGUAAGCCAUUGACGUGAUGGUUUUAAACUGCAAUGUCUACAAUGACAUAGACUCUUGCCUUAUCCCAUCGUUAACAGGAAAGGCUCUUUCUUUUUCCUUCAUAAUUGAUAACAAUGCAUGUUAACAUCAAAGAAAAUUACAAUUAAUUGAAAAAAUAGUAAAAGAAUAUGUAAACACUAUAAAAUAUUAUAAUUAAUCGAAAAAAUAUGUUAAUACUAUAUAAUUUUAUGAUUAUUUCUAUUACUCUUAAUCCUUAUGAAUAAAUAUAAGGUUAAAUUCGAAUUUAAAUUCUCGUGUAAAUUGUCCAUCUUAAAACAAUUUCUUAUUUUUAAAAAUCUUAAUUUACUUUCAUUUUUAUUAAGAAAACAAAAAAAAUAAUAAUUCAUUAACCUACCUUUAUUUUUUCUUUAUCUUUUUAUUUUUUAAAUAAAAAUAAAAAUAUUUUGAGAUUUUUAAAAGUAAAAGACCAAUUUAAAUGUAGUCAAUUAAAAAAAAUUAAUCUAAAAUUUAUCCAUAAAUAUAUAUUUCGUUUUAUAAAUGCAUGGGUUCCAAAGUAUGACCGGAGAGAAAGUCACGGGCAUUGAUCUUCCUCCGGUUCCACGGAUCCUUGAAAAUAUUAUAUUGCCUAAUAUAUCCCCGAGCUAUUAUUAGUUGAAUGUUUAUAUUCAAAAAGAGUAUUUUAUUCUCUAUCUAACGAUGAGUUAUUAUUAAUAAUGAUAAUAAUGGGGCACUUUUUUUAUAUUAAAUUAUUUGGUAUUUAAAGACUCCAUUGAGCCCUACUAAUUCAAAUUCAAAUCAAAUAAGACUAUUAGAGCGACAAAACUUUUCGAAUAAAUAUUGAGUGAAGCCAUUGGCACCCUCUUAUUAAACUUUUAAAACCCAUAUUUCUACAAUUACAUUUAAGGAUAAAUAUAAAUCUACUAUAUUUUCUCUUUAUAAAGUACAAACAUACAAUUUUUCACUGUUUACAAUUUCUUGGCAUUCAUCAUCAAUUCCAUUCCAAAUAUCAAUGAAUUGUUUGAAUCUCAGGCAUCCAAAAAACUAAAACAAAGUGUUAUAGACCCAACAAUCUUUUGUUUGAAAAAUCUCAUGAUUAUCCAAUGGCUUAGCAUAAAGGAGUGGGACUAAAAGAAUUUAUAAAACGGCAAAAUUACAAGAGAAAAAGAAUUCAAGAGAUGGACGGGAAAUUACAUGAAUGACGAGACCAAAAGCAUAACAUGAGAUAGUGGCAUAAAUAUUUCUGAUAUUUAUUGUUGGGUAUUGCAAAGAAAAUCAAAUGUAGAAGAAGGGCAGUUUUGGAAUUAAAGUGGGUGCUAAUAAUAACGAUAAAUUUUAUAUCAUUGUUUAAUGCGGUGUACUUAUAAUAGGGGUUUUAAAAAGAUAUUAGAGGGGUGCCAAUAGCCUCACUCUAAAUAUUUAACGUAGAUGCAUUCUCAAGAUUUAAACCAAGGACUUUCAUUAAGUUAGAACAACUUUAUGUUAACUUAUCUACGCACUUGUUGGUAAAGAGACUUCAGUCAAAUAAAUGGGUGGGAAUUAGUUUAAUGUUAGAUAUUACUAUCAUUAUUAUUAAUACUAGAGAUGAGCCAAUCAAUUUUCACUAUUACAAUCGACUAUUGUUAAUGCCUAAAAUAUUGUUACCAUCGAUGUGUCAAUCUUCUAAUUUAACUAAUAUUAAAUAUAUCAUUUAAUUAAAUGCAAGGAAAGAUUAAUAAUUCCUUUUUCAUUAAUACAAGCAUCUUUAAUUAAUAAGAUUAUUUUUCUAAUUAUUCUUUUGUUAAGAAAAAAAAAAGGUUGGACGUGGAUGAAAAAUGUUUGUUCAUUAAACACUAAUUCUUGUUCCUUAUUAUUACUUUAAACCAUAUAACUAUCGGUGCAGAGCGCAAUCACGACUAUCUGAGCAAAGCCUAUGGCACUAUUAUGAUUGAUAAAGCAAGGGAUAGGUUAUUCAUCUUUCAAUAUUGAAUCAUCAACUAUUAAUAAAACACUUACGUGGUCUAAUAUGUCUCACACAUAAUUAAAUAUAAUUGAUAGUAGUAAUAAAAAUAGUUAUAAAUUAUGAUUCUACUUUACAUCGACUGAAAAUAAAUAUUAGGUUAAAUAUCAUGUUCUCCAUGUGUGGGUCUCACUUCGAUAUUAUAUAAAAAUCCACUAAUUUACUCAUAUUUAAAAGCUAACUCAAGUUUAAGGGUUGCUUCAAAUUUAUAUUAUUAGCCCAAUAAUUAUUAUCAUCAGUUGGAUAUUAUCCUCAAUAUUAACAUACAACUCUAUUGAUUACCAUAUUAAUUAGAUACAAAAUUUCAGAUCGAUUGUUCGGAAAAAUGCUUGGCACGUAUGUGCCGAUGUUAUUGAUUCUUUGACUCUAUACGGAGAAAUAACACUAUCCACUUUGUAAUUAAACUUUGUAUGCCAUAUAUAACGGUCAAAAUUUUUUAUUACCUGUCACAUUAUUUUUCACAGUACCUAAAUAAUCUUUUGUUAUAUUUAUAAAUUUAUACAUCAAAAUUAGAGUGUACACUGAAUGUGACAAACAAUCUAAUAAAACGAACAAAAAAAUUUGUAACUAGCGCACCGUGGCAGGCGGCUAUAAGGGGUAUUGGUGCCUUGUGCGAAAUUUUUUUAGGUCUUUUUUAAAAUUGAAAUAAGAUAAAAUUUAUAAAGUUAUAAAAAAAGCUAAAAAAAUAAAUCUUAAAUUCAUAUUUUUUAAAAGGUGAGACUACUUAAACUGUGAAAAAUAUUCUGGAUAAUUUUUUACUUUAAACACUCAUCUGUUAAAUUUUUAAAAUAAUUUUUUACUAACACACUUUGAAAAAUGACAAAAUAGCCCUAAAUCUCUUUCAUUAGUCGGACAAUUUUAUUCUCUCUACAACCCCAUCAAGGCAGGCAUUCACAAUCAAACUGGGGUUAUAUCUUCUUGUUCAACAAAAAACUCAUCAAUAAUCUAGAAUCAAAUCUAAGCCAUUAUGCAAGUCUUGCGUUGUAUCCAACGGUGAGUUUGAAAAAGACAAAAAAUGGGACACCAAACCCCAGAGGCAACGUAGCUGGACCCUUAUCAUGAACCAGACGCUGAAAAGAAAAUUGUUGGAAAUUUUGUUUCCAUAAAUAUCAACGAAAGUUGAACAAAAUUCAAAGACUGCUAAGAAUUCUUGUUUUUGAAUAUUCAGUAUACACCUUAAGUUAAACAAUAAUAAAAAAUAAAAAAUCUUGUCAGGGAAAAAUCAAGCCGCAGGAUUUCUUAAAAUCGAUUUUAAGAAGAUUACAAAUAAAGUGAAGUAACAAACCCGCUCUUCUUUAUCAGUAGAUAAAAAAUAAUAAUAAUAAUAAUAGUUAAUUUGUAUAUCUCACGUAGUCUUAUUGUUAUUGCUGUACGAUUAAUGAAUUGAAGUAUAAAAAUUAUGGAGAUGUAGAUAUAUAAAAUUCAAGUGUAAAAUAAUGAUCAAGAUGUAGAUAGAUAAAAUUGUAAUGGGUGUUAAAAGCCAUAUAAUUUGUUUGGUUUUACAAAAUUGUCCUUUAUAAUAAAUUAAAUGGUGGCUAUUUCAGGAAUACAAGAUUUGAUUAAAAUUUAAGUGUUCAAGAUAUUUUUUGAUGGACAAACAGUCACACUUUUUUUAAAUUAAAAAAAAAAUCAUAUCUUUCUACGGUUUGUUUGUAGACUUUUCAUACCUAGAUUUUCUUUGUAGACAUAAUAGUAAACGACGAACAAAUAAUACCAUAAUAUUUUAGGAAAUGAAAAUAAAAUAUAAAAACAUAAUAAUUUCUAAUUGACUGUAACUCCAUAUGGUAUUAUCAUGUUUUUAUCAUUAUAUUUUUCAAUUUACGGUAACUCCAUAUAGUAUUAACAUGUAUUUUAUUGUUACUGUGAAAAAUUUUCUGAAUUUUGAUAUUUUUGAGGACCCAAGCAUCAUGAUAAAUAAACUUGCACUGUUAAUCCAGUACACUUUAUCUUCGUGUAUAUAAAAGAGUAGCAAAUAUAAGCCUUGUCAUACAACUCAAUAUCUCACAAAGGUUAUCUCUGAGGAAUCUUGGUUUUAUUGACAACAUGAGACCACUCUUUGUUCUCUGCACACUUUCGGUGCUUCUCUUGGUAUGAUUUUUAAGUUGAAUGUUAUUAUUCAUUUAGAAGUUAAUUUCUGCAGAAAUAUUAGAACUGGCAAUUUCUAAUCUUUUUAUUAGUUUUUGCAUUAAUAUAGUGAUUGGUCUAAUUGCUAUCUUUGUUUUUCUUUUCGUAUUUCAGCUUGCAAGCACAAUUGAUGCAAGGAAAAACCUGGAGGAAUAUUGGAGAAUUGUCAUGAAAGGACAGCCUAUGCCUGAAUCAGUCCAAGACCUACUUGCCGUGGAUCGUGCCGCUUCUACCACCGAUGAGAAUGCUGAUCAAAAGUCAAAUCCUUUAAUUGUAUCCUAUAAUGUUCAGCCGUCCGAGGUGGAAUCCUUGGCCAAGAAUUUUAACCCGAGGCCGAAUAUUUUUUUCUACGGUUUCCACAACAGUCAUAACGACCAGCCAUCCGAGGUGGAAUCCUUGGCCAAGAAUUUUAACCCGAGGCCGAAUAUUUUUUUCUACGGUUUCCACAACAGUCAUAACGACCAGCCAUCCGAGGUGAAAUCCUUUGAUAAAGACGUAUUGAAACCUGAUAAUAAAGUUGACGCUAAUGCUUAAAUGAAAAUCAUGUUUUCAUCAACGGAGAGAAUUAGCCCCUAAUGAUGUUAAGCAACUGGUCUACUCUCGUCUGUCGUCAUAAUAAGCGUUUGUAUUAGGUUUUUCAAUUAAAUAAGUGGCCGGCGGCCUAGUGCUCUGGCUAUGUUAUUGUGUGUGCGGGUCGUUACUUUUGCUGUACAUGGUAAUGCGAAAGAGGUAUGCAAAUAAGUUGAUGCAGUUGAAGGAUGUGAUCAGUGUAAAAUAUUAUUGGAUAAAAGCGUAUGUUUAAGUUCUUCUUCUCUUUAUUUAUUUUUGUAAAUGGGCCCAAUUGAAUUUUCUUACUGAUGAAUGACAUACAUAACCCUUAUCAGCGCAAUGGGAAAAUUAGCAAAAGCAAUGAAAUUAAACUAGCAAAAGAUUUAAAAAUUUUGAUGACAUUUUUGUUUAUUAUAGAGAUGGUAAAUUGAUUGAUGAGCACCGACCCUCCAUUUAUAUAGAGAUUCAUAACAUACAAAAGGAAAUAAUGAUACAACUAUAAUUUUGAGAAUUUAAUUUAUUGAUAGUGGUUGAGUCAAUUAUGGGCUUAACUCUGUGCCUUGGCUAUUGGCAAUAGCCCACCCCAAAGCAGUCGUCCUGUGAUCUCUAAAAUUAAAUCCCAAAACUCAUUAUAUAUAAACCACUCAAGUCUUAGCUUCCUUUCACAUAUGAUAUCAGUUAUUUUUCUUUAUUUUUCCAACUCUAGGAGAGUAUUUUGAGUGUCAAUUUAUUCUUUACUCUAAAGUGUAAAUAUUCAUUUAGUCUUUAUAUUUUAAUUUAAUUGUCCGUUUAGUUCUUAUAUUUUAAAAAACGUCUCCAAACACUGGUGCUGUUAAAUAUAUUAUCUCAUACCCUUACUUUUUCUUUUCUUUUAUAAUAAUAUUAUUGUAACCAUUUUUUUUUUCCUUCUUGAGGAUAUUAAUGUAAAGAAAAAAUGUUAAUUUAACAAAUUAGCUUGUAAGUAACAUAAAAAUUUCCACAAAAUGUUAUUGUUUUACUUUUAGGAUUAAUUUGGUAAAUUAAUUUUUUAUAAAAUAAAUAUUAAUAAAAUUGUAACAAGGAUAUUGAACAUUUCUUUAAGUUGGCUAAUAAUAAUUAAUUUAUAAAUAAAUUAUUAACAAGAUUAUUUCACAGGUACAAAAAAUACUAAUUUUUUAUAUUGAUAUUUAUUGGUUAAUUUUCUAAUAAAUAGUUAUUGGUCAAUUUGCUAAUUAAAUUUUUAUAGACAAAUUAAUUAAUGUUAAGAAUAUUAUUGUAAGGGUAUUAUUUUAAAAGUAAAUAACACUUAAAAGCAAGAAUGUAACAUAUUUAACUAUAACAGUAACUUUAAGGCAUUUUUUUAAAAUAUAAAAAGUAAAUGAACACUUAACUCAAAUAUAUAUGAAUUAAACGAAAAAUUGCUCCCAAAACAUCAUUUUGAGCAUGCAAAUAUAUCAUUUCAAAAAGUUCUUAUAGAGAUAACUCAUAAUCUUUCGCUUAUAACGAGGACCACCCUGAUAGUUUGAAAUAAUUUCAUUUGAAUAACAUGUUUUAUUUGCAAAUGACUUUUCAACCUCCUUUAAAUUUGUUGUAUUGUUAUUUUUUCUUAACAUAAAUCUUUAAGAAUCUAUUUCUAAUAGACUAGAUAUGAUAUCUAAUAGACUAUCUAAAACAAAUUAAAUAAAUAAGUUGUAAUUUAUUAAAAAAUUAUUGCUUUUAUGAUGGUAAUUAAUGGUGACAAUAAAAAAAAAUUCAACUCAAUAAUAAGAAAAUUCUAUGAUGGAGUGACUAAAAUUACAAUAUCCAUGACGAGAUAAACAUAAAUUUUACAAAUUAUACAUAAGACUAGUAAAUAUAAUAAGUAAAUUAAUAUAACAGUGGUAAAUUGGUGUUUUAAAAUCACAAACAAAACAAACACUUAGUAAAAGUAAUACAAAACUUGUAAAUCAACAAUAAACUUUAAUUAAGUAAAAACAGUUUAUCCAUUUAAUUUAAUUAAACAAAAAAUUAACUCAUCAAUUGGAAACAAAAAAAAAAUUGUAUUGAAAACAAUUGGAAUAAGUUUUAUUGAAUUGGUAUACAAGUUAAUUACGUGAAAUUAUUUUUCUUAAUGUGGAUCAAGCCAAAACAAAAUAAAAAGAUAUUCUUAUAUUACUAGACAUAGGUGAUAUAUCAAUAAAAUUGGAUCUAAUUUUCAGUUUAACACAUAUUUUAUGUAGUUUUAACUUUGAAACUCCACUUCUUAAUUGUACUUAAAGAUCAUUCAGGUUUUCUGUCAAUAGGGUUUAGAAUAAUACAAAAUCACCUUAUCUUACAAAUAGCUAGCUUUCAAAAACAUGAAAAGAGUAGUUUUUUAAAAUUUGACUUUGAGAAUUAAUUUUAUCUUAAAUAGAAUUUUACAUAUAUUAUUACAUAUAUUACAUAAAUCCAAGACUAUCAUUUUUUUGUUUAAAACGAAAACCAGUAAAUAUAUAAGGUAAUUAUUAUUAUAAAGUUACACAUUUUGACAUUUGUAGUAAGAACAUGAGAGGAUACCUGGAGUGUAUUGGGAUUUGGGCUGAAGAGAAAGGAGCCCUUGGACUUGGGAAACAAAUGAAAUUAUCUGCAUGGUCCUUGUACUCAUGGAGGGACUGUAACUUCUGAACCAACAAUGCUGAAAAUGCAGGGUCAAAAAUCAACAUUAACUUGAUGAAUAAUUGUUUGAAAAAAAAAAGGAAGAAAACUUGAUUAAUAUAAAAGAGAGCAAAGGAGCACAACCAUACAGAAGUUGUACAAAGGAAUAUUAAUCAAGCUUGAUUAAUAUUCUUCUUCUAUCCAACACCACAACAUGAAACCCAGUAUUCCUGUUGCAGUAUGGUGAGAACUGUGAAGUGCAGGAAGUAGUUUCCUAAGAGAGAUGAUUGAAUGCUCUUAAUUUUUUUUUUUUUCAGAAAAUCAUUUUAUUUUAAUAAAAGUUUAUUUUUUCUUAAUAAAAAAUUUCAUUUGUUUUUAUUAAGUUGUGUCUCAUAUUCACUAAUAAAAGAAAGUUAUUUGGAUAUAUAAGUAGGAUACCUCAUCUAAUAUGCUAGUAGGAUAAAUCUCUCAUCUAAUAUGCUAGUAUUUUGAGUUAAAUACCCAUAAAUUUUAAGCCGAGUCCACAACAGUCCCCAGAUAACUGAUUUAAGUCCUAGCUACACCAGUAGAUUGAAUAGAAGUGCAAAUAAGUUGAACUCUUUUGUCAUUCAUUUUAGUCCUUUUUUUUUGUCACAUACAUUGAAAAAGGAUAACUCUGUCGUGAUUGUCAUGGCAGAGCCUAUUUCAAACGGUGGUGUAUGCUAAAGGAAAUUAUCAUGAGAUGAGUGAUAAACCAUACAGUCAGUAGCUAAAGCCCAUCAUUAAUCAGCCACAUGGCCACAAAUAUUAUUGGCGGCAAAUAUCUCAACAAAAUCACAAUAAAGAUGAGCAUCCUCGAAGAUUUGUCAUCAACGAUCCCUUAUUCUAGACACCAUCUUUAUUUUGAGCAAGUAUCCUUCAUAUUCCUUAUGUACAAAUGAUUCCAUUCCUUAAUGUAAAUAGGACAGCCUGUCUAGCCAUUACUCUUAAGAGAUUUGGCUGGCUUUGACACUUGUAUAUAAGCUUGUAACCCUCUCGUUCUUUACAAGAAAUAAGAUAAUAUUUUCAGCAUAAUAUUUCUUUUCAAUGAGAUCAAAGAAAUGAAAAGAGAUAUAGUCUAUUAGGUUCGCAAAUCUACUGAAACAAUAUUGUUUCCAAUCAACUCCGAAAUACAACCAACUGAACAACGUUCGGAAAUCGAAAAUCAUUUAUUACCAGUAAGAUUUAUUAUUAUACGCUAGACAUAUGGCUUUAACAGUCACAUUACCACUACAUUUUUAAUCAUGGUAGGUAGGUGCUGGAAUGUAUACAAUAUUAUCAGCCUGGAAGAAAUGGCAGACAUGGGAGCUCCCUGGCUCGAUCCCAAGCACACGAAACGAUGCAUGAUCUGGACUCCAAUGAGACGUAUCCAUGUGGCAAACUGCUACAGCUUCCACUCUAUCUCCAUUAUCACCACCUAAUGAAACACCGAAUAACUUGUUCUCAGUCAUUUGGCUGUGGCAGUAGAAGAUUGCAUAAGGGUAAGGCAUGAUAUGACAUGCCACCAUCUUGGGAGCAAACAUUGGUUUAGGCACUUGUAAAAUAGUGUAAUUUUGGAAAAUGGUAGUUGAUUUUGUGAGAAAUUUUGUGCUUAGAACUUGGAAUUUGGUCUCCAAUCCGAAAGUUCCGUGUACAAAAUCAAGCAUGGAUUCCAAAGAGGUCGCACAAAUUUUGGUUUCUCCUUCGAUGGGAGGAACUUCGCAAUGAUUCAGGGUCCCUUCCAUGGCUUUGGCUAGGGAUGAAUCAUCUGAGAACGAGAAGAAUUGAAGAAGGUAAGGCAGUUGUUUCAAUGAAAAUGGAAUGGAAUCUGCUUCUUCUCUAGGCAAAGCCUGAGGAUAAGCUGAAGGAUCUCUCUUGCGAAAAUAAAUCGGCAUCGUUUCGCCAAUCUUUAGAUCCUUCAAGGCCAUCGUUGAAGGGUCCAUGUGAUUCAUGUGGGAUGGUAUUGAAUGAGAAUCAUGAAGAUUCUCCGAAAGCACCUGAGCACACUGUAAAACAGUUGAGCAAUUCAAUAUCACAACAUAGAUGAAAAAUCAACAACACAAGUUCUAUAAAGUGUAAAACUGAAGGAGCAAAAUAUAUCUUUUUGAGUUAUUGCUUUAAGACAACACUUAUGUACAUGUAUUGCAAAGUAAGCCACUUAAUUAGCACACAUUGAGGAUUAUUACCAGAAAGAGUAGAGAAAGAAGGAGGUUCCAAGCUGAAAAUCGUAACCCCAUCUCUUUUCUAUUAUCGAAGUUUGUUAUAUAUUUUAGUAAUCUUUUUUUUUUCAGGGAGAAGAAACACAGAUAACAAGUGAAGCAGAAAGAGAAGAGAUUGUGUGACUGUAUAUGUCAACAACCAAAUGAUGUGUGUUGAUUUUCAAGUGGACAUUUAUAGCCUGCAUAAGCUGAACUUGUUCUACUGUGCUGAUUAAUUGAAUCACAACACAGUUUGAAUAAUGACCUUAAUAGUCCAAUCCAGCAAAGAAUUCAGCACUCCAAUCAUUUGGGGACACACGUAUUGCACCUUCAUCAGGUCUGCGGAUUUUAAUAGUUUUGACUGAGUGAAUGAUUACUUCAAUUGAUAACAUUGCAUAUUAGAUUACCAGACCUAAAAUUGAUUUCUUAUUAAAAAAUUUACUUGCAAUUUGGAAACUCUCUUUGACACAUUAAUUACAGACUCGAAAUCUGUAUCAAUAUUCCCCAUACAUAGACAGAACUGAGCAUAAAAAGUGGGAAGGCAGAUCGUAAACAAAUUCGACAUGGUAGUUUCCAAGGAUGAAUAGCAUUUUUUUCAUUCAAAAAUGGGAUAAUAUAUCCUUCAGUCACGUAAUGUACACUAAGGCGGCGUUUGGUUGGGAGGAGAGAACAAAGAAGAGGAAAGUAAUUUAAAUUUUCUUUUUAUUUUCAUUGUUUGGUUUGAUAAAAUAUAUAAGAAUUUAAUUUCCAUUAGAAUUUAAUAUCCAUCAUAAUUUGAAUUCCACACCAAGUAGUGAAGAAUUUAAAUUCCUCUUAUGUUAGAAACUAAAGUUUCCAAAAUUACCCUUCAACUUGUUUAAUGUCAUUAAUAAUUAUUAUUUAAUAUUAUAAAUGGAUCACCGCCGGAAAGUCGCCGGACUACCGCCGGAAAGUCACUGGAAAGUUACCGGGCCACCUCGGAAUGUUGCCGGAAAGUCACCAGACCACUGCCGAAAGUUGCCGGACGUCGCCAAAAUCCUGCCGAACGUUGCCAUAAGGUAGUUUCCAAGGAUGAAUAGCAUUUUUUUUUCAUUCGAGAAUGGGAUAAUUUAUCCUUCAGUCACGUAAUGUACACUAAAGCUCUUCUCAACCUAGUGUGCGUCGGAUAUGUGAGCGUCGGGGCUCCAAUCUCCCGUACAAUCUUUAAAAUUUUGUUUGGUCAAAUUAACAGGCUGCACUCACUGUAUUUCCAUGGAUCACACUACUUCAACUAAAAGAUAAGAUAAUAAGUAUCUUUAGGAUUUUACUGAAUGAUUUUUAAGUAGUUUUUAUUAAUUAAUUAUUCAAAUUCGAAUUAAAAAAAGACUAAAAAAUUCAUCUGAAUUUUUCUCACUCCCAAUCUUUAAAAAUAAAACAAAUAAUAAGUCAUAUAAACAAUAUUUUAAAUGCAAUUUUCACUUCAAACAUAUUUCAUUUGAAGUUUAAUUAUAUUCUCCGAUGGAACCUGGAUAAGUUGAAAAAAAAUUUAUUAAUAAAAAAAAUGUACAUCUAAUUGUCUAACGAUGGGUCAAGAACAAAAGGUUAAAAGAUAAUAUACGUGGACAUGAUAAUGCAGAAACCGAAAAUCAAAAGGGCACGAGUUUCAAAUGCUAGACAAAUGAAAGAGACGUGUGAUUGCAGGUCGAUUUUCUUCUCAUCACUAGCCACUAGUGUUGUGCGCGGAAUGCGGAAUCAAGCGCACCAAAUAAUUAUUGAAAAAUAAAGGACACAAGAAUUUACGUGGUUCGGUAAUUAAACCUACAUCCACGGAGACAAGAAAGAAUAAUUGUUUAUUUAACAAUUAAUAGAAUACAAUAUUUGAGUAACGAAUCUCACUUCCCAGAAAACCCAAAUAUACCCAGUACUCUCACACUCUGCAAGAAAGAUAAAUUCCCCAGACACACUUCUCUCACUUCUCUCAAAAGCUUAGAAACUUAUAAGCUUGACAAUUUUGGGAUGAUUUCAAAUGAAUGAAAUCCUUAGCUAUUUAUAGACUUGAAGCUAGUAUUAUUCCACCUAACCCAAGUACUAUUUCACCUAACCCAAGCACUAUUCCACCUAACCCAUGCAAAUAUGUCAAUGGUGUCCAUUUGGCAAAUUUGACAAAUUUGCCAACUUUCCAUUUUUUCUUCAAAUGUUUGGUAGCUCUUUGAAAAAUUGCCACAUGCAUGACUUUUCAACAAUUCUCCACCUCGGCGAAAAUUUGUCCAAAUCUGAGCCGACUACCAACGAACCCUCAUCCCCAAAGUGAUCCUUCAAUAAGGAUCCAGAAUGACUGUGUCGAUUCGACUGUCUACGUACCCAAAAUUUGGGAUCAAGCCAACCGUAGUUCAAAAAUUCUCCAAACUCAACGCAUUCGAAGAAUUAGUUUCAAUCCGUAUAAAGAUUUACUCAAUCUGCACACACGAUUUUCCUUUCCAGCAACUCUGAAACCACAAGGCUGAAUCAUAUAGAUUUUCUCCUCUAAAUCUCCAUGUAAGAACGCCGUCUUAACAUCCAACUGAGCUAACUCUAACUCAUAUUCUGCAACUAAGGCAAGUAGGAUACGAAUGGAAGUAUGUUUUACAAUUGGAGAGAAAACUUCAUUGUAGUUCAUACCUUCCUUUUGAGCAAAACCUUUUGCCACGAGCCUUGCCUUGUAUCGAGGAGUUGUUUGAUUCGGAGAUCCUUGCUUUUUGGUGUAGACCCAUUUAUUGCCAAUAGCCCUUUUCCCCUUUGGUAACUUUACAAGUUCCCAAGUCUGGUUUUGAUGGAGAGAUUUCAUCUCUUCCUCCAUGGCUAGCUUCCACUGAUCACUUUCAUUGCUGCGUAAUGCUUCACCGAAAGUAUUGGGGAUGUCAUCAUCAAUAACUGAAAGUGCAUAGGCUACCACCAUAUCUUUAGUAAGCCAUCCGGGUUUUUUUAUCUCUCUUUUUGGCCUCCUUGUUGCUAUAAAAUCAUCAUCAUCUACAUCAUCAAUUGUUUUUUCAUUUUGUGGGACAUCAGAAGAAACAACCUCUUCUUCAACUUUAGGUGUCACCUCCAUAGUUGAACCAUUCUUUGAUGUAGAACUAACUUGUACAUAUGGAGUUGCAUCAAACUCCACCCGCUGCAAUACCUCUGUGGUCUUGUUCUCCACCUGCUGAGAACUUGAAGCUUUUAUCAUUGAAGCUUCAUCAAAUGUGACAUCUCCGCUACACACAAACUUUUUGUCUUCGAGAUCCCAAAGCUUGAAGCCCUUUACUCCACCUUUGAAUCCCACAAAGAUAGAUUUUUUAGCACGAGGAUCCAGUUUACCAUCUUUGACAUGAUAAUAAGCUGGACACCCGAAUACACGAAGGGAAUCAUAGUCUUGUGCAUGCUUUCCAGACCCCAUUUCCAUAUGAGUUUUACCUCCAAUUGCAGCAGAAGGCAACCGAUUUACCAAGUGACUUGCGUAGCUCACAGUUUCAGCCCAAAACUUUUUAUCUAAACCAGCAUUAGAUAACAUACAUCGUACCUUCUCCAGUAAAGUACGAUUCAUACGCUCAGCCACACCGUUCUGUUGCGGAGUAUGUCUCACCGUGAAAUGUCUUUUAAUACCCUCGUUCUGGCAUACUUGCAAGAAUGGAUCAGAAGUAUAUUCACCCCCAUUAUCAGAUCGUAAUACUUUGAUCUUUCUGCCAGUUUGAGUCUCCACCAAUUUCUUCCACUUCACGAAAAUCUUUAGAACCUCAUCCUUUGCUCGCAUGGUGUACACCCAUACACGUCUAGAGAAAUCAUCAACAAAUAUAACAAAAUAAUGGCUUCCACCAAUUGAUGCAGUCUUGGUUGGUCCCCAUACAUCACUAUGAACAUAUUCAAGGAUCUCACGAGUAUCGUGAUUAGCUGUACCAAACUUGACCCUUGUUUUCUUGCCUACUACACAAUGCUCACAGAAAUUUAAUUUACAGGUUUUGGUACCUUUUAAGAGUCCAUGCCUCAUCAGAGUUUGCAAAGACUUCUCUCCUGCAUGUCCCAGUCGUACAUGCCAUAGCUUGGUGGUGUCACUGUGCGCCUCAACAACAUUUGCUUCAUCAGUUGUACCUCUCUUCAAAUAGUACAAAUUGUGACGCCGAACCCCUUGCAGAAUCAUCAUAGCCCCAUGUGUAAACUUCAUUGUGCCAUCUUCAAUGGUAACUUUGUAACCUUUAGCUUCCAAAGCACCCACAGAAAUUAGAUUUUUCUUUAUCUCUGGAACAAAUCUAACCUAUUUGAGUUCUCUGACCAUUCCAUCAAACAUUUUGAGCCGAAUUGUUUCUAUCCCCAUUGUGCGACAAGGUUGAUUAUUCCCCAUCAUAACUGCACCGGAUUCCAGAUUACGAAAAUCCGUAAACCAUUCCUUAAUAGGACACAAAUGAUAGGUUGCUCCAGUAUCAAGUGUCCACUCACUCGAACUAGCCACGUAUGCUGCAGGAGUAAUACUUAGUGAAUAAUCAGAGUUCUCAUCUUUCCGUGCCAUGUUUGCUGCUGCUGGUUUCUUCCCAUCUCUCUUUUGAGCCUUUGGACAAUCUUUUCUCCAAUGACCCUUUUCAUGAAAAAAGGCACACUCAUCUCGAGCUAUAUUUCUGCUUCUUGAUUUGGAUCAAGAAUUCAUUCCACCACGGUUCUUCUGUUUCUCCAUCGCCCAAUCUCUGCUCACCAAAGCUUCAGACGAUGCUCGUUCAGAAUUUUUAUCAUUAUUCUGAAUCUCCAAACUAGUCAAUGCUGUGCAAACAUCUUUAAAGACGAUCACACUCUUCCCAUAUAUCAAAGUAGUCACAAAAUGGCUAUAUUCCUCUGGUAGUGAGUGUAACAGAAUCAUAGCCUUAACUUCAUCUUUAAUAUCUUCAUCAAGAUUCUUCAAAUCAGCAAGUAACUUUUCAAAUCUUGAAACAUGAUCGUGCAUUGACACCCCAGGCUUCAUUCGAAAACCAUAUACUUGGCUCAUUACAUGAAGGCGAUUUUCAGGACUUUUCACCAGGUACUUCUCCUCCAAUGUACGCCACAAAGUCACCGCACACUCCUCAUCUUUCACCAAGUAUUUCACCUCCUUGGUCAAACAAGAUCUGAUAUGACCACAAGUUUUUUCGUUCAUACGAUCCCAAAUUUCUUCAUCAUACAAGUGCCUUUUAUUUUUUAGAACAACAUCGAGAUCGAUUUGAAUAAGGGCAUCCAUAACUUCGCGCCUCCACAUGCCGAAGUUGAUUUUCCCAUCAAACUUUUCAACAUCGAUCUUUUGGCCUCCUAUAACAUGUGCUGAAUAGCGAUUUGAUAAAUCUCGCCUCCCACCUGAAGUGUCUCCUGAAAUAGUCUCGGUAGAUAUCUCCCUAAUUCUGGAAGUUUCACCUUCUACCAUUUUCUCAACGAACUAUUUCCACUUAAAAAACAGUCUCUAUGAUGUUAAUUUCGCGUGAAUAAAUGCACCAGGAAAGUUCCCAGGAAACUGGACGGGAACUCGGUCCCAAUUAAAAACCAGAAUCCUUAGACUCUUAUCGCCUUUUUUGACAGAACUUUCCUAGACAUGCAAAAAUACACACUACUUACAAUAGACUGUCUCCCAAGUACAAAUGGCCGUCUCCACCGUAUUCGUAAAUAGUGCCGUAUAUGUGAACAGUACCGUAUACGUGAACAAUACCGUAUACGUGAACAGUACUGUAUCCCCCAAGUACGAACCGUCGGCUCUGAUACCACUUGUUGUGCGCGGAAUGCGGAAUCAAGCGCACCAAAUAAUUACUGAAAAAUAAAGGACACAAGAAUUUACGUGGUUCGGUAAUUAAACCUACAUCCACGGAGGCAAGAAAGAAUAAUUGUUUAUUUAACAAUUAAUAGAAUACAAUAUUUGAGUAACGAAUCUCACUUCCCAGAAAACCCAAAUAUAUCCAGUACUCUCACACUCUGCAGGAAAGAUAAAUUCCCCAGACACACUUCUCUCAAAAGCUUAGAAACUUAUAAGCUUAACAAUUUUGGGAUGAUUUCAAAUGAAUGAAAUCCUUAGCUAUUUAUAGACUUGAAGCUAGUACUAUUCCACCUAACCCAAGUACUAUUUCACCUAACCCAAGCACUAUUCCACCUAACCCAUGCAAAUAUGUCAAUGGUGUCCAUUUGGUAAAUUUAACAAAUUUACCAACUUUCCAUUUUUUCUUCAAAUGUUUGAUAGCUCUUUGAAAAAUUGCCACAUGCAUGACUUUUCAACAACUAGCACACAUCCCCUUAAUCAAAAUCUUUUUCAAUAUUGUUUAUUAUAUAAAUGGAUAUUGGUAGUGGUUGAACUUCUAUUAUUUAAUUAUGUUGUCAUUUUCCAUCACUACAACAACAGAUGAUUCAAGUAGGAUCGAUCAAUAAUUGUCGCCCAAUGUUUUGUCUUUUUCAUAAUUUAGUUAUUUUUGUUCAUAUGUCUGACGAAGAAGUUUUAAUUUUGCAAGAGGAAUUCAAGUUGAUAAGACCUUGUCGACUUGUCUUCUGCUGAAGAAUCUUGAAUAAUCAUGCCAAAUUCAAAAAGUGGCAAAAGCAAAAGGCUAAGUUCUUAAUGAAUUCAAUAUUAUUACGAAUUUGGUGCUAGCUCAAUCUUGAAAAUGAUCCAAAAAUUAAAAAGUAAACAUAUAAUAAUCACAUCUACAAAUGUACAUUAUUAGUGAGUCAUUGAUGAUAUCCCAUCACGAAUUCAUUAGCUGACUAAUUAAAGAUACCACGAAAAUAUUAUAUCAUUAGCUGGUCUAAAAAAGUAGUCAAUAAGAAAAUGAAAGGUAAAUUCAUAAAUUUCAGCCGGAAUUUUUUUUUUUUUUUUUAAAAGGACCAAUAAUUGUAGGAAAUGGCUAGCUUCUUAUCCUCUUCACAAAAGAUUAAAUCCUCUUGAAAAGGUUUGUUACUGAAAUACAUAUCAUAUUACACCAACACUCUCUAUUACCAUAUGAAUUUAGAUCUUCCCCUAACUUAAUAUUUCAUAUAAUAUUGUAGGAAUAAUCUUCAUCACCGGAGAUUAGGAUCUUCUCCUAACUUAAUAUCUCAUAAGUGUUGUAUGAGAUUAUUUAGCUCAUGUCAUUAUAUUUUUCUAAAGCUAGGAUUUAAUUUACUUUAUACUUUCCUUAUUAAACAUUAAAACCAAUAAUUUUCUAGGCUAAGUAAAACCAUGAAAUUCAAGUGUGCCGCUUUCUAACCAAACUGCUGCUUCUUUCUCUACCGUUUUUUUUUUUUUUUUUGGUCACAAACUUUAAACUGUGGUAUAUAUAAACUUGAGCAAAGAAGCAUUAUUGGUAGGAUUGGCAAUGAGACGGGAUGGGAUGAGAUUUACCAAUCCCACUCCCGUCCCGCAUAUAUAAUUGAGAUAAAAAAAUGUCUCACUCCCAUCCUUCAAUUUUUUUAUGGGACCAAAAUAUAUCCCAAUCCUGUCCCAAAUUGCCAUCCCUAAUUAUUGGCAAUUCAUUCUUUUAAGAAUUGUUUAUGUAAUGGAAUCAGACCAGAACAGAAUGCAUUAUUGUUCGAUAUACGUAGUCUACAAUAACAAUUGAAGACACCUGAAGAUAAUAUCAAUUAUAGACAAUUGUUAUUGCAAUAUAUUCAAUGCAUUGUUGCUAUCGCUUGUCUGCAAUUAAUUUUAUAUAAAUUAAGCUGAUAUAUCUCAUUUCAGUGUACUAAUAAUUAAGUUGAACGUUGAUGCAGCUACUGCUAUUUCCAGGAACACAGCUUUCUAGGAGCCAUUAUUCGUAAUGUGAGAAGGGAGAUUAAUUAUGGCAGUAGCUAUCUAAAGUAAAAUUUUGGAGAUCUUGAAUUCGCAGAAGCAGAAGCAAUGAGAUUUGGGAUCGAAAUAUGCAAACGGCACAGGUCUAUUUCCAUUCAUUAUUGAAUCAGAUACUAAGAAUGUUGUCAAUCUUGCUGCAGCACUUGAAAGUACUAGAAAAGAGAUUCUUUGAGUGAUAUAUCUCUGAUAUUUAAUUGUUGGCUAGACAACUGGCAAUUUCAAAUUUGUAUUCAUUCCUAGAAUAUGUAACGUGGAAGUUCAUAGAUUAGCUAAACUUGCAGUUAGCGAUCAGAAAGCCGUAUUGUUUGGAUUGAGAAUAUUCCUAUAGAUGUAAAAUCUUAUCAUUUUUGAAGAAUUUUUUACUUUGAAAAUAAAAUAAUUAAGGGCCAUCUCUAUCGUUGCGAAUUGUAACUCGUAGACUUUGCGGUCCACAUUAUGAAUUUAAAAUUCUUGCAUGAUUAAUCACCCACAUGAGCAUGCUCCCCCAACCUGCCACAUCAUGUUACCACUUCUUCCAAUCUGUGUAUACACACACACACACACACACACCAGUAUGGCCUCCAUGCAAAUCACAAACGCAGUAUCUAAUAUUGUUUGUCACUGGCAAGAAACAUGAAUAUUAAAGCCUUCUUUGUUCUCUCCACAGUGCUCUCAUUGCUUCUCUUGUUAUGUAUCAUUUGAUCAGUAAUAAUGUUAGGUUAAUCACAAAUUCAUUAUAUAAAAUAUUUUGUACAAAAUUGAUAACACAUAAUGUACAGUAUCGAUGUGAUAAGAACACCACACAACCCGAUCAUUAUUUUAUAUUUCCAUUCAACCAAUACUAUUUUAUCACAUCAGCUUUAAGAGUAGCUUAAUUAUAGCUAGCUCUAGCAUUACUCGUUUUGAUUCAAAUGAUUUUCGAAUUUUUAUCAUUUGCAUGGUCAAUAUAUAGUUCCUCUCUCUUUUUUUUAUUUUUUAUUAAUUGUUUUCCUUGUGUGCAGUUUGCCAACAUGAUAGAUGCAAGAAAAUACCAUGGAGACGAUUGGAGUAUUGUCGUGAAAAAUCAAGACAUGCCUUGGGAAUCAACUCAAGGUCUCAUUCCCGAAGUUCAAGGCCCGACCAUCUCUAAAACCAAAGCCUAUUGCCAUACACAUGAUGAUUCUGAGCACACCAUGGAGAAGCCUUUUGUCAAUAAGAACUUUGAGCUGAUGCCUGAUGUUUCAAUCUAUGACAACGGUAUUAAGCCAACCAAACAAAAGGCUUUUGCCAAGCACUUCGAGUUCUUGCCUGAUGUUUCAAUUUACGACAACGGUAUUAAGCCAACCAAACAAAAGUUCUUCGCCAAGGACUUCGAGCUCAUGCCUGAUGUUUCUAUUUAUGACAAUGGUGUAAAGCUAGCCAAACAAAGGUUCUCCGCCAAGGACUUCGAACUCAUACCUGAUAUUUCAAUUUAUAACAAUGGUGUAGAGCUAGCCAAACAGAAGGCAUUCGCCAAAGGCUUCGAGCUCAUGCCUGAUGUUUCAAUUUAUGACAAUGAUAUUAAACCAACGAAGAAGAGUUCAUAUGCCAAGGACUUUGAGCUGAAGGCUGAUAUUUCAAUUCAUGAACCGACCGAACAAAAAUAGGUAAUUAGCAUUACGGAUCUGCAGCCAGAUGCUACAAUUUAUCAUAAUUAAAUAGAUGAUCAUGCUUGUAAUCAGGCGCAGGAUGGAGUCUCUUACCAUAUUUAAUGUUCUAGAAGAGUAGCCACAUACGUGCAAUAACGCUUUCCUUGUUUGUGUGUGUUGUCAAAAGCGCUGUUUCUAAAGUAAUGUAAUAAGUGCUGAAAUAACCCAUGCAAUAAAAUCAUGUCAUGCGUCUUUAAUUUUUUUUUUCUCUCUCUCUUAAACAAUCUUAUGAUAGAUUAUUUACAAGUUAUAAUUUAUAAAGAGAGAAACUAUAUUAAAAUAAUGCUUUUUACAUAAAUAUUCUAUCCAUUAAUCUCGUAUAGCUAAUUAAGUUUGUUUUUUUUUUUUUUAUUUACAACGACAUCCUUAGAUGUUUAAAUUGUUUUUUUUUUAAAGGUAAAAGGGUUGGGUCAAUCAAAAUUAAUUUUUUCACCCUGAUCUCUUUGAGAUUCGAACUUAGGUGGCUAGCUAACUAAGAUUAUUUGAAACCAUUCGGUUGGGUUUCUAGGGGCCUUGGAUGUUUAAAAUUUGUAUUUUGAAUUGUUAUUCAGAUGGAACAAUAUAAUUAACUUUAAUUUCAAAGUCAAUUUGACCCUAUUUAAUUUUGAGAUGCUGUUACUUUUAAACUAGCUACUUGGGAAAAAAAAAAGUCGUAACCUUAAAAUAAAAAGUGAUACUGUGUGGAAAAUAUGAUUUUAAAUAAUAAUUUUGACAAAAUAGCAAAGAAAUAUUAUUUAAAUUAUUAUUACCAGCCAAACAAAAAUAGGUUUUUUAUUAUACAAAUGCAAGAUCAAAUCAACUUAAUUUUUGAGUUACAACAACUACUACUUACUAAACACUUUGAUGUCAAUACCAAAUAGGCCUCUUUUUUCCUCUCCCUCUCUAAUUUGUAAGACUACCCAACCAUAUAUUGUAUAAUAUUCAAUUAUUAUAUUAACUAGUUUUAUUUUCUUAUGAUCACAUGAUAUCUUUUUUUUUUCAAGAAUCUGAACAGAUAAUGGUUUUAAAGCUCAGAAGUAGAUCUGAUUCUAAAUAUUUGGAAAUUGAAAAAAAAAAAAAACUAAUUCACAUUUGCAGAAGAAGGUAUGUACUUGAUAACUUGAACGCCAUGAUGGUAUAUAAUUAAAUUUAACUAUUGUUAUAUUUUUAUUUAUUAAUCACUAAUUAUUCACGAUGAAUUUUAUUUGAAUAAGUUCAUAUCAUGAUAGAAUCUUAAUUCAAAUACAUAUGAAAAAAAAAAUCUAUGACUGCACUAAUAAGAUAUUUCAUUUAAUCAUGUGAUAUUAAAAUGAAAAUUAUGAUAGAUAAACUUAAAUUUUCCAUUUUCCCCCCUUUAUCAUCUCACAUGGGCCACUUCAAUUCGCUGAAAUCCUGAUGCUUCGGCCUCCAGAUGUAAAAGAACAUGAGUCACAUAUAGUAUUGGUAGAUGCGUGAAUGGAUCACAUCUCACUCAACCAACAAAUUGCAUGUCAUCUGGAAAAUGAUUUAAAUAAAUGAACAAAUACUCAGUCCUCUAUUUUAAGUUAAGUAUUUGUUUAUUCCUUAUAUUUUAAAAAUAUCUCAAAAUAAGUUGUAGUUAAAUAUAUUACAUUCUUAAUCUUGUUUUUGCUUUGCUUUUAUAAUAAUGCCCUUAUAAUAAUAUUCUUGACAUUAAUUAAUUUAUCUAUAAAAUUUUAAUUAGAAAAUUAACCAAUAAUUAUUUAGUAAUAAAUUAACCAAUAAAUAUUAGUACAAAAGAACUAAUAUUUUUUGUACAUGUGCGACAAUCGUGCUAAUAAUUUAUUUAUAAAUAAAAUUAAUAUUAGUCAACUUAAAGUAAUGCUUAUCAUCCUUGCAAUAAUUUUACUAAUAAUUAUUUUAUAAAAAAUUAAUUUACCAAAUUAAUCCUAAAAGUAAAAUAAUAACAUAAAAAAAAAUUACUGUAAAAAUUUUUAUGCUACUUUGAAGGCUAAUUUGAUAAAGAAUGGAACUACUAGCACUCCUUCAAAAUCUUUUUAAGACCCCUUUUUAAAUACACCCAAUCAAAUAAAUGAAAAAUUAUAUCACUUCUAAAAACAACCAUCUUUAUUCCACAAUUGUCCUUCAAUCUUAUCUCUCAUAAAAUGAUAAAAUUACAAAAAUAAAAAUCUUUUUGUGGAUACUAUUGCAAUAAUGAUCAUUAGCAUUCUUCACAAAUUUGAUUAACAAGUAUGGAAUGGUAUGUAACUUUAGAUUUCUAAAUUUUAACUUUUCUUUAUGUUUUGCAACAAAUAUACCUUCUAUUUUAAUAUAUGAUACCUAUUAAUUUAAUUUUUUUCAAAUAACAAAACUCACUUGUUCAAACAAACAAUGAGACCAAAAAAAGCAAGGGAAAAAAAGUGAACAAAUAAAAGGUAGAACUACUUGACACAUAAAAACUUUAAAAAAAAAUGAAAAAGAAGAGAUCUAGUAAAAGAAGUAUGAGUAUAAAAUAAGCCAGGCAAUGAAAGAAUCAUAGCUUUUCGACAAAUUCCAUGUCAAUGUCCUUUUGGAAUAAAUUUUUAAUGUUAUCUAUUUGAAUAAUGAUGGUGGUUGAGUUUCCACUUUCCAUUAUGCUCUCGAAUGUAAGCUUCUGAUGCGUCUUCUAAAAUAAUUCUAGAUAUUUUAUUUUAAAUUUAUUUGAAUUUGUAAGUUACCCUUUUAAUUGCGGUUAUCAUGUAAACAAUUGUUGCCAAAUCAUAAACAAAAUCCUGAGUAGGGACGAUAAUGGGACGGUUUUGAUCGAUGAUCCACUUAAUCUAAAUCUAAAUUUAUCAUAUUUGGAUCAGUAUAAAAUGAAUUUGGAGUGGGUACAUAUGAAUCUAGAUGAGUAAAUUCAAAACAAAUUUAAAGCACGUAUACAAAUCUAACUUAAAAUUCGGAUCCGUAUCCAUAUCUAAUUAGAAAUCUUUUAAUUUUAUUUUAUUUUUAAAAGUAUUAAACUAUCGAUGGUUUAAUACUUUUACAAUCAAAUUAAACUUAUACCUAGCUUACUGAAAUCAAUACCACAUUUAUGAGAUGCAAUAUAUUAUCAGUUUUAUAUGAAAUUCAAAGUAUUAUUUUUAAUUUUAUUUAAGAUGAAUUAUGUGUUUUAGUUGAUAGUAAGACGUUUUUUUCUCAAAUAUUUUUGUGCUCUUAUUAUUCUUAUGAGGCUUGAAAGUUUAAUAAGAUAAAUUUAUUAAUAUUCUAUUAUAAUAUAUAAAAUUUUAAAAUUAAAAUUGAUAAAUCCAAGAUAGAUUUGGAGCAAAUCCGAACCUUUAUUUUAAAUUUGAACUUAAAUAUACAGUAAAAAUCAUAAAUCUAUAAUGAAUUUAGAGUAAAUACAAAUCUCAAUUUUUAUUAUUAAUCAAGAAUUAGAACAGAAUAGAUCCAGCUGAUAUAUAUGUCCCAUUGUCAUCCCUGUGACUGAUGAAAAGAUAUAGGAAAAUAAACAGGAGUUUAAUAAGCUAGACAAUAAAAGAAUCAUAUAUAGCAAUGAUUGAUUCUUUCUUCCUAUCCUUAUGAAAUCUUUCUCAAUGUCUUUUCUACGAAAUCUUUUUUAAUGUCCUUUUCGAAAAUAUCACCCUUCAGCCAAUGACUUUGAGCUGAAGGCUGGUAUUUCAAUUCAUGAACCAACCGAACAAAAAUCGUUUGUCAACAAUAUGGAUCAGCAGCCAGAAGCUACAAUUUAUCAUUAUUAAAUAGGUGAUCAUGCUUGCAACCAGGCGCAGGACAGAGUCUCUGACCAUAUUUAAAUGUUGUAGAAGCGUAGCCAUAUAUAUGAAACGUUUCACUUUGUUUUCGUAUGUUAUCAAAGGCUCAGUUUUAAAAGUAAUAUUGUAAUAAGUAUUGAAGUGUCCCAUGCAAUAAAAUCGAAGUGUCCCAUGCAACAAAAUCAUGUCAUGCGUCUUAAAUUUAUUUUGCCCUCUUAUUUAUCCUAGAUGGUAAAUACUGUUAUGAUAGAUUAUUCAAAAGGUUAUAAGGGGAGAAGAUAAGUUUAUUUUUUUUUGGGGAAAAACAUUUCCUUGCUGAAAAAAGCAAAAAUUUACAUAAGUACUGCAAUGUCUGUGGGCGGCUCUUCCAACUGAAUAAGAUCGUUAAUCAAAGAGAGUGCUAAUUUUGCUAACUGAUAAGAAACUGUAUUACAAUUUCUAAUUUCUGAAAUGAUCCAUUCAAUCUCCUUUCUACUUGAUAAAACGCCCGUAAUUAGAUGGACAAGAUUUACUGAAUCAAAUUCCACAAUAAAAAGAGUUAAGCAUAAAUCUAUCGCCGGCUUGAUGCCUUCUAGGAUAGCUUCAGCCUCUGCAAACUCGAUGUCGCUAAGAAAAGAUUUCUUGUGGCUGAGCCAGCUAUAAAAUCUCCCUUGAAAUUUCCUAUAAUUGCACCCAAACCUGUAAUUCCAUUGGAGAUGUCAAUCGGUGCAUCAACGUUCAAGUUGUACCAAUGAUUAUCCGGUGGAAUCCAACUAACACCCUUCUUGGUUGGAGGGACUAGAAACUCUUGAAUUGGAGAGCCUUGAGCAGCAGUGUACGAAUUCAAAACAGCUUCAGCCUUGCAAAGAACACUCUUUGGGUCCAUCUUUUGAUUCUGAUAGAGCGCUAUGUUCCUAGAAUGCCAAAUAGACCAUGUAAUCAUCCCAAACGAUGGGUAGUCCUCUUUUGACAGCCAAGAUUCCAAAUUCUUUGCAAAGAGAGCAAAAUCCAUAUGAGGGUUAUUCGUUACAUAAGCAGCCAAAGUUGACAACUUCCACACCUUGAUCGCAAACUUAUAGCCAACUAACUCAUGAAAGGUACCCUCAAUAGCACUAAAACAUCGAUGACAAUUUGGAGAAUCCACUACUUUUCAUUUCAAAAGAUUAUUUGAUGUAGAGAGUAUAUUACGUAGAGCUCUCCAAAAAAAAGAUCGACUUUAGAUGGAAUGGAUAAAAGCCAAGCGGGAUACCCCAAUUAGCAUAGCCAAAUGAACUUAGAGGGGGAAUUAGGAUAAGUAAGACUAAGGGCCACUUGUAACCACUCUUAAAAGUUUACAAAUUUAUUUUGUACAAACUGAUUUGACAUUAACUUAUUGAUUAAAUAAAAAUACAACAACAUGUUUUUAUAUUUAAAAUAUAUAUAUUCACAUAUACGAAGGUAUAUACUUGAACAAUAUGAGUAAUACAUGUGAAUUAAAAUCAUCUCCUAAUCUAAGCUCCAUUAAUUAAUUUUAAAAAAAACUUGUCACAUGUUUUUAGUAUAGUGUAUAAUUAUUGUUAUGUUUUUAUUUAUUAAUUUCCAAUUACCUGCUAUAUAUCUUACUCAACAAUGUUUUGAUCAUGAGAGAAUUUUAAUUCAAAUACAUAUGAAAAAAAAAAGAAGAAGAAAUCUGAGACCAUACUAAUAAGAGAUUUCCUUUCAUGUGAUUUUAAGAUCAAAAUUAUGAUAGUAUGCAAACUUGGUUGCGUUUAGUAUUGUUCUUUAAACGAUGUUUUUGUAUUUAUUUUAUAAUAUAGAUAUGAUUAAUAUUUGAUGAAUUUGAAAUUUUGUUUGGUAUAUAGUAUAUAGUAUGAAUUUGACCACUAAAUACUUAAUAAUUAUAUUUAUAUACAAAAUUAAAAAAAAAUAAGGAUUUCUCUACCUUACGUUUAAUGUAAGGUACAUCCCCUUACAAAUUGAGCUAUAAGUCCCACUUGAGCCCACAGCCAAUAGAGAGGUUGUACCUUACAUUAAAUGUAAGUAGAGAUGGCCAAUGGGUCGGGCGGCACAAGGCACAGCACGUGUCCGUACAACAUGGCACGACACGAGCACGUUUCGGUAGGGCACGAAGCACGGCACGGCACGCAAAAAGGCACGUAAUAAGCACGCUUCAUUGAUAGGCUAAGCACGUAGCCCGUGGGCCAAAGUAUAUCAAAAUAAAAAAUUUUAAUGAAAAAUAAAUAUAAAAUAUCAUGAUUUUAUAAAUAUCUUGAAAUUAAAUUUUUUAAUAUAUUUUUUUAGCAUAGGUUUUUUAAAAUUAAUUUAAGUCCUAGUUUAAAUAAAUAUUCUAAUUUUUUAUGUUUAUAAUUUAUUAAAUGGAUAAAUAAAUAUCAUGAUUUUAUAAAUGAUAAAUGAAAAAUUUUACGACAUUAAUAUUUCAUUUAUGAAAUCAUAACUUAGUUAAUAGUUAAUGGAGAUAUGUUUCAUUUGUGAAUGAAAUAUUUUUCAUAUUUAUGCACAAAAAAAUAAAAUUAUGAACAAAAUAUUUUUAUGAUAAAUUAAAAAUUACAUUUUCAUUCAAUGGAGUUUAUGUGCAAUUAUAAUAUUAGUAGCUCAAAUAAAAUUAGAUGUAAUUGUUAUUCUAGAAUUGUAAUUUUAUUUUCAUUAAUUAUUACUAUGAUCUAUGAAAUUAUUAUUAUUAUUGUCGUUGUUGUUGUUGUUAUUAUUAUUAUUAUUAGGCUGGUAGGGUUAAAAAAGCACGCCAGGCACGUGGACUUUUUUAGGCAUACUGGACAUGUGGACAAAGAAAAAAGGUUGGUGGGCUUUUUUUGGGCACGGCCCACGGCACGAGUUUGGACAUGUGGACAAAAAAAAAGUUGGUAUGGGUUUUUUUUAGCACGAACCACGGCACGGUACGGCACGAGUGGGCUCGUGCCGUGGGCCGUGCCGGCUCACGAGCCCGCGUGGGCUGACAUUUUGUGGGCCGUGCCGUGCUGGCCAUCAUUAAAUGUAAGGUAACAGCUCCCAAAAAAUAAAUGAAAGAGAGAGGCAACAUAGCAUAAUACGGGGCCGGACCCACAUCUUCAUAAAACUAUGUCAUAAAAGCAGUGGUAGUUCCUAUGAACAAAGUGAAGAAUAAAGAUUUGAUGCUGUCUAAUUAUCUUCGUUAACAUUGUAAAAUAGAUAUGGUUUGCUUUCAUAAUAAUAAAAAAUGUUACUGUUACUGAGGCUUAUCAAACAUUUUUUUUCUAUUCUUAUAAAAUAGAAAAUGAGUGAUGAAAAACAAUACCAUACAGCCCAAAUUUUUUUCCAUUUUUACCCCUUUAAUCAUAGCCUAUCGGCCUCUCCAAUUAGUUGAAAUCUUGAUGAUUCGACCACAAGUUGUAAGAGAAAUUCUAGAAUAUAUCUAUUGUAUUAUAACUAAUUAAUGCAUGCACGACAUGCGUAAUUGAGUUUAAUACAACCACCACUUGCAUGAUAGUUUACAAAAUAAAUGCACACAUGUCAUGAUAUUAUUUGCUUGUUGUAUGGGUGACAUAGUACAACAGAUGUAUUCUAGAAUUUCUCCAAGUUGUAAAAUACCAUUUGAGUCACAUAUAUUAUUGGUAGAUGAGUAGAUCGCAUCUCCCUCAACCAACGAAUUGCAUGUCAAUGUGAAAAUUGAUUUAACUGUUUAGUCUGUUUUUCAAUGAGACGUAUUUCGUUCAAACUUUUACCUUCAAUCAAUGGGACCGAAGAAAGUAGGAAAAAAAAAAUUAAACAAAUAAAAGGUAGAACUAGUUGACAGACAAAAUUUUAUCAACAUUUUGAAACAACCAACAUUAAAAAGAAAUAAAAAAAUAAAAGAAGAGAUCUAGUAAAAGAAACAUGAGUUUAAUAAUUAAGCUAGAAAAGGAAAGAAUCUUAGUAAGCUUUUCAACAAGAUCCUUUUCAAUGUCCUUUUCGACAAAAUCUUUAUUGUCAAUAUAUUGAAAAAUGAUGGUGGUUGAGUUGUCACUAUGUAUCUCGAAUUUAAGCUUCUGAUACGGUCUUUUAAAAAUAAUUCUGGAUAUUUUAUUUUAAAUGGUAACUUUUAAUAGUGGUUAACUUGUAAACAAUUGUUGCCAAAUCAUAAACAAAAUCUUAUUGUCUCACGGAAAGAUACUGGAAAAUAAUCAUGAGUUUAAUAAGCUAGACAAUGAAAGAAUAAUAUAUACAUGUUAUAUAGUAACGAUUGAUUAUUUCUUCUUACCGCUAAGAAAUCUUUUUCUAUGCCUUUUUCGACAAAAUCUUUAAUGUUAUAUAUUGAAUAAUGAUGGUGAUUAAGUUUCCAUUAUGCAUCUCUCAUGUAAGCCUCAGUCCCUAGAAUUAACUAGCUCUCAGGAUUCCUGCAUCAGUUAACUACAGCUUCCAGGUUUAUCAAUAAUUAUGGUACACCAUCCUCCAAUAUCUGUGCAUAUAUAAUUUUUUAAACAGGAAUUUUGGAGUUUGGAUCAUAUUAAAAUAAAGGAUAAAUUAAAAAAUAAGACAAACACAUACUCUAACAUAUUUUAUUUUAUCAUGUAAUAUAUUGAAUUUCAUAUUUUUCUGUCUUUUUAGCUUGUUAUAACGAUCCUUUAUAAGAAAUUAAAUGUAUCUUGAUUCUCUCCCACACUAACUUUAGAAGAGAAAAUUAUUUAAUUUGCUUUAUUCUUUUACUACUACUGCGUCAAAAUAACCAACAAUUGACGACAACAAUUAUUGAAUAUGUAACAAAUUUACAUACAUUUUGACGACAUCUUUACUUGUUUGUGUUGGCAUCCUUAUUGGCAAAUUACAACAUCGUUCAGUCUUCUUAUAAUUAAGCAAUUGUCUAUGUAACAUAAAUUAUGUAUUAAGAACAUCAAUAUGGCGUGGAGCAUUGCGCAUAGAAGAGAAGAAGUAAAGUCUUAGGCGUCUACUCCAUGUGGGAAACAUGGGAUUAUCACAAAGAGAGAUUUAAAGAUUAUAACAAAAGAGAGAUUUUAACUAACUUGUUAUGGAGGGAUGAGAUAACGAUCAAGUUGGCAUAAUCUGUAGAGAUAACGACGAGUUUGGAAUAAUCAUGUGGUGAUAAUAUUAUGAUAUUCUGCCUUUUGAUCAACUGAGCACGCUCCCUCUCACAACACAACUCUCUUCAUAAGAAUUGGCCAACAUGGAUUGUCACUUUUCAUGUUAAUUUGAUAUUACCUUGAAUGGCAUAUUAAUUUGAUUUGAAAAAAUGGAACGAGAGUAGAGGAAAAAAGGAGAAUGAAAAGAAAUAAGAAAAAAAAUGAUGAAUUUCAUAUAAAAUCAAAUAAUGAAAUAAUAAAAUUGAGGUCGAUUCUCUUUUUUUUCUCUUUUUUCUCUAAUAAAAAUAUAUCAGAUUAAUGACAAAGUAUUGAUAUUUGAUCCCCUCAGUUUCUCUUAUUAUCUCCCACUUCUCUCAUUUUAAUUUGAAAAGUCAAAAAUACCUACCAAAAUAAUUUUAAGUUUUAAAUUUUACCCUUUCUUCUUUCUCUCCUCUCUCUUAUUCUCCCGACUUCCCUUCAUCUUCGUUUUCUUUAAAAAUUGAAGAUUAGUACACUUUCCUUCAUUUUUUGAUCUUUCUGUAUCGAUGAGAGCAAUAAUUGACAUCAUCAAACAAUCCUUUUCUACCCAAAUCAUGAUUAUAAACAAAAGUAAAAAAUAGCAAUAUCAUGAUAUGGAAUCUUGAUCAUAUCUCAUGAUCCCUCUUCAGCUUCUAUGUUAAUCAAAAAGAAAAAAAUAUAAUCGAUUAAAGAUUAAAUUUAAAUUUUAAAAUGUUGUCCUUUUUUUGGGGGGGGGGGGGGGGGGGGAUAAAAAAGAGUUUGAGAUCAAGAUGACAGUGUUGCAUAAAUAAUUAUUAUUAUAAUAAUUAAAGAAACGGCUUGCAUGUCCACUUAUUGCUAAGAAGAGAAGUGGUUCGCGCCGGCCAGUUCCAAGAAGACAAGUGGUGGGUGUCAGUGCAUGGUUAGUAAUUAUUGGGGACUAGAACUGAUUGCCAAGAGUGAGGGUGCAUUUAAUAUUGAGGUUGAGUAACUUUUAAGAUACUGUACUAAAGUGUUUGGUAAACACUAAUUACGGUAGCUUGGAAACUAUGGUGGUAUUUGUUUUUUAACUUAAUGACUUAAAGUGACUUAACUUAAUUAAUUAAGUUAAUUAGAGGUGUUUGUUUUUAUAACUUAAUGAGACUUUUUAGAUAAUUUUGACUUAAUAAAAUAAGCUAAUUUUUUUGGCUUUUUACUUAAUGGAGAAAUCUGAAUUAAGUUAAUUACUUGCUAAUGUCAAAAAUAUCUCUGUUUUAUAAUUUAUUUUUUAUGUCUAUCCCAAAACUCACCCAUAAAUAUUUACCCCACAUAAAAAUAUCCCUGUUUUUUCUUUCUUAUAUUAUAUACGAUAAAAUUUGAAAUUUAUGGUAUUUUAUAUAUUAAAAUUCUAAAAUAAUUAUGUAUUCACUUGAAUAUAGUUUUGCUUAUAAAUGUUAAAAUAUUAUGGUAUUUAAUAUAUUAUUUAUUUGACAUUCAAAUUUAAUAAGGCUACAAAUGUAAAAGUACAUAUUUUCAGCUUUUUAAGUUGAAAAAAACAAACAGCUUAAUACUUAUUUUCCGAGAUUCAUACGAAAAAACAAACAUAUUAUUCAGAUUCAGACAUUCAGAUCUAUUAAGAAUUCAGACUAAUUCAGGUUUAUUCAGAUUUUAGAUAAAAAAAACAAACGCCACCUAUGUUAAUAUGAUUUUUUUCUUAUAUAAUAAAAAAUUUAUUAUAUCUUUAAUAAUUUUGUCAAAAUUAUUAUUUAAAAUUUAUAUAUACUAUAUAUUAUUAAUUUUUGUUUCAUAUUUACAGUUUUUUUUCCAUAGCAGUUAUAACUUAAAAGGUAUAGCACCUCAAUUUCAAACAGGACCUGAAUCUUGUUCAACAAGCAACAGAUUUAGCACCGAUGAGAGAAGAACAAAUAUUAAUUUUAUUUUUUUUAAUGAGGGCAAUUCUGAAUAUAAUUAUAACUAGUAAAAUGGGAGCUAACGAGAUAAAUUGAGAGGUUUAAUAUCUUUACUCUUAAUGAUAAAAAUAACCACAUCGAAGUGCACUGUUAAAUAAAUAAGUGCCAUCACUAUUUAUGCAAUUUACAUGAUAUUAUGAUUAAUCUUGCAUAUGAUUAUUUAUUAAUAAAAAAUAUGUAACAUGUGCUAGCACAUACUAUUUUCCUCUAAAUUUCUUAUACCACAUUUUUUCCUAUAAAUAGAAAGAGGCACACGUCUUCCACGCAAAUCACACAAGUAAGACUUAGUAUAAUUAGAAACAUGAAUCUCAAAGCUUUCUUUGUUCUCUCCGCAGUGCUCUCUUUGCUUCUCUUGGUAUAUAUGCAUCUCUUUUUUAGGAAAAUUUAACAUAAAGGAUACCUAAUUAAGUUAGUUUUGAUGAGAUUCUCUUUAUCAUUUGUUUGAUCUAAUUUUUUUUUUUUCCUCUUGUUCAGUUUGCUAACAGAACAGAGGCCAGAAAAGAUCAGGGAGAAUAUUGGAGAGGCUUCGUCAAAGAUAGCGACGUGCCAGAAUCAAUUCAAAUUCAUGUUCGCCAGGAUCCUGUCUCAACUGCCUCUGAUGCCAAAGCCCACUGCAAAGAACCUGAAGAUUUAGAGCACAAGAGAGAAAAGACUUAUGUCAAGGAUUCUGACGCAACGAUUGAUAUCUUAGUUUAUCACAACAGUAUUAAACCAACUGAACAAAAGUUAUUUGGCAACCACUUCGAAAGCCCGGAUGCUACAAUUUACCACAAUGACAUUAAACCAACAGAACAGAAGUUAUUUGGCAACCACUUCGAGUCAAGCCCGGAUGCUACAAUUUACCACAAUGACAUUAAACCAACAGAACAGAAGUUAUUUACCAACCACUUCGAGUCAAGCCCGGAUGCUACAAUUUACCACAAUGAUAUUAAACCAACAGUACAGAAGUUAUUUGCCAACCACUUCGUGUCAAGCCCGGAUGCUACAAUUUACCACAACGAUAUUAAACCAAUUGAAAUGAUUAAAUCUUUUGUUAGCAAAUUCUUGUCAAACCCUGAUGCUACAAUUUAUCAUGAGUAACCAGACUCUGCUUUCAAUCGUGUGGAGAGAGCCCGUUAUCCAUCUGUAAUAUUUGUGCGUACGUGUGAUGCUCUCUUUCUAUAAAUAAGUUAUGAGGAGUGCGGUUGUUUAAUGCUCUAAGGCACAAGCUUUGUAAGAAAGUGUGUUUUUAUUGUAAAAUUGAAUAAAAAUUUGUGCCAAGUUAAUUAAUUAUCCCUUUUCUAGUGAUUUUUUUUUUUCUAAUGCUUUGAUUAUUUCCACAAAAUCUUUUCGUAAGGAAAGGGCCUAGCUACUUGAAUCAAUUUUCUCCAUUUCAACGUUAUUAGUAUAAUAAUAAUACAAAAAAUCAUUAAUCUCAGUAAUUGAUAAACAAUAUUCUUUGCUAUUAUAUUGAGAAUUAAUUCCUAAUCUGAGAAAAUAAAUUAACAAUUAAAAAAUAAUAAAAGAUCGUGAACUACUUAGAUUUAUGGCCCUCUCACAUGUCGAUGGUACUUUACAUAAUUAGAAGCCUUUUUAUUAAUUUUAACAGACACCAUUCAAUCAACUUUGGUGACAUACUGAUAAUUGAUGCAAAAUUCUAUUUGGGGAAAAAAAAGUAAAAGAAAGAACUCCUAUUUUAGCUCUUAAAUCUUAAUUUUUCAAAUUUUAGAAGGAUUAAUGAUCAACAUUAUUUAGCCUAUUUUAUUUAAUUUAUAACUAUAGAAAUCCUAAAGCUGAUGGAGUAUACUUAAUACCUUAUUUUCCCCAAUCACAACCGUCUAAAUUCCUGAAACAUUUCAUUUCUUAAAUUUCAACGGUACAGAUUAAUUCUCUUACGAAAACUCAGCGACUUAUCCUGGACCGCCGCUACUAAAAUACAUAAGAGUAAAAUACUAUAGUAUUCCGGGACAAAUUUAUUUCUUCCACGACGCAAUAAAAUGCUGCGUCCAAUAACAUUCUGUUUCCUAAAGCUUACCCAAAUCGCAGAUAGGAACAUGGUUUGCAAUAAUUUUUCUAACAGAUCCUGCCAUCAAAUUCGUUAAAAACUGGUUUAAUUUUUAUUAAAUAAUUUUAAGUAAAUUGAAUAAGAUAAAAAAUUUAAAAAGUUAUUAUUUUAUAAUGAAAAAGCUAGAUCAUCCAUACGUAAUAAAAAAUAGUACGCAUUCACAACUUAAUGCAAUAUAAUCUAGACAACCAAAUAUAUUUUAUGUAUUUUUUACAAAUUGCUUUUAGUAUAAGCAAAUAAGGUGGUUGUCUAAACAUUCAUAUUUUUGGAAGGUCUCAAUUUUUAAUAUUUUCUUAAUAAUUUUCUAAUUAAUAAAGAUAUUUUUUUAACUUAUGUAUUGUAGAAAAACCUAUUAGACAUUUUUAUUAUUAACAACUAUACUACAAUUAAGAGUCUUUUUUGUAUAGAAAAUCAAUAUUUGUAACCUUAUUGAUAAAGAGAAAUGAUUAAUAAUAUUUUUAACCAUUAAUUCAUUCAUUAUUAGUUUUCUCAAGAAAAAAAGUUAAAUUCUUUACCUUUUCAUUUUCCUAAAAAAAACUUGAUUAUUUAACAUUGAAAUCUUUGACUUUUAUUAUUCCUUUAGUUUCUAUUAGAACCUUAUAAUAUAAAAAAUCAAUAGAUAAAAAAAAUUUGUUCCUCCUUUCUUUACGAAGAAAAUUAUUAUAUUUAUUGGUUAAUUUAAAAAAGAAAAAUUAGUUUCUUGAAGUAUGAAGACCAUAUCUAUUAUCUGAUAAUCAAUUCAUGAUCUCGACUUUCUAGCUAUAUUCUGUCAUUCUAAAUAUUUUAUUUGAAAAUAAUAUUGUUUUUAUUUAUUUGUUUGUUUGCUUUUUAAGAGUUCUGAUGGAAGUAAAAAAAACAAAUCUUUUUUACUAAUUUUUUAGGUUUUUUUUAAAAGAUUUUUUAAGAUAUUUUUUUAUUACUGUUAAAAUUUAAGAAUUAAAGAUAGAAUGAAUUUUUGAGUCUUUUCAUAUUUCUUUGAGUAUUGAAAUUACAAAAUAAAAUAUGGCCUUACAAAAAAAAAAUUCGCCUAAGACCCCAUAUACUCUAAUGCCGACUCUGGGUGAAAUUAUUGAUUUUAUUAAUAAUAAUAUGAUGUAUACUAACCAAUGUACAAAACAGUAGUGGGUGACAUAAAUUAGAAUUGUGUUGCAAAAACAAGAGGUUUGAGUGAAAAAGAAUUUACAAACUCACAUUACAAUGUUAUAUAGUUGCCAUAUGUCUCACAUUUUCAAAUGAACAAAAUAUAAUAAAUACAGUAUAAUCUUUAUAACUGAAUAUUCAAUAGAUUAAUAAUCUCUACUGUGUAAUAAUUUUUUAUGGUCAUGACUUAGGCCAAUAGGUUAAAUUAAUAAUUGCAAUAAAUUAAUAAGAUGAUAUUUUUUAUGAAAACCCUUAUAUAACUAUGUGGCUCCAUUCAUAUCAAAAUUAAUAAUUUUUUAAAAUUAUAAAUAUAAUUGACAAUAAUUUUUUAUUUAUUAAAAUGUGAGUCGAUUAUUAUCUUGUUCCCUUAUUACUUCUUUUCCUUGAAAUAUAAAUCUAUUUGAAUCUCGUAUCUAAUUUUUCUUAUUACAUCUAAAAGUUUUGGGAUUGAAUUCUUGAAUUAUAAUAAAAAAAAAUUAUGAAGUGCUUUCGUACACAUAACUGGCUCCAAAGCAAUUGUAUCAUUCUCAACUUUUAUCAUCGACAUGAUUUUAAGUGAUGUCAGCAGUGGUUUAAUUUAUUCUAAACUUAAAAUCUCUCAACUUACAUCAUUUUUAUUAUGAUAAUCCAAGAGGUAAUUAAGUAGAUAAAUACAAUACAGUUAUUGUUUUGGUUUAUCUAAUAUCUAUUUAGUAGAUUAAUUCAUAUUCAAUAAAUUAGAUUAGUAAAAUAUAACGAAAUUUUAGUUAAUUAAAUGUACGUUUAUUGAACUAUAAAUGAACUCUAGAAAUUAAUAAAUUAUUAAUUUACUAAUUACAUAAUAAUUCUUUUAAUUAAUAAAAUUUAAAUAGUCCCAAUGUUAUUAAUUCAUAGAAGUUAUAUGAAAUAUGUGUCAACUAUAUAAUAUCGUAGUUUGUAAACAAAACAUAACUCUUUUGUUAAUUGAAUACUAACGUAAUGCUAUAGAAAUAACAUAUGUGACCAAUUUGCAUAAAUGUAUACUCUCUGUAUCUUAUUACAAAUGCUUUAUAAAUCAGUGACUCAGAUGUUAUUAUCUAAACUCGUGGAAGCAUUACUUUUGUCCCUGCCAAUAUCAUUCAGAUAAAUAGUUGUUGUGCGUUCAGAUUCACCAGGAAUGCUUACGCAAAACAUAGACUGAACCCAAGAGCUUCGAAACUCGAAACUGAACCAAAUCAUUCUAAUGGAAGAGAAACGCCGGGAAGCCAGAGCGCAACCGGCGGCUACGAGCUCGGCCGCAGCUGGAGCCGAGUCAGCGGCAUCCGAGCCGGCUUCGCUCGGCGCCGAGCCGGAGCGCACAAAAGGAAAGCCUCGGCGCUCUCAGCGACUAACGCUUCAUCCACGCCGUCGAAGCGCAUGACUCGCGAGAAGAAUUUAGUUGCUCACACUCCGAUCUACAACCAUAACGUUACAUCUUGACAUUUGUAGUAAGAACGUGAGAGGAUACCUGGAGUGUAUUGGGAUUUGGGCGGAAGAGAAAGGAGCCCUUGGAAUUGGGAAACAAAUGAAAUUAUCUGCAUGGUCCUUGUACUCGUGGAGGGACUGUAACUUCUGAACCAACAAUGCUGAAAAUGCAGGGUCAAAAAUCAACAUUAACUUGAUGAAUAAUUGUUUGAAAAAAAAAAAAAGCAAGAAAACUUGAUUAAUAUAAAAGAGAGCAAAGGAGCACAACCAUACAGAAGUUGUAUAAAGGAAUAUUAAUCAAGCUUGAUUAAUAUUCUUCUUCUAUCCAACACCACAAGAUGAAACACAGUAUUCCUGUUGCAGUAUAUGGUGAGAACUGUGAAGUGCAGGAAGUAGUUUCCUAAGAGAGAUGAUUGAAUGCUCUUAAUUUUUUUUUUCAGAAAAUCAUUUUAUUUUUAAUAAAAGUUUAAUUUUUUUUAAUAAAAAUUUUUAUUUAUUUUUUAUUAAGUUGUGUCUCAUAUUUACUAAUAAAGGAAGUUAUUUGGGUAUAUAAGUAGGAUGUCUCAUCUAACAUGCUAGUAGGAUAAAUCUCUCAUCUAAUAUGCUAGUAUUUUGGGUUAAAUACCUAUAAAUUCUAAGCCGAGUCCACAACAGUCCCCAAAAUAACUGGAUUUAAGUCCUAGCUACACCAGUAGAUUGAAUAGAAGUGCAAAUAAGUUUAACUUUUUUGUCAUUCAUUUUAGUCUUUUUUUUUUUUUUUUUUCACAUACAUUGAAAAAGGAUAACUCUGUCGUGAUUGCCAUGGCAGAGCCUAUUUCAAACGAUGGUGUAUGCUAAAGGAAAUUAUCAUGAGAUGAGUGAUAAACCAUACAAUCAGUAGCUACAGCCCACGAUUAAUCAGCCACAUGGCCACAAAUAUUAUUGGCGGCAAAUAUAUCAACAAAAUCACAAUAAAGAUGAGCAUCCUCGAUUCCAUUCCUUAAUGUAAAUAGGACAGCCUGUCUAGCCAUUACUUUAAGAGAUUUGGCUGGCUUUGACACUUGUAUAUAAGCUUGUAACCCUCUCAUUCUUUACAAGAAAUAAGAUAAUAUUUUCAGCUUAAUAAUUCUUUUCAGUGAGAUCAAAGAAAUGUAAAGAGAUAUAGUCACUACUACAAAAAUGUAAAACAAUGACCCAUAUGUUAUGACGGUUCUUCUAAACAACCGUCAUUAAAGAUAUUUAAUGACGGUUAUUAUGUGAACAGUCAUAAUAUAUACCACUUAUAAUGACGGUUAUGUAAUAAAACCGUCAUUAAAUGUCAAAUAAAAUUUACACUUAGUUUUAAUGACGGUUCAUUUAUAAAAACCGUCAUUAAAAGUCACUAUUUUUAAUGACGGUUCUUAUAUACAACGGUCAUUAUAUGUGUAGUUAAAAAUAAUAUUACUUUUAAUGACGGUUUUUUAAUAACCGUCAUUAAAAAUAAUAAUUUUUAAUCACGGUUUUUACAUAUAACGGUCAUUAUAUGUGUAAUUAAAAUAGUACUACCUUUAAUGACGGUUUUAAAAAAACCGUCAUUAAUAAUUUUUAAUGACGAUUUUUACAUUAAACGGUCAUUAUAUGUGUAAUUAAAAUAAUACUACCUUUAAUGACGGUUUUGUUAAGAACCGUCAUUAAAAAUAAAUUUAUUUUUAAUGACGGUUCUUAACAAAACCGUCAUUAAAAAUCAUACUUUUUAAUGACCGUUAUAUAUUAUAACGGUCAUUAUAUAUAUAAUUAAAAUGCUUUUAAUUUUAAUGACGGUUCUUUAAGAACCGUCAUUAAAAAUUGACAUUUUUAGUGACAGUUGUAUAAAACAACCGUCAUCGUAUAUAUUGAUAUAGUUAUAAAAAAAAAAAAAAAAUUGGCCUUAUACUGAACACCAAAUCCCUAAAAUUACAGAUAAUUUGUAAACAUUAAAAGUAAUGGCGCAAGCACGCACGCCGCCGGUACACUUAGCCCAUGCAGCAGCAACCGAGCACGGUAGCAACAGGCCACCAGCAGUCGCUCUCUCUCUCACGCACACGCAGCAGCAAGCCAACACCAAUAGCCCCUCUUUCUCAUGCUCACUCUCUACUAUGCCCUCUUACGUACUCAAGAAAACUCUAACCCAUAUCCAAACCCUCGCCGUCGAAGAAAACCCAAUCCUUAAUGGCUUGAAAUUAAAGCCUCCACCGUCAAUCACCAUCGAACCAAAUAAACUCUAGCCUUACCAUCACUCUUCGUUUGACUCGCUGAAGAAAGCACUCUAUUAGGUGAGUCUCUGUUGUUUGAUAAUAUAUCUGCACUCUUUGUUGGCCGAAGCUUUUAGACAAUUGCUUUGAUUCAAUUGCUUCGAUUGGUUAGUUCUCUGUGAUUAAUUAGUUAGUUACUUUUAAUUUCAUAUUUUCAUCUCUAACAGUGAAUUUGGGAGUCGAUUUCUCUGUCGGAUUUGUAAUUUUUGCUACAGAUCAAAAACAUCUUGAAGGUGUUUUCAUAUCUAACAACUUGAACUAUCAUUUAUUUUGUCUUGUUAAUGUUCAAUUUUUUUUUCUUUUUUUAUUAGUAUGACAAUUAGUCGAAUGUGCUUGCACAUAAAACAAUCUUUUAACUUGGCGUUGGAAUAUUUGUUUUGAGUUGUGUCCCCUUAAUCAAUGACCAUACAAAAGUUCCCCAUGAUAAAGUGUUUAGCCCUAUUAAUGCCAUAAAGUCUUGCUCUCAAUUUUUCUGAUUAUGCCUAUGGAUUGAUUACCUAUUUCAUUUACAAAUUCAAUUGGCAAAUGUACAAUGCCUGCAUGACACUCACAUUUGGGUUAUGAUGGUAGUCAUUAUGAGGAAGAAUGUUAGAAUAACAUCAGGGGAAACAUCUGGGAGAAGGUAUGUACUGUCAAGCUCUUUGUUAGAAUCAUCACGAAAUUUAUAUUGGAUCUUGGCUGUUCUAUGUGAUGCAUUUUGGAUUUGCUCUUACUAGACAUGCAAAAACCUGUAAAAUGUAUUUUUUUUUUCCAUUUUAGAUUUACUAUCUAGUAUCUUGUAGGUUUAAUCUAAAAUAGAAACCAUUGAGGAUACUGGACACAAUUCUAAUGAAGAGAAAAGAUGUUAGACUUUAGUAUUCAACCUUUUUUUUUUAGCCAUAUUUCUAGACCCCAAGUUUAUGUCAUGAUAAUUGUGUGAUUGAUAAGAUAUUUUGGUUUUGGACUUUAUCUCAUGGAUUUAGAGUUCGAUUAUAUUUGGAAGUGGAAUAAUGCAUUCAUUUACAUAUGAUGUUUGAUGAAGUUCCCAUAAAAUUAAUUCAAUUAUAUAUGUUUAUGGUUCUAAGGAAGCGGGGCAAAAAUUUUAUCAGUGGGUUGAUUUCACUAGUUUAAGUUAGUAAAGCAAAGAAAUUGUCUUUAUGCACUUUAACUUUCCUCCAUUUAAGGUGAAAAAAUUAUUGAAGCUUUUAGAAGUGAAUUGUUCAUUUUGUUUGUGCACUUAUGCAGAUGGAUUUACUUUUGGCUGCUUAACCCUUCCUCACUUAUAUUUUUUCAGUUUAAAUUGCAGUGUUUUGCUGCUGUGCAACAGCACAAGAGGCUGUUUUAUUGUUGUUUCUGUAAAAACACAGCACCAGGAAGCGUCCAGGUAAUGUUUCGCUGCUGUUAUGCAGUAAAAACAACACCUGAAAGUUUCUAGGUGCUAUUUUUACUGCUGUUUACGCAGAAACACAGCACCUAAAAGUGUCUCUAGGUUCUGUUUAGCUGCUAUUAUGCAGCAAAAACAGCACCUGGAAACUUCCAAGUGCUGUUUUUAUUGCAUUUUAUGCAGAAACAAAGCACCUAGAAGCAUUCAAGGGUUGCUUUACUGUUGUUUUGUAUUUAAAAUUGCUGUUAGAAAUUUUGGGUGCUAUUUCUCUGAAAUUUUGCUAUUAACAGUGCAGCUUAAUAAUUUCAUAUGUCGUUUUGAACCUUCUUCAGUUCUUUUCUCUUAUGUCUAUACUUAAUCUUUUCCCCCCUGGUAAUAAGCAGGUACAAUUUUUGCAAGGUAAUAUCUAAGCAUGCUGUUAAUUCUUUGGUUGAGACGUAGUAUUCUAAACUUCAGGCCUUAAUUUUUUUAUUUCCAAGUGUAUAAUGGGUAGGUACUGGAUCUCUUAUGGAUGAUGUAGUUAAUGCUUUUUUAUUGUCUCUAUUUUGGCAAAUGUGUUGUCAUUUAUUAUCUGAACACAUGGUUGAUUAACUUACUUGAGGUAAGUCUAUUAAUUAAUAGUGAUAUGAUACUUUAAAGUCUUGUUUUACAACUUAAGUCACUAAAAUGAUUUAAUAUUUAUGAUUUAUAAUAUAUGAAUAUAUCUUAAUUUCUCUUUAUUCUUUGUAAGAAUGAUGUAGAUUGCUGAAGCUGGUGAGAUUCAUUUGCAAUUGAAGACUUGAUGAGAAAUUAGAUGUACUCACACAUGCCAAUCUUGUUGGUUGCUAGUGCAUUCACUAGUAGAAGUUUAAUGAUUGUUGGAGAUUUUUGUAGAGCUAUCUCUUUGUAAAUGAAACAUUUGCAUCAUUUUGAAUAUGAAACAUUUGUGAAAAAUAAUUGUAAAGAAUUUAAUAUGAAAUUAGAAUUAAAAUAGGGGCUUGAAAUAGCCUUAAAUUUGCCAAAUUUAUUUUUUUAAUAAUAAAUAACAAAGAUGACGGUUAUUUCAAAAGAACCGUCAUCAAAUGUAGUGUUCUAUAACAAAUAUGACGGUUUUCUUCUAAAACCGUCAUUAAAUGUUGUUUCAAUAUUUAAUGACGGUUCUUACAAUAAACCGUCAUUAAAAUGACACAUUUAAUGACGAUUAUUUAGAUAAACCGUCAUUAAAGAUAGAUAUUUAAUGACGGUUCUUACAAUAAACCGUCAUUAAAAUGACACAUUUAAUGACGGUUAUUUAAAUAACCGUAAUUAAAAAUAUACAUUUAAUGACGGUUAGUGAACCGUCAUAAAAAACAUACCCUCUUUAAUGUCGGUGCCUAAGAUGACGGUUUUAAAACCGUCAUCUUAUGUCGUUUAAAACCGUCAUAAAAGACCAAUUUUGUAGUAGUGAGUCUAUUAGGUUGGCAAAUCUACUGAAACAAUAUUGUUUCCUAUCAACUCCGAAAUACAACCAAUUGAACAACGUUCAGAAAUCGAAAAUCAUUUAUUACCAGUAAGAUUUAUUAUUAUACGCUAUACAUAUGGCUUUAACAGUCACAUUACCAAUACAUUUUUAAUCAUGGUAGGUAGGUGCUGGAAUGUAUACAAUAUUAUCAGCCUGGAAGAAAUGGCAGACAUGGGAGCUCCCUGGCUCGAUCCCAAGCACACGAAACGAUGCAUGAUCUCGACUCCAAUGAGACGUAUCCAUGUGGCAAACUGCUACAGCUUCCACUCUAUCUCCAUUAUCACCACCUAAUGAAACACCGAAUAACUUGUUCUCAGUCAUUUGGCUGUGGCAGUAGAAGAUUGCAUAAGGGUAAGGCAUGAUAUGACAUGCCACCAUCUUGGGAGCAACCAUUGGUUUAGGCACUUGUAAAAUAGUGUAAUUUUGGAAAAUGGUAGCUGAUUUUGUGAGAAAUUUUGUGCUUAGAACUUCGAAUUUGGUCUCCAAUCCGAAAGUUCCGUGUACAAAAUCAAGCAUGGAUUCCAAAGAGGUAGCACAAAUUUUGGUUUCUCCUUCGAUGGGAGGAACUUCGCAAUGAUUCAGGGUCCCUUCCAUGGCUUUGGCUAGGGGUGAGUCAUCUGAGAACGAGAAGAAUUGAAGAAGGUAAGGCAGUUGUUUCAAUGAAAAUGGAAUGGAAUCUGCUUCUUCUCUAGGCAAAGCCUGAGGAUAAGCUGAAGGAUCUCUCUUGCGAAAAAUAAAUCGGCAUCGUUUCGCCAAUCUUUAGAUCCUUCAAGGUGAAGAACACCAUCGUUGAAGGGUCCAUGUGAUUCAUGUGGGAUGGUAUUGAAUGAGAAUCAUGAAGAUUCUCCGAAAGCACCUGAGCACACUGUAAAACAGUUGAGCAAUUCAAUAUGACAACAUAGAUGAAAAAUCAACAACACAAGUUCUAUAAAGUGUAAAACUGAAGGAGCAAAAUAUAUCUUUUUGAGUUAUUGCUUUAAGACAACACUUAUGUACAUCUAUUGCAAAGUAAGCACUUCCUUAGCACACAUUGAGGAUUAUUACCAGAAAGAGUAGAGAAAGAAGGAGGUUCCAAACUGAAAAUCUUAACCCCAUCUCUUUUCUAUUAUCGAAGUUUCUUAUGUAUUUUAGUAAUCUUUUUGUUUUUUUUUUUAAGGGAGAGGAAACACAGAUAACAAGUGAAGCAGAAAGAGAAGAGAUUGUGUAACUGUAUAUGUCAACAACCAAAUGAUGUGUGUUAAUUUUCAAGUGGAAAUUUAUAGCCUGCAUAAGCUGAACUUGUUCUACUGUGCUGAUUAAUUGAAUCACAACACAGUUUGAAUAAUGACCUUAAUAGUCCAAUCCAGCAAAGAAUUCAGCACUCCAAUCAUUUGGGGACACACGUAUUGCACCUUCAUCAGGUCUGCGGAUUUUAAUAGUUUUGACUGAGUGAAUGAUUACUUCAAUUGAUAACAUUGCAUAUUAGAUUACCAGACCUAAAAUUGAUUUCUUAUUAAAAAAUUUACUUGCAAUUUGGAAACUCUCUUUGACACAUUAAUUACAGACUCGAAAUCUGUAUCAAUAUUCCCCAUACAUAGACAGAACUGAGCAUAAAAAGUGGGAAGGCAGAUCGUAAACAAAUUCGACAUGGUAGUUUCCAAGGAUGAAUAGCAUUUUUUUCAUUCAAAAAUGGGAUAAUAUAUCCUUCAGUCACGUAAUGUACACUAAGGCGGCGUUUGGUUGGGAGGAGAGAACAAAGAAGAGGAAAGUAAUUUAAAUUUUCUUUUUAUUUUCAUUGUUUGGUUUGAUAAAAUAUAUAAGAAUUUAAUUUCCAUUAGAAUUUAAUAUCCAUCAUAAUUUGAAUUCCACACCAAGUAGUGAAGAAUUUAAAUUCCUCUUAUGUUAGAAACUAAAGUUUCCAAAAUUACCCUUCAACUUGUUUAAUGUCAUUAAUAAUUAUUAUUUAAUAUUAUAAAUGGAUCACCGCCGGAAAGUCGCCGGACUACCGCCGGAAAGUCACUGGAAAGUUACCGGGCCACCUCGGAAUGUUGCCGGAAAGUCACCAGACCACUGCCGAAAGUUGCCGGACGUCGCCAAAAUCCUGCCGAACGUUGCCAUAAGGUAGUUUCCAAGGAUGAAUAGCAUUUUUUUUUCAUUCGAGAAUGGGAUAAUUUAUCCUUCAGUCACGUAAUGUACACUAAAGCUCUUCUCAACCUAGUGUGCGUCGGAUAUGUGAGCGUCGGGGCUCCAAUCUCCCGUACAAUCUUUAAAAUUUUGUUUGGUCAAAUUAACAGGCUGCACUCACUGUAUUUCCAUGGAUCACACUACUUCAACUAAAAGAUAAGAUAAUAAGUAUCUUUAGGAUUUUACUGAAUGAUUUUUAAGUAGUUUUUAUUAAUUAAUUAUUCAAAUUCGAAUUAAAAAAAGACUAAAAAAUUCAUCUGAAUUUUUCUCACUCCCAAUCUUUAAAAAUAAAACAAAUAAUAAGUCAUAUAAACAAUAUUUUAAAUGCAAUUUUCACUUCAAACAUAUUUCAUUUGAAGUUUAAUUAUAUUCUCCGAUGGAACCUGGAUAAGUUGAAAAAAAAUUUAUUAAUAAAAAAAAUGUACAUCUAAUUGUCUAACGAUGGGUCAAGAACAAAAGGUUAAAAGAUAAUAUACGUGGACAUGAUAAUGCAGAAACCGAAAAUCAAAAGGGCACGAGUUUCAAAUGCUAGACAAAUGAAAGAGACGUGUGAUUGCAGGUCGAUUUUCUUCUCAUCACUAGCCACUAGUGUUGUGCGCGGAAUGCGGAAUCAAGCGCACCAAAUAAUUAUUGAAAAAUAAAGGACACAAGAAUUUACGUGGUUCGGUAAUUAAACCUACAUCCACGGAGACAAGAAAGAAUAAUUGUUUAUUUAACAAUUAAUAGAAUACAAUAUUUGAGUAACGAAUCUCACUUCCCAGAAAACCCAAAUAUACCCAGUACUCUCACACUCUGCAAGAAAGAUAAAUUCCCCAGACACACUUCUCUCACUUCUCUCAAAAGCUUAGAAACUUAUAAGCUUGACAAUUUUGGGAUGAUUUCAAAUGAAUGAAAUCCUUAGCUAUUUAUAGACUUGAAGCUAGUAUUAUUCCACCUAACCCAAGUACUAUUUCACCUAACCCAAGCACUAUUCCACCUAACCCAUGCAAAUAUGUCAAUGGUGUCCAUUUGGCAAAUUUGACAAAUUUGCCAACUUUCCAUUUUUUCUUCAAAUGUUUGGUAGCUCUUUGAAAAAUUGCCACAUGCAUGACUUUUCAACAAUUCUCCACCUCGGCGAAAAUUUGUCCAAAUCUGAGCCGACUACCAACGAACCCUCAUCCCCAAAGUGAUCCUUCAAUAAGGAUCCAGAAUGACUGUGUCGAUUCGACUGUCUACGUACCCAAAAUUUGGGAUCAAGCCAACCGUAGUUCAAAAAUUCUCCAAACUCAACGCAUUCGAAGAAUUAGUUUCAAUCCGUAUAAAGAUUUACUCAAUCUGCACACACGAUUUUCCUUUCCAGCAACUCUGAAACCACAAGGCUGAAUCAUAUAGAUUUUCUCCUCUAAAUCUCCAUGUAAGAACGCCGUCUUAACAUCCAACUGAGCUAACUCUAACUCAUAUUCUGCAACUAAGGCAAGUAGGAUACGAAUGGAAGUAUGUUUUACAAUUGGAGAGAAAACUUCAUUGUAGUCCAUACCUUCCUUUUGAGCAAAACCUUUUGCCACGAGCCUUGCCUUGUAUCGAGGAGUUGUUUGAUUCGGAGAUCCUUGCUUUUUGGUGUAGACCCAUUUAUUGCCAAUAGCCCUUUUCCCCUUUGGUAACUUUACAAGUUCCCAAGUCUGGUUUUGAUGGAGAGAUUUCAUCUCUUCCUCCAUGGCUAGCUUCCACUGAUCACUUUCAUUGCUGCGUAAUGCUUCACCGAAAGUAUUGGGGAUGUCAUCAUCAAUAACUGAAAGUGCAUAGGCUACCACCAUAUCUUUAGUAAGCCAUCCGGGUUUUUUUAUCUCUCUUUUUGGCCUCCUUGUUGCUAUAAAAUCAUCAUCAUCUACAUCAUCAAUUGUUUUUUCAUUUUGUGGGACAUCAGAAGAAACAACCUCUUCUUCAACUUUAGGUGUCACCUCCAUAGUUGAACCAUUCUUUGAUGUAGAACUAACUUGUACAUAUGGAGUUGCAUCAAACUCCACCCGCUGCAAUACCUCUGUGGUCUUGUUCUCCACCUGCUGAGAACUUGAAGCUUUUAUCAUUGAAGCUUCAUCAAAUGUGACAUCUCCGCUACACACAAACUUUUUGUCUUCGAGAUCCCAAAGCUUGAAGCCCUUUACUCCACCUUUGAAUCCCACAAAGAUAGAUUUUUUAGCACGAGGAUCCAGUUUACCAUCUUUGACAUGAUAAUAAGCUGGACACCCGAAUACACGAAGGGAAUCAUAGUCUUGUGCAUGCUUUCCAGACCCCAUUUCCAUAUGAGUUUUACCUCCAAUUGCAGCAGAAGGCAACCGAUUUACCAAGUGACUUGCGUAGCUCACAGUUUCAGCCCAAAACUUUUUAUCUAAACCAGCAUUAGAUAACAUACAUCGUACCUUCUCCAGUAAAGUACGAUUCAUACGCUCAGCCACACCGUUCUGUUGCGGAGUAUGUCUCACCGUGAAAUGUCUUUUAAUACCCUCGUUCUGGCAUACUUGCAAGAAUGGAUCAGAAGUAUAUUCACCCCCAUUAUCAGAUCGUAAUACUUUGAUCUUUCUGCCAGUUUGAGUCUCCACCAAUUUCUUCCACUUCACGAAAAUCUUUAGAACCUCAUCCUUUGCUCGCAUGGUGUACACCCAUACACGUCUAGAGAAAUCAUCAACAAAUAUAACAAAAUAAUGGCUUCCACCAAUUGAUGCAGUCUUGGUUGGUCCCCAUACAUCACUAUGAACAUAUUCAAGGAUCUCACGAGUAUCGUGAUUAGCUGUACCAAACUUGACCCUUGUUUUCUUGCCUACUACACAAUGCUCACAGAAAUUUAAUUUACAGGUUUUGGUACCUUUUAAGAGUCCAUGCCUCAUCAGAGUUUGCAAAGACUUCUCUCCUGCAUGUCCCAGUCGUACAUGCCAUAGCUUGGUGGUGUCACUGUGCGCCUCAACAACAUUUGCUUCAUCAGUUGUACCUCUCUUCAAAUAGUACAAAUUGUGACGCCGAACCCCUUGCAGAAUCAUCAUAGCCCCAUGUGUAAACUUCAUUGUGCCAUCUUCAAUGGUAACUUUGUAACCUUUAGCUUCCAAAGCACCCACAGAAAUUAGAUUUUUCUUUAUCUCUGGAACAAAUCUAACCUAUUUGAGUUCUCUGACCAUUCCAUCAAACAUUUUGAGCCGAAUUGUUUCUAUCCCCAUUGUGCGACAAGGUUGAUUAUUCCCCAUCAUAACUGCACCGGAUUCCAGAUUACGAAAAUCCGUAAACCAUUCCUUAAUAGGACACAAAUGAUAGGUUGCUCCAGUAUCAAGUGUCCACUCACUCGAACUAGCCACGUAUGCUGCAGGAGUAAUACUUAGUGAAUAAUCAGAGUUCUCAUCUUUCCGUGCCAUGUUUACUGCUGCUGGUUUCUUCCCAUCUCUCUUUUGAGCCUUUGGACAAUCUUUUCUCCAAUGACCCUUUUCAUGAAAAAAGGCACACUCAUCUCGAGCUAUAUUUCUGCUUCUUGAUUUGGAUCAAGAAUUCAUUCCACCACGGUUCUUCUGUUUCUCCAUCGCCCAAUCUCUGCUCACCAAAGCUUCAGACGAUGCUCGUUCAGAAUUUUUAUCAUUAUUCUGAAUCUCCAAACUAGUCAAUGCUGUGCAAACAUCUUUAAAGACGAUCACACUCUUCCCAUAUAUCAAAGUAGUCACAAAAUGGCUAUAUUCCUCUGGUAGUGAGUGUAACAGAAUCAUAGCCUUAACUUCAUCUUUAAUAUCUUCAUCAAGAUUCUUCAAAUCAGCAAGUAACUUUUCAAAUCUUGAAACAUGAUCGUGCAUUGACACCCCAGGCUUCAUUCGAAAACCAUAUACUUGGCUCAUUACAUGAAGGCGAUUUUCAGGACUUUUCACCAGGUACUUCUCCUCCAAUGUACGCCACAAAGUCACCGCACACUCCUCAUCUUUCACCAAGUAUUUCACCUCCUUGGUCAAACAAGAUCUGAUAUGACCACAAGUUUUUUCGUUCAUACGAUCCCAAAUUUCUUCAUCAUACAAGUGCCUUUUAUUUUUUAGAACAACAUCGAGAUCGAUUUGAAUAAGGGCAUCCAUAACUUCGCGCCUCCACAUGCCGAAGUUGAUUUUCCCAUCAAACUUUUCAACAUCGAUCUUUUGGCCUCCUAUAACAUGUGCUGAAUAGCGAUUUGAUAAAUCUCGCCUCCCACCUGAAGUGUCUCCUGAAAUAGUCUCGGUAGAUAUCUCCCUAAUUCUGGAAGUUUCACCUUCUACCAUUUUCUCAACGAACUAUUUCCACUUAAAAAACAGUCUCUAUGAUGUUAAUUUCGCGUGAAUAAAUGCACCAGGAAAGUUCCCAGGAAACUGGACGGGAACUCGGUCCCAAUUAAAAACCAGAAUCCUUAGACUCUUAUCGCCUUUUUUGACAGAACUUUCCUAGACAUGCAAAAAUACACACUACUUACAAUAGACUGUCUCCCAAGUACAAAUGGCCGUCUCCACCGUAUUCGUAAAUAGUGCCGUAUAUGUGAACAGUACCGUAUACGUGAACAAUACCGUAUACGUGAACAGUACUGUAUCCCCCCAAGUACGAACCGUCGGCUCUGAUACCACUUGUUGUGCGCGGAAUGCGGAAUCAAGCGCACCAAAUAAUUACUGAAAAAUAAAGGACACAAGAAUUUACGUGGUUCGGUAAUUAAACCUACAUCCACGGAGGCAAGAAAGAAUAAUUGUUUAUUUAACAAUUAAUAGAAUACAAUAUUUGAGUAACGAAUCUCACUUCCCAGAAAACCCAAAUAUAUCCAGUACUCUCACACUCUGCAGGAAAGAUAAAUUCCCCAGACACACUUCUCUCAAAAGCUUAGAAACUUAUAAGCUUAACAAUUUUGGGAUGAUUUCAAAUGAAUGAAAUCCUUAGCUAUUUAUAGACUUGAAGCUAGUACUAUUCCACCUAACCCAAGUACUAUUUCACCUAACCCAAGCAUUAUUCCACCUAACCCAUGCAAAUAUGUCAAUGGUGUCCAUUUGGUAAAUUUAACAAAUUUACCAACUUUCCAUUUUUUCUUCAAAUGUUUGAUAGCUCUUUGAAAAAUUGCCACAUGCAUGACUUUUCAACAACUAGCACACAUCCCCUUAAUCAAAAUCUUUUUCAAUAUUGUUUAUUAUAUAAAUGGAUAUUGGUAGUGGUUGAACUUCUAUUAUUUAAUUAUGUUGUCAUUUUCCAUCACUACAACAACAGAUGAUUCAAGUAGGAUCGAUCAAUAAUUGUCGCCCAAUGUUUUGUCUUUUUCAUAAUUUAGUUAUUUUUGUUCAUAUGUCUGACGAAGAAGUUUUAAUUUUGCAAGAGGAAUUCAAGUUGAUAAGACCUUGUCGACUUGUCUUCUGCUGAAGAAUCUUGAAUAAUCAUGCCAAAUUCAAAAAGUGGCAAAAGCAAAAGGCUAAGUUCUUAAUGAAUUCAAUAUUAUUACGAAUUUGGUGCUAGCUCAAUCUUGAAAAUGAUCCAAAAAUUAAAAAGUAAACAUAUAAUAAUCACAUCUACAAAUGUACAUUAUUAGUGAGUCAUUGAUGAUAUCCCAUCACGAAUUCAUUAGCUGACUAAUUAAAGAUACCACGAAAAUAUUAUAUCAUUAGCUGGUCUAAAAAAGUAGUCAAUAAGAAAAUGAAAGGUAAAUUCAUAAAUUUCAGCCGGAAUUUUUUUUUUUUUUUUAAAAGGACCAAUAAUUGUAGGAAAUGGCUAGCUUCUUAUCCUCUUCACAAAAGAUUAAAUCCUCUUGAAAAGGUUUGUUACUGAAAUACAUAUCAUAUUACACCAACACUCUCUAUUACCAUAUGAAUUUAGAUCUUCCCCUAACUUAAUAUUUCAUAUAAUAUUGUAGGAAUAAUCUUCAUCACCGGAGAUUAGGAUCUUCUCCUAACUUAAUAUCUCAUAAGUGUUGUAUGAGAUUAUUUAGCUCAUGUCAUUAUAUUUUUCUAAAGCUAGGAUUUAAUUUACUUUAUACUUUCCUUAUUAAACAUUAAAACCAAUAAUUUUCUAGGCUAAGUAAAACCAUGAAAUUCAAGUGUGCCGCUUUCUAACCAAACUGCUGCUUCUUUCUCUACCGUUUUUUUUUUUUUUUUUUGGUCACAAACUUUAAACUGUGGUAUAUAUAAACUUGAGCAAAGAAGCAUUAUUGGUAGGAUUGGCAAUGAGACGGGAUGGGAUGAGAUUUACCAAUCCCACUCCCGUCCCGCAUAUAUAAUUGAGAUAAAAAAAUGUCUCACUCCCAUCCUUCAAUUUUUUUAUGGGACCAAAAUAUAUCCCAAUCCUGUCCCAAAUUGCCAUCCCUAAUUAUUGGCAAUUCAUUCUUUUAAGAAUUGUUUAUGUAAUGGAAUCAGACCAGAACAGAAUGCAUUAUUGUUCGAUAUACGUAGUCUACAAUAACAAUUGAAGACACCUGAAGAUAAUAUCAAUUAUAGACAAUUGUUAUUGCAAUAUAUUCAAUGCAUUGUUGCUAUCGCUUGUCUGCAAUUAAUUUUAUAUAAAUUAAGCUGAUAUAUCUCAUUUCAGUGUACUAAUAAUUAAGUUGAACGUUGAUGCAGCUACUGCUAUUUCCAGGAACACAGCUUUCUAGGAGCCAUUAUUCGUAAUGUGAGAAGGGAGAUUAAUUAUGGCAGUAGCUAUCUAAAGUAAAAUUUUGGAGAUCUUGAAUUCGCAGAAGCAGAAGCAAUGAGAUUUGGGAUCGAAAUAUGCAAACGGCACAGGUCUAUUUCCAUUCAUUAUUGAAUCAGAUACUAAGAAUGUUGUCAAUCUUGCUGCAGCACUUGAAAGUACUAGAAAAGAGAUUCUUUGAGUGAUAUAUCUCUGAUAUUUAAUUGUUGGCUAGACAACUGGCAAUUUCAAAUUUGUAUUCAUUCCUAGAAUAUGUAACGUGGAAGUUCAUAGAUUAGCUAAACUUGCAGUUAGCGAUCAGAAAGCCGUAUUGUUUGGAUUGAGAAUAUUCCUAUAGAUGUAAAAUCUUAUCAUUUUUGAAGAAUUUUUUACUUUGAAAAUAAAAUAAUUAAGGGCCAUCUCUAUCGUUGCGAAUUGUAACUCGUAGACUUUGCGGUCCACAUUAUGAAUUUAAAAUUCUUGCAUGAUUAAUCACCCACAUGAGCAUGCUCCCCCAACCUGCCACAUCAUGUUACCACUUCUUCCAAUCUGUGUAUACACACACACACACACACACACCAGUAUGGCCUCCAUGCAAAUCACAAACGCAGUAUCUAAUAUUGUUUGUCACUGGCAAGAAACAUGAAUAUUAAAGCCUUCUUUGUUCUCUCCACAGUGCUCUCAUUGCUUCUCUUGUUAUGUAUCAUUUGAUCAGUAAUAAUGUUAGGUUAAUCACAAAUUCAUUAUAUAAAAUAUUUUGUACAAAAUUGAUAACACAUAAUGUACAGUAUCGAUGUGAUAAGAACACCACACAACCCGAUCAUUAUUUUAUAUUUCCAUUCAACCAAUACUAUUUUAUCACAUCAGCUUUAAGAGUAGCUUAAUUAUAGCUAGCUCUAGCAUUACUCGUUUUGAUUCAAAUGAUUUUCGAAUUUUUAUCAUUUGCAUGGUCAAUAUAUAGUUCCUCUCUCUUUUUUUUAUUUUUUAUUAAUUGUUUUCCUUGUGUGCAGUUUGCCAACAUGAUAGAUGCAAGAAAAUACCAUGGAGACGAUUGGAGUAUUGUCGUGAAAAAUCAAGACAUGCCUUGGGAAUCAACUCAAGGUCUCAUUCCCGAAGUUCAAGGCCCGACCAUCUCUAAAACCAAAGCCUAUUGCCAUACACAUGAUGAUUCUGAGCACACCAUGGAGAAGCCUUUUGUCAAUAAGAACUUUGAGCUGAUGCCUGAUGUUUCAAUCUAUGACAACGGUAUUAAGCCAACCAAACAAAAGGCUUUUGCCAAGCACUUCGAGUUCUUGCCUGAUGUUUCAAUUUACGACAACGGUAUUAAGCCAACCAAACAAAAGUUCUUCGCCAAGGACUUCGAGCUCAUGCCUGAUGUUUCUAUUUAUGACAAUGGUGUAAAGCUAGCCAAACAAAGGUUCUCCGCCAAGGACUUCGAACUCAUACCUGAUAUUUCAAUUUAUAACAAUGGUGUAGAGCUAGCCAAACAGAAGGCAUUCGCCAAAGGCUUCGAGCUCAUGCCUGAUGUUUCAAUUUAUGACAAUGAUAUUAAACCAACGAAGAAGAGUUCAUAUGCCAAGGACUUUGAGCUGAAGGCUGAUAUUUCAAUUCAUGAACCGACCGAACAAAAAUAGGUAAUUAGCAUUACGGAUCUGCAGCCAGAUGCUACAAUUUAUCAUAAUUAAAUAGAUGAUCAUGCUUGUAAUCAGGCGCAGGAUGGAGUCUCUUACCAUAUUUAAUGUUCUAGAAGAGUAGCCACAUACGUGCAAUAACGCUUUCCUUGUUUGUGUGUGUUGUCAAAAGCGCUGUUUCUAAAGUAAUGUAAUAAGUGCUGAAAUAACCCAUGCAAUAAAAUCAUGUCAUGCGUCUUUAAUUUUUUUUUUCUCUCUCUCUUAAACAAUCUUAUGAUAGAUUAUUUACAAGUUAUAAUUUAUAAAGAGAGAAACUAUAUUAAAAUAAUGCUUUUUACAUAAAUAUUCUAUCCAUUAAUCUCGUAUAGCUAAUUAAGUUUGUUUUUUUUUUUUUUAUUUACAACGACAUCCUUAGAUGUUUAAAUUGUUUUUUUUUUAAAGGUAAAAGGGUUGGGUCAAUCAAAAUUAAUUUUUUCACCCUGAUCUCUUUGAGAUUCGAACUUAGGUGGCUAGCUAACUAAGAUUAUUUGAAACCAUUCGGUUGGGUUUCUAGGGGCCUUGGAUGUUUAAAAUUUGUAUUUUGAAUUGUUAUUCAGAUGGAACAAUAUAAUUAACUUUAAUUUCAAAGUCAAUUUGACCCUAUUUAAUUUUGAGAUGCUGUUACUUUUAAACUAGCUACUUGGGAAAAAAAAAAAGUCGUAACCUUAAAAUAAAAAGUGAUACUGUGUGGAAAAUAUGAUUUUAAAUAAUAAUUUUGACAAAAUAGCAAAGAAAUAUUAUUUAAAUUAUUAUUACCAGCCAAACAAAAAUAGGUUUUUUAUUAUACAAAUGCAAGAUCAAAUCAACUUAAUUUUUGAGUUACAACAACUACUACUUACUAAACACUUUGAUGUCAAUACCAAAUAGGCCUCUUUUUUCCUCUCCCUCUCUAAUUUGUAAGACUACCCAACCAUAUAUUGUAUAAUAUUCAAUUAUUAUAUUAACUAGUUUUAUUUUCUUAUGAUCACAUGAUAUCUUUUUUUUUUUCAAGAAUCUGAACAGAUAAUGGUUUUAAAGCUCAGAAGUAGAUCUGAUUCUAAAUAUUUGGAAAUUGAAAAAAAAAAAAAAACUAAUUCACAUUUGCAGAAGAAGGUAUGUACUUGAUAACUUGAACGCCAUGAUGGUAUAUAAUUAAAUUUAACUAUUGUUAUAUUUUUAUUUAUUAAUCACUAAUUAUUCACGAUGAAUUUUAUUUGAAUAAGUUCAUAUCAUGAUAGAAUCUUAAUUCAAAUACAUAUGAAAAAAAAAAAUCUAUGACUGCACUAAUAAGAUAUUUCAUUUAAUCAUGUGAUAUUAAAAUGAAAAUUAUGAUAGAUAAACUUAAAUUUUCCAUUUUCCCCCCUUUAUCAUCUCACAUGGGCCACUUCAAUUCGCUGAAAUCCUGAUGCUUCGGCCUCCAGAUGUAAAAGAACAUGAGUCACAUAUAGUAUUGGUAGAUGCGUGAAUGGAUCACAUCUCACUCAACCAACAAAUUGCAUGUCAUCUGGAAAAUGAUUUAAAUAAAUGAACAAAUACUCAGUCCUCUAUUUUAAGUUAAGUAUUUGUUUAUUCCUUAUAUUUUAAAAAUAUCUCAAAAUAAGUUGUAGUUAAAUAUAUUACAUUCUUAAUCUUGUUUUUGCUUUGCUUUUAUAAUAAUGCCCUUAUAAUAAUAUUCUUGACAUUAAUUAAUUUAUCUAUAAAAUUUUAAUUAGAAAAUUAACCAAUAAUUAUUUAGUAAUAAAUUAACCAAUAAAUAUUAGUACAAAAGAACUAAUAUUUUUUGUACAUGUGCGACAAUCGUGCUAAUAAUUUAUUUAUAAAUAAAAUUAAUAUUAGUCAACUUAAAGUAAUGCUUAUCAUCCUUGCAAUAAUUUUACUAAUAAUUAUUUUAUAAAAAAUUAAUUUACCAAAUUAAUCCUAAAAGUAAAAUAAUAACAUAAAAAAAAAUUACUGUAAAAAUUUUUAUGCUACUUUGAAGGCUAAUUUGAUAAAGAAUGGAACUACUAGCACUCCUUCAAAAUCUUUUUUAAGACCCCUUUUUAAAUACACCCAAUCAAAUAAAUGAAAAAUUAUAUCACUUCUAAAAACAACCAUCUUUAUUCCACAAUUGUCCUUCAAUCUUAUCUCUCAUAAAAUGAUAAAAUUACAAAAAUAAAAAUCUUUUUGUGGAUACUAUUGCAAUAAUGAUCAUUAGCAUUCUUCACAAAUUUGAUUAACAAGUAUGGAAUGGUAUGUAACUUUAGAUUUCUAAAUUUUAACUUUUCUUUAUGUUUUGCAACAAAUAUACCUUCUAUUUUAAUAUAUGAUACCUAUUAAUUUAAUUUUUUUCAAAUAACAAAACUCACUUGUUCAAACAAACAAUGAGACCAAAAAAAGCAAGGGAAAAAAAGUGAACAAAUAAAAGGUAGAACUACUUGACACAUAAAAACUUUAAAAAAAAAUGAAAAAGAAGAGAUCUAGUAAAAGAAGUAUGAGUAUAAAAUAAGCCAGGCAAUGAAAGAAUCAUAGCUUUUCGACAAAUUCCAUGUCAAUGUCCUUUUGGAAUAAAUUUUUAAUGUUAUCUAUUUGAAUAAUGAUGGUGGUUGAGUUUCCACUUUCCAUUAUGCUCUCGAAUGUAAGCUUCUGAUGCGUCUUCUAAAAUAAUUCUAGAUAUUUUAUUUUAAAUUUAUUUGAAUUUGUAAGUUACCCUUUUAAUUGCGGUUAUCAUGUAAACAAUUGUUGCCAAAUCAUAAACAAAAUCCUGAGUAGGGACGAUAAUGGGACGGUUUUGAUCGAUGAUCCACUUAAUCUAAAUCUAAAUUUAUCAUAUUUGGAUCAGUAUAAAAUGAAUUUGGAGUGGGUACAUAUGAAUCUAGAUGAGUAAAUUCAAAACAAAUUUAAAGCACGUAUACAAAUCUAACUUAAAAUUCGGAUCCGUAUCCAUAUCUAAUUAGAAAUCUUUUAAUUUUAUUUUAUUUUUAAAAGUAUUAAACUAUCGAUGGUUUAAUACUUUUACAAUCAAAUUAAACUUAUACCUAGCUUACUGAAAUCAUACCACAUUUAUGAGAUGCAAUAUAUUAUCAGUUUUAUAUGAAAUUCAAAGUAUUAUUUUUAAUUUUAUUUAAGAUGAAUUAUGUGUUUUAGUUGAUAGUAAGACGUUUUUUUCUCAAAUAUUUUUGUGCUCUUAUUAUUCUUAUGAGGCUUGAAAGUUUAAUAAGAUAAAUUUAUUAAUAUUCUAUUAUAAUAUAUAAAAUUUUAAAAUUAAAAAUUGAUAAAUCCAAGAUAGAUUUGGAGCAAAUCCGAACCUUUAUUUUAAAUUUGAACUUAAAUAUACAGUAAAAAUCAUAAAUCUAUAAUGAAUUUAGAGUAAAUACAAAUCUCAAUUUUUAUUAUUAAUCAAGAAUUAGAACAGAAUAGAUCCAGCUGAUAUAUAUGUCCCAUUGUCAUCCCUGUGACUGAUGAAAAGAUAUAGGAAAAUAAACAGGAGUUUAAUAAGCUAGACAAUAAAAGAAUCAUAUAUAGCAAUGAUUGAUUCUUUCUUCCUAUCCUUAUGAAAUCUUUCUCAAUGUCUUUUCUACGAAAUCUUUUUUAAUGUCCUUUUCGAAAAUAUCACCCUUCAGCCAAUGACUUUGAGCUGAAGGCUGGUAUUUCAAUUCAUGAACCAACCGAACAAAAAUCGUUUGUCAACAAUAUGGAUCAGCAGCCAGAAGCUACAAUUUAUCAUUAUUAAAUAGGUGAUCAUGCUUGCAACCAGGCGCAGGACAGAGUCUCUGACCAUAUUUAAAUGUUGUAGAAGCGUAGCCAUAUAUAUGAAACGUUUCACUUUGUUUUCGUAUGUUAUCAAAGGCUCAGUUUUAAAAGUAAUAUUGUAAUAAGUAUUGAAGUGUCCCAUGCAAUAAAAUCGAAGUGUCCCAUGCAACAAAAUCAUGUCAUGCGUCUUAAAUUUAUUUUGCCCUCUUAUUUAUCCUAGAUGGUAAAUACUGUUAUGAUAGAUUAUUCAAAAGGUUAUAAGGGGAGAAGAUAAGUUUAUUUUUUUUUGGGGAAAAACAUUUCCUUGCUGAAAAAAGCAAAAAUUUACAUAAGUACUGCAAUGUCUGUGGGCGGCUCUUCCAACUGAAUAAGAUCGUUAAUCAAAGAGAGUGCUAAUUUUGCUAACUGAUAAGAAACUGUAUUACAAUUUCUAAUUUCUGAAAUGAUCCAUUCAAUCUCCUUUCUACUUGAUAAAACGCCCGUAAUUAGAUGGACAAGAUUUACUGAAUCAAAUUCCACAAUAAAAAGAGUUAAGCAUAAAUCUAUCGCCGGCUUGAUGCCUUCUAGGAUAGCUUCAGCCUCUGCAAACUCGAUGUCGCUAAGAAAAGAUUUCUUGUGGCUGAGCCAGCUAUAAAAUCUCCCUUGAAAUUUCCUAUAAUUGCACCCAAACCUGUAAUUCCAUUGGAGAUGUCAAUCGGUGCAUCAACGUUCAAGUUGUACCAAUGAUUAUCCGGUGGAAUCCAACUAACACCCUUCUUGGUUGGAGGGACUAGAAACUCUUGAAUUGGAGAGCCUUGAGCAGCAGUGUACGAAUUCAAAACAGCUUCAGCCUUGCAAAGAACACUCUUUGGGUCCAUCUUUUGAUUCUGAUAGAGCGCUAUGUUCCUAGAAUGCCAAAUAGACCAUGUAAUCAUCCCAAACGAUGGUAGUCCUCUUUUGACAGCCAAGAUUCCAAAUUCUUUGCAAAGAGAGCAAAAUCCAUAUGAGGGUUAUUCGUUACAUAAGCAGCCAAAGUUGACAACUUCCACACCUUGAUCGCAAACUUAUAGCCAACUAACUCAUGAAAGGUACCCUCAAUAGCACUAAAACAUCGAUGACAAUUUGGAGAAUCCACUACUUUUCAUUUCAAAAGAUUAUUUGAUGUAGAGAGUAUAUUACGUAGAGCUCUCCAAAAAAAAGAUCGACUUUAGAUGGAAUGGAUAAAAGCCAAGCGGGAUACCCCAAUUAGCAUAGCCAAAUGAACUUAGAGGGGGAAUUAGGAUAAGUAAGACUAAGGGCCACUUGUAACCACUCUUAAAAGUUUACAAAUUUAUUUUGUACAAACUGAUUUGACAUUAACUUAUUGAUUAAAUAAAAAUACAACAACAUGUUUUUAUAUUUAAAAUAUAUAUAUUCACAUAUACGAAGGUAUAUACUUGAACAAUAUGAGUAAUACAUGUGAAUUAAAAUCAUCUCCUAAUCUAAGCUCCAUUAAUUAAUUUUAAAAAAAACUUGUCACAUGUUUUUAGUAUAGUGUAUAAUUAUUGUUAUGUUUUUAUUUAUUAAUUUCCAAUUACCUGCUAUAUAUCUUACUCAACAAUGUUUUGAUCAUGAGAGAAUUUUAAUUCAAAUACAUAUGAAAAAAAAAGAAGAAGAAAUCUGAGACCAUACUAAUAAGAGAUUUCCUUUCAUGUGAUUUUAAGAUCAAAAUUAUGAUAGUAUGCAAAACUUGGUUGCGUUUAGUAUUGUUCUUUAAACAUGUUUUUUGUAUUUAUUUUAUAAUAUAGAUAUGAUUAAUAUUUGAUGAAUUUGAAAAUUUGUUUGGUAUAUAGUAUAUAGUAUGAAUUUGACCACUAAAUAUUAAUAAUUAUAUUUAUAUACAAAAUUAAAAAAAAAUAAGGAUUUCUCUACCUUAACGUUUAAUGUAAGGUACAUCCCUUACAAAUUGAGCUAUAAGUCCACUUGAGCCCACAGCCAAUAGAGAGGUUGUACCUUACAUUAAAUGUAAGUAGAGAUGGCCAAUGGGUCGGGCGGCACAAGGCACAGCACGUGUCCGUACAACAUGGCACGACACGAGCACGUUUUCGGUAGGGCACGAAGCACGGCACGGCACGCAAAAAGGCACGUAAUAAGCACGCUUCAUUGAUAGGCUAAGCACGUAGCCCGUGGGCCAAAGUAUAUCAAAAUAAAAAAUUUUAAUGAAAAAUAAAUAUAAAAUAUCAUGAUUUUAUAAAUAUCUUGAAAAUUAAAUUUUUUAAUAUAUUUUUUUAGCAUAGGUUUUUUAAAAUUAAUUUAAGUCCUAGUUUAAAUAAAUAUUCUAAUUUUUUAUGUUUAUAAUUUAUUAAAUGGAAUAAAUAAAUAUCAUGAUUUUAUAAAUGAUAAAUGAAAAAUUUUACGACAUUAAUAUUUCAUUUAUGAAAUCAUAACUUAGUUAAUAGUUAAUGGAGAUAUGUUUCAUUUAGUGAAUGAAAUAUUUUCAUAUUUAUGCACAAAAAAAUAAAAUUAUGAACAAAAUAUUUUUAUGAUAAAUUAAAAAUUACAUUUUCAUUCAAUGGAGUUUAUGUGCAAUUAUAAUAUUAGUAGCUCAAAUAAAAUUAGAUGUAAUUGUAUUCUAGAAUUGUAAUUUUAUUUCAUUAAUUUAUACUAUGAUCUAUGAAAUUAUAUUAUUAUUGUCGUUGUUGUUGUUGUUAUUAUUAUUAUUAUUAGGCUGGUAGGGUUAAAAAAGCACGCCAGGCACGUGGACUUUUUAGGCAUACUGGACAUGUGGACAAAGAAAAAAGGUUGGUGGCUUUUUUUUGGCACGGCCCACGGCACGAGUUUGGACAUGUGGACAAAAAAAAGUUGGUAUGGGUUUUUUUAGCACGAACCACGGCACGGUACGGCACGAGUGGGCUCGUGCCGUGGGCCGUGCCGGCUCACGAGCCCGUGGGCUGACAUUUUGUGGGCCGUGCCGUGCUGGCCAUCAUUAAAUGUAAGGUAACAGCUCCCAAAAAAUAAAUGAAAGAGAGAGGCAACAUAGCAUAAUACGGGCCGGACCCACAUCUUCAUAAAACUAUGUCAUAAAAGCAGUGGUAGUUCCUAUGAACAAAGUGAAGAAUAAAGAUUUGAUGCUGUCUAAUUAUCUUCGUUAACAUUGUAAAAUAGAUAUGGUUUGCUUUCAUAAUAAUAAAAAUGUUACUGUUACUGAGGCUUAUCAAACAUUUUUUUCUAUUCUUAUAAAAUAGAAAAUGAGUGAUGAAAAACAAUACCAUACAGCCCAAAUUUUUUCCAUUUUUACCCCUUUAAUCAUAGCCUAUCGGCCUCUCCAAUUAGUUGAAAUCUUGAUGAUUCGACCACAGUUGUAAGAGAAAUUCUAGAAUAUAUCUAUUGUAUUAUAACUAAUUAAUGCAUGCACGACAUGCGUAAUUGAGUUUAAUACAACCACCACUUGCAUGAUAGUUUACAAAAUAAAUGCACACAUCAUGAUAUUAUUGCUUGUUGUAUGGGUGACAUAGUACAACAGAUGUAUUCUAGAAUUUCUCCAAGUUGUAAAAUACCAUUUGAGUCACAUAUAUUAUUGGUAGAUGAGUAGAUCGCAUCUCCCUCAACCAACGAAUUGCAUGUCAAUGUGAAAAUUGAUUUAACUGUUUAGUCUGUUUUUCAAUGAGACGUUUUCGUUCAAACUUUUACCUUCAAUCAAUGGGACCGAAGAAAGUAGGAAAAAAAAAAUUAAACAAAUAAAAGGUAGAACUAGUUGACAGACAAAAUUUUAUCAACAUUUUGAAACAACCAACAUUAAAAAGAAAUAAAAAAAUAAAAGAAGAGAUCUAGUAAAAGAAACAUGAGUUUAAUAAUUAAGCUAGAAAAGGAAAGAAUCUUAGUAAGCUUUUCAACAAGAUCCUUUUCAAUGUCCUUUUCGACAAAAUCUUUAUUGUCAAUAUAUUGAAAAAUGAUGGUGGUUGAGUUGUCACUAUGUAUCUCGAAUUUAAGCUUCUGAUACGGUCUUUUAAAAAUAAUUCUGGAUAUUUUAUUUAAAUGGUAACUUUUAAUAGUGGUUAACUUGUAAACAAUUGUUGCCAAAUCAUAAACAAAAUCUUAUUGUCUCACGGAAAGAUACUGGAAAAUAAUCAUGAGUUUAAUAAGCUAGACAAUGAAAGAAUAAUAUAUACAUGUUAUAUAGUAACGAUUGAUUAUUUCUUCUUACCGCUAAGAAAUCUUUUUCUAUGCCUUUUUUCGACAAAAUCUUUAAUGUUAUAUAUUGAAUAAUGAUGGUGAUUAAGUUUCCAUUAUGCAUCUCUCAUGUAAGCCUCAGUCCCUAGAAUUAACUAGCUCUCAGGAUUCCCUGCAUCAGUUAACUACAGCUUCCAGGUUUAUCAAUAAUUAUGGUACACCAUCCUCCAAUAUCUGUGCAUAUAUAUUUUUUAAACAGGAAUUUUGGAGUUUGGAUCAUAUUAAAAUAAAGGAUAAAUUAAAAAUAAGACAAACAUACUCUAAACAUAUUUUAUUUUAUCAUGUAAUAUAUUGAAUUUCAUAUUUUUCUGUCUUUUUAGCUUGUUAUAACGAUCCUUUAUAAGAAAUUAAAUGUAUCUUGAUUCUCUCCCACACUAACUUUAGAAGAGAAAUUAUUUAAUUUGCUUUAUUCUUUUACUACUACUACUGCGUCAAAAUAACCAACAAUUGACGACAACAAUUAUUGAAUAUGUAACAAAUUUACAUACAUUUUGACGACAUCUUUACUUGUUUGUGUUGGCAUCCUUAUUGGCAAAUUACAACAUCGUUCAGUCUUCUUAUAAUUAAGCAAUUGUCUAUGUAACAUAAAUUAUGUAUUAAGAACAUCAAUAUGGCGUGGAGCAUUGCGCAUAGAAGAGAAGAAGUAAAGUCUUAGGCGUCUACUCCAUGUGGGAAACAUGGGAUUAUCACAAAGAGAGAUUUAAAGAUUAUAACAAAAGAGAGAUUUUAACUAACUUGUUAUGGAGGGAUGAGAUAACGAUCAAGUUGGCAUAAUCUGUAGAGAUAACGACGAGUUUGGAAUAAUCAUGUGGUGAUAAUAUUAUGAUAUUCUGCCUUUUGAUCAACUGAGCACGCUCCCUCUCACAACACAACUCUCUUCAUAAGAAUUGGCCAACAUGGAUUGUCACUUUUCAUGUUAAUUUGAUAUUACCUUGAAUGGCAUAUUAAUUUGAUUUGAAAAAUGGAACGAGAGUAGAGGAAAAAAGGAGAAUGAAAAGAAAUAAGAAAAAAAAUGAUGAAUUUCAUAUAAAAAAUCAAAUAAUGAAAUAAUAAAAUUGAGGUCGAUUCUCUUUUUUUUCUCUUUUUUCUCUAAUAAAAAUAUAUCAGAUUAAUGACAAAGUAUUGAUAUUUGAUCCCCUCAGUUUCUCUUAUUAUCUCCCACUUCUCUCAUUUUAAUUUGAAAAGUCAAAAAUACCUACCAAAAUAAUUUUAAGUUUUAAAUUUUACCCUUUCUUCUUUCUCUCCUCUCUCUUAUUCUCCCGACUUCCCUUCAUCUUCGUUUUCUUUAAAAAUUGAAGAUUAGUACACUUUCCUUCAUUUUUUGAUCUUUCUGUAUCGAUGAGAGCAAUAAUUGACAUCAUCAAACAAUCCUUUUCUACCCAAAUCAUGAUUAUAAACAAAAGUAAAAAAUAGCAAUAUCAUGAUAUGGAAUCUUGAUCAUAUCUCAUGAUCCCUCUUCAGCUUCUAUGUUAAUCAAAAGAAAAAAAUAUAAUCGAUUAAAGAUUAAAUUUAAAUUUUAAAAUGUUGUCCUUUUUUUGGGGGGGGGGGGGGGGGAUAAAAAAGAGUUUGAGAUCAAGAUGACAGUGUUGCAUAAAUAAUUAUUAUUAAAAAUUAAAGAAACGGCUUGCAUGUCCCACUUAUUGCUAAGAAGAGAAGUGGUUCGCGCCGGCCAGUUCCAAGAAGACAAGUGGUGGUGUCAGUGCAUGGUUAGUAAUUAUUGGGGACUAGAACUAAUGAUGGUGAUUAAGUUUCCAUUAUGCAUCUCUCAUGUAAGCCUCAGUCCCUAGAAUUAACUAGCUCUCAGGAUUCCUGCAUCAGUUAACUACAGCUUCCAGGUUUAUCAAUAAUUAUGGUACACCAUCCUCCAAUAUCUGUGCAUAUAUAAUUUUUAAACAGGAAUUUUGGAGUUUGGAUCAUAUUAAAAUAAAGGAUAAAUUAAAAAAUAAGACAAACACAUACUCUAACAUAUUUUAUUUUAUCAUGUAAUAUAUUGAAUUUCAUAUUUUUCUGUCUUUUUAGCUUGUUAUAACGAUCCUUUAUAAGAAAUUAAAUGUAUCUUGAUUCUCUCCACACUAACUUUAGAAGAGAAAAUUAUUUAAUUUGCUUUAUUCUUUUACUACUACUGCGUCAAAAUAACCAACAAUUGACGACAACAAUUAUUGAAUAUGUAACAAAUUUACAUACAUUUUGACGACAUCUUUACUUGUUUGUGUUGGCAUCCUUAUUGGCAAAUUACAACAUCGUUCAGUCUUCUUAUAAUUAAGCAAUUGUCUAUGUAACAUAAAUUAUGUAUUAAAACAUCAAUAUGGCGUGGAGCAUUGCGCAUAGAAGAGAAGAAGUAAAGUCUUAGGCGUCUACUCCAUGUGGGAAACAUGGGAUUAUCACAAAGAGAGAUUUAAAGAUUAUAACAAAGAGAGAUUUUAACUAACUUGUUAUGGAGGGAUGAGAUAACGAUCAAGUUGGCAUAAUCUGUAGAGAUAACGACGAGUUUGGAAUAAUCAUGUGGUGAUAAUAUUAUGAUAUUCUGCCUUUUGAUCAACUGAGCACGCUCCCUCUCACAACACAACUCUCUUCAUAAGAAUUGGCCAACAUGGAUUGUCACUUUUCAUGUUAAUUUGAUAUUACCUUGAAUGGCAUAUUAAUUUGAUUUGAAAAAUGGAACGAGAGUAGAGGAAAAAAGGAGAAUGAAAAGAAAUAAGAAAAAAAAUGAUGAAUUUCAUAUAAAAUCAAAUAAUGAAAUAAUAAAAUUGAGGUCGAUUCUCUUUUUUUUCUCUUUUUUCUCUAAUAAAAAAUAUAUCAGAUUAAUGACAAAGUAUUGAAUUGAUCCCCUCAGUUCUCUUAUAUCUCCCCACUUCUCUCAUUUUAAUUUGAAAAGUCAAAAAUACCUACCAAAAUAAUUUAAGUUUUAAAUUUUACCUUUCUUCUUUCUCUCCUCUCUCUAUUCUCCCGACUUCCCUUCAUCUCGUUUUCUUUAAAAAUUGAAGAUUAGUACAACUUUCCCUUCAUUUUUGAUCUUUCUGUAUCGAUGAGAGCAAAAUUGACAUCAUCAAACAAUCCUUUUCUACCCAAAUCAUGAUUAUAAACAAAAGUAAAAAAUAGCAAUAUCAUGAUAUGGAAUCUUGAUCAUAUCUCAUGAUCCCUCUUCAGCUUCUAUGUUAAUCAAAAAGAAAAAAAUAUAAUCGAUUAAAGAUUAAAUUUAAAUUUUAAAAUGUUGUCCUUUUUUGGGGGGGGGGGGGGGGGGAUAAAAAAGAGUUUGAGAUCAAAGAUGACAGUGUUGCAUAAAUAAUUAUUAUUAUAAUAAUUAAAGAAACGGCUUUGCAAUGUCCACUUAUUGCUAAGAAGAGAAGUGGUUCGCGCCGGCCAGUUCCAAGAAGACAAGUGGUGGGUGUCAGUGCAUGGUUAGUAAUUAUUGGGGACUAGAACUGAUUGCCAAGAGUGAGGGUGCAUUUAAUAUUGAGGUUGAGUAACUUUUAAGAUACUGUACUAAAGUGUUUGGUAAACACUAAUUACGGUAGCUUGGAAACUAUGGUGGUAUUUGUUUUUUAACUUAAUGACUUAAAGUGACUUAACUUAAUUAAUUAAGUUAAUUAGAGGUGUUUGUUUUUAUAACUUAAUGAGACUUUUUAGAUAAUUUGACUUAAUAAAAUAAGCUAAUUUUUUGGCUUUUUACUUAAUGGAGAAAUCUGAAUUAAGUUAAUUACUUGCUAAUGUCAAAAAUAUCUCUGUUUUAUAAUUAUUUUUAUGUCUAUCCCAAAACUCACCCAUAAAUAUUUACCCCACAUAAAAAUAUCCCUGUUUUUCUUUCUAUAUUAUAUACGAUAAAAUUUGAAAAUUUAUGGUAUUUAUAUAUUAAAAUUCUAAAAUAAUUAUGUAUUCACGUGAAUAUAGUUUUGCUUAUAAAUGUUAAAAUAUUAUGGUAUUUAAUAUAUUAUUUAUUGACAUUUCAAAUUUAAUAAGGCUACAAAUGUAAAAGUACAUAUUUUCAGCUUUUUAAGUUGAAAAAAACAACAGCUUAAUACUUAUUUUCCGAGAUUCAUACGAAAAAACAAACAUAUUAUUCAGAUUCAGACAUUCAGAUCUAUUAAGAAUUCAGACUAAUUCAGGUUUAUUCAGAUUUUAGAUAAAAAAAACAAACGCCACCUAUGUUAAUAUGAUUUUUUUCUUAUAUAAUAAAAAAUUUAUUAUAUCUUUAAUAAUUUGUCAAAUUAUUAUUUAAAAUUUAUAUAUACUAUAUAUUAUUAAUUUUGUUUCAUAUUACAGUUUUUUUCAUAGCAGUUAUAACUUAAAAGGUAUAGCACCUCAAUUUCAAACAGGACCUGAAUCUUGUUCAACAAGCAACAGAUUUAGCACCGAUGAGAGAAGAACAAAUAUUAAUUUAUUUUUUUUAAUGAGGGCAAUUCUGAAUAUAAUUAUAACUAGUAAAAUGGGAGCUAACGAGAUAAAUUGAGAGGUUUAAUAUCUUUACUCUUAAUAUAAAAAAUAACCACAUCGAAGUGCACUGUUAAAUAAAUAAGUGCCAUCACUAUUUAUGCAAUUUACAUGAUAUUAUGAUUAAUCUUGCAUAUGAUUAUUUAUUAAUAAAAAUAUGUAACAUGUGCUAGCACAUACUAUUUUCCUCUAAAUUUCUUAUACCACAUUUUUUCCUAUAAAUAGAAAGAGGCACACGUCUUCCACGCAAAUCACACAAGUAAGACUUAGUAUAAUUAGAAACAUGAAUCUCAAAGCUUUCUUUGUUCUCUCCGCAGUGCUCUCUUUGCUUCUCUUGGUAUAUAUGCAUCUCUUUUUUAGGAAAAUUUAACAUAAAGGAUACCUAAUUAAGUUAGUUUUGAUGAGAUUCUCUUUAUCAUUUGUUUGAUCUAAUUUUUUUUUUUCCUCUUGUUCAGUUUGCUAACAGAACAGAGGCCAGAAAAGAUCAGGGAGAAUAUUGGAGAGGCUUCGUCAAAGAUAGCGACGUGCCAGAAUCAAUUCAAAUUCAUGUUCGCCAGGAUCCUGUCUCAACUGCCUCUGAUGCCAAAGCCCACUGCAAAGAACCUGAAGAUUUAGAGCACAAGAGAGAAAAGACUUAUGUCAAGGAUUCUGACGCAACGAUUGAUAUCUUAGUUUAUCACAACAGUAUUAAACCAACUGAACAAAAGUUAUUUGGCAACCACUUCGAAAGCCCGGAUGCUACAAUUUACCACAAUGACAUUAAACCAACAGAACAGAAGUUAUUGGCAACCACUUCGAGUCAAGCCCGGAUGCUACAAUUUACCACAAUGACAUUAAACCAACAGAACAGAAGUUAUUUACCAACCACUUCGAGUCAAGCCCGGAUGCUACAAUUUACCACAAUGAUAUUAAACCAACAGUACAGAAGUUAUUUGCCAACCACUUCGUGUCAAGCCCGGAUGCUACAAUUUACCACAACGAUAUUAAACCAAUUGAAAUGAUUAAAUCUUUUGUUAGCAAAUUCUUGUCAAACCCUGAUGCUACAAUUUAUCAUGAGUAACCAGACUCUGCUUUCAAUCGUGUGGAGAGAGCCCGUUAUCCAUCUGUAAUAUUUGUGCGUACGUGUGAUGCUCUCUUUCUAUAAAUAAGUUAUGAGGAGUGCGGUUGUUUAAUGCUCUAAGGCACAAGCUUUGUAAGAAAGUGUGUUUUUAUUGUAAAAUUGAAUAAAAAUUUGUGCCAAGUUAAUUAAUUAUCCCUUUUCUAGUGAUUUUUUUUUUUCUAAUGCUUUGAUUAUUUCCACAAAAUCUUUCGUAAGGAAAGGCCUAGCUACUUGAAUCAAUUUUCUCCAUUUCAACGUUAUUUAGUAUAAUAAUAAUACAAAAAAUCAUUAAUCUCAGUAAUUGAUAAACAAUAUUCUUGCUAUUAUAUUGAGAAUUAAUUCCUAAUCUGAGAAAAUAAAUUAACAAUUAAAAAAUAAUAAAAGAUCGUGAACUACUUAGAUUUAUGGCCCUCUCACAUGUCGAUGGUACUUUACAUAAUUAGAAGCCUUUUUAUUAAUUUUAACAGACACCAUUCAAUCAACUUUGGUGACAUACUGAUAAUUGAUGCAAAAUUCUAUUUGGGGAAAAAAAAGUAAAAGAAAGAACUCCUAUUUUAGCUCUUAAAUCUUAAUUUUUCAAAUUUUAGAAGGAUUAAUGAUCAACAUUAUUUAGCCUAUUUUAUUUAAUUUAUAACUAUAGAAAUCCUAAAGCUGAUGGAGUAUACUUAAUACCUUAUUUUCCCCAAUCACAACCGUCUAAAUUCCUGAAACAUUUCAUUUCUUAAAUUUCAACGGUACAGAUUAAUUCUCUUACGAAAACUCAGCGACUUAUCCUGGACCGCCGCUACUAAAAUACAUAAGAGUAAAAUACUAUAGUAUUCCGGGACAAAUUUAUUUCUUCCACGACGCAAUAAAAUGCUGCGUCCAAUAACAUUCUGUUUCCUAAAGCUUACCCAAAUCGCAGAUAGGAACAUGGUUUGCAAUAAUUUUUCUAACAGAUCCUGCAUCAAAUUCGUUAAAAACUGGUUUAAUUUUUAUUAAAUAAUUUUAAGUAAAUUGAAUAAGAUAAAAAAUUUAAAAAGUUAUUAUUUUAUAAUGAAAAAGCUAGAUCAUCCAUACGUAAUAAAAAAUAGUACGCAUUCACAACUUAAUGCAAUAUAAUCUAGACAACCAAAUAUAUUUUAUGUAUUUUUUACAAAUUGCUUUUAGUAUAAGCAAAUAAGGUGGUUGUCUAAACAUUCAUAUUUUUGGAAGGUCUCAAUUUUUAAUAUUUUCUUAAUAAUUUCUAAUUAAUAAAGAUAUUUUUUUAACUUAUGUAUUGUAGAAAAACCUAUUAGACAUUUUUAUUAUUAACAACUAUACUACAAUUAAGAGUCUUUUUUGUAUAGAAAAUCAAUAUUUGUAACCUUAUUGAUAAAGAGAAAUGAUUAAUAAUAUUUUUAACCAUUAAUUCAUUCAUUAUUAGUUUUCUCAAGAAAAAAAGUUAAAUUCUUUACCUUUUCAUUUCCUAAAAAAAACUUGAUUAUUUAACAUUGAAAUCUUUGACUUUUAUUAUUCCUUUAGUUUCUAUUAGAACCUUAUAAUAUAAAAAAUCAAUAGAUAAAAAAAAUUUGUUCCUCCUUUCUUUACGAAGAAAAUUAUUAUAUUUAUUGGUUAAUUUAAAAAAGAAAAAUUAGUUUCUUGAAGUAUGAAGACCAUAUCUAUUAUCUGAUAAUCAAUUCAUGAUCUCGACUUUCUAGCUAUAUUCUGUCAUUCUAAAUAUUUUAUUUGAAAAUAAUAUUGUUUUAUUUAUUUGUUUGUUUGCUUUUUAAGAGUUCUGAUGGAAGUAAAAAAAACAAAUCUUUUUUACUAAUUUUUUAGGUUUUUUUUAAAAGAUUUUUUAAGAUAUUUUUUUAUUACUGUUAAAAUUUAAGAAUUAAAGAUAGAAUGAAUUUUUGAGUCUUUUCAUAUUUCUUUGAGUAUUGAAAUUACAAAAUAAAAUAUGGCCUUACAAAAAAAAAAUUCGCCUAAGACCCCAUAUACUCUAAUGCCGACUCUGGGUGAAAUUAUUGAUUUUAUUAAUAAUAAUAUGAUGUAUACUAACCAAUGUACAAAACAGUAGUGGGUGACAUAAAUUAGAAUUGUGUUGCAAAAACAAGAGGUUUGAGUGAAAAAGAAUUUACAAACUCACAUUACAAUGUUAUAUAGUUGCCAUAUGUCUCACAUUUUCAAAUGAACAAAAUAUAAUAAAUACAGUAUAAUCUUUAUAACUGAAUAUUCAAUAGAUUAAUAAUCUCUACUGUGUAAUAAUUUUUUAUGGUCAUGACUUAGGCCAAUAGGUUAAAUUAAUAAUUGCAAUAAAUUAAUAAGAUGAUAUUUUUUAUGAAAACCCUUAUAUAACUAUGUGGCUCCAUUCAUAUCAAAAUUAAUAAUUUUUUAAAAUUAUAAAUAUAAUUGACAAUAAUUUUUUAUUUAUUAAAAUGUGAGUCGAUUAUUAUCUUGUUCCCUUAUUACUUCUUUUCCUUGAAAUAUAAAUCUAUUUGAAUCUCGUAUCUAAUUUUUCUUAUUACAUCUAAAAGUUUUGGGAUUGAAUUCUUGAAUUAUAAUAAAAAAAAAAUUAUGAAGUGCUUUCGUACACAUAACUGGCUCCAAAGCAAUUGUAUCAUUCUCAACUUUUAUCAUCGACAUGAUUUUAAGUGAUGUCAGCAGUGGUUUAAUUUAUUCUAAACUUAAAAUCUCUCAACUUACAUCAUUUUUAUUAUGAUAAUCCAAGAGGUAAUUAAGUAGAUAAAUACAAUACAGUUAUUGUUUUGGUUUAUCUAAUAUCUAUUUAGUAGAUUAAUUCAUAUUCAAUAAAUUAGAUUAGUAAAAUAUAACGAAAUUUUAGUUAAUUAAAUGUACGUUUAUUGAACUAUAAAUGAACUCUAGAAAUUAAUAAAUUAUUAAUUUACUAAUUACAUAAUAAUUCUUUUAAUUAAUAAAAUUUAAAUAGUCCCAAUGUUAUUAAUUCAUAGAAGUUAUAUGAAAUAUGUGUCAACUAUAUAAUAUCGUAGUUUGUAAACAAAACAUAACUCUUUUGUUAAUUGAAUACUAACGUAAUGCUAUAGAAAUAACAUAUGUGACCAAUUUGCAUAAAUGUAUACUCUCUGUAUCUUAUUACAAAUGCUUUAUAAAUCAGUGACUCAGAUGUUAUUAUCUAAACUCGUGGAAGCAUUACUUUUGUCCCUGCCAAUAUCAUUCAGAUAAAUAGUUGUUGUGCGUUCAGAUUCACCAGGAAUGCUUACGCAAAACAUAGACUGAACCCAAGAGCUUCGAAACUCGAAACUGAACCAAAUCAUUCUAAUGGAAGAGAAACGCCGGGAAGCCAGAGCGCAACCGCGGCUACGAGCUCGGCCGCAGCUGGAGCCGAGUCAGCGGCAUCCGAGCCGGCUUCGCUCGGCGCCGAGCCGGAGCGCACAAAAGGAAAGCCUCGGCGCUCUCAGCGACUAACGCUUCAUCCACGCCGUCGAAGCGCAUGACUCGCGAGAAGAAUUUAGUUGCUCACACUCCGAUCUACAACCAUAACGUUACAUCUUGACAUUUGUAGUAAGAACGUGAGAGGAUACCUGGAGUGUAUUGGGAUUUGGGCGGAAGAGAAAGGAGCCCUUGGAAUUGGGAAACAAAUGAAAUUAUCUGCAUGGUCCUUGUACUCGUGGAGGGACUGUAACUUCUGAACCAACAAUGCUGAAAAUGCAGGGUCAAAAAUCAACAUUAACUUGAUGAAUAAUUGUUUGAAAAAAAAAAAAAGCAAGAAAACUUGAUUAAUAUAAAAGAGAGCAAAGGAGCACAACCAUACAGAAGUUGUAUAAAGGAAUAUUAAUCAAGCUUGAUUAAUAUUCUUCUUCUAUCCAACACCACAAGAUGAAACACAGUAUUCCUGUUGCAGUAUAUGGUGAGAACUGUGAAGUGCAGGAAGUAGUUUCCUAAGAGAGAUGAUUGAAUGCUCUUAAUUUUUUUUUUCAGAAAAUCAUUUUAUUUUUAAUAAAAGUUUAAUUUUUUUUAAUAAAAAUUUUUAUUUAUUUUUUAUUAAGUUGUGUCUCAUAUUUACUAAUAAAGGAAGUUAUUUGGGUAUAUAAGUAGGAUGUCUCAUCUAACAUGCUAGUAGGAUAAAUCUCUCAUCUAAUAUGCUAGUAUUUUGGGUUAAAUACCUAUAAAUUCUAAGCCGAGUCCACAACAGUCCCCAAAAUAACUGGAUUUAAGUCCUAGCUACACCAGUAGAUUGAAUAGAAGUGCAAAUAAGUUUAACUUUUUUGUCAUUCAUUUUAGUCUUUUUUUUUUUUUUUUUCACAUACAUUGAAAAAGGAUAACUCUGUCGUGAUUGCCAUGGCAGAGCCUAUUUCAAACGAUGGUGUAUGCUAAAGGAAAUUAUCAUGAGAUGAGUGAUAAACCAUACAAUCAGUAGCUACAGCCCACGAUUAAUCAGCCACAUGGCCACAAAUAUUAUUGGCGGCAAAUAUAUCAACAAAAUCACAAUAAAGAUGAGCAUCCUCGAUUCCAUUCCUUAAUGUAAAUAGGACAGCCUGUCUAGCCAUUACUUUAAGAGAUUUGGCUGGCUUUGACACUUGUAUAUAAGCUUGUAACCCUCUCAUUCUUUACAAGAAAUAAGAUAAUAUUUUCAGCUUAAUAAUUCUUUUCAGUGAGAUCAAAGAAAUGUAAAGAGAUAUAGUCACUACUACAAAAAUGUAAAACAAUGACCCAUAUGUUAUGACGGUUCUUCUAAACAACCGUCAUUAAAGAUAUUUAAUGACGGUUAUUAUGUGAACAGUCAUAAUAUAUACCACUUAUAAUGACGGUUAUGUAAUAAAACCGUCAUUAAAUGUCAAAUAAAAUUUACACUUAGUUUUAAUGACGGUUCAUUUAUAAAAACCGUCAUUAAAAGUCACUAUUUUUAAUGACGGUUCUUAUAUACAACGGUCAUUAUAUGUGUAGUUAAAAAUAAUAUUACUUUUAAUGACGGUUUUUUAAUAACCGUCAUUAAAAAUAAUAAUUUUUAAUCACGGUUUUUACAUAUAACGGUCAUUAUAUGUGUAAUUAAAAUAGUACUACCUUUAAUGACGGUUUUUUUAAAACCGUCAUUAAUAAUUUUUAAUGACGAUUUUUACAUUAAACGGUCAUUAUAUGUGUAAUUAAAAUAAUACUACCUUUAAUGACGGUUUUGUUAAGAACCGUCAUUAAAAAUAAAUUUAUUUUUAAUGACGGUUCUUAACAAAACCGUCAUUAAAAAUCAUACUUUUUAAUGACCGUUAUAUAUUAUAACGGUCAUUAUAUAUAUAAUUAAAAUGCUUUUAAUUUUAAUGACGGUUCUUUAAGAACCGUCAUUAAAAAUUGACAUUUUUAGUGACAGUUGUAUAAAACAACCGUCAUCGUAUAUAUUGAUAUAGUUAUAAAAAAAAAAAAAAAUUGGCCUUAUACUGAACACCAAAUCCCUAAAAUUACAGAUAAUUUGUAAACAUUAAAAGUAAUGGCGCAAGCACGCACGCCGCCGGUACACUUAGCCCAUGCAGCAGCAACCGAGCACGGUAGCAACAGGCCACCAGCAGUCGCUCUCUCUCUCACGCACACGCAGCAGCAAGCCAACACCAAUAGCCCCUCUUUCUCAUGCUCACUCUCUACUAUGCCCUCUUACGUACUCAAGAAAACUCUAACCCAUAUCCAAACCCUCGCCGUCGAAGAAAACCCAAUCCUUAAUGGCUUGAAAUUAAAGCCUCCACCGUCAAUCACCAUCGAACCAAAUAAACUCUAGCCUUACCAUCACUCUUCGUUUGACUCGCUGAAGAAAGCACUCUAUUAGGUGAGUCUCUGUUGUUUGAUAAUAUAUCUGCACUCUUUGUUGGCCGAAGCUUUUAGACAAUUGCUUUGAUUCAAUUGCUUCGAUUGGUUAGUUCUCUGUGAUUAAUUAGUUAGUUACUUUUAAUUUCAUAUUUUCAUCUCUAACAGUGAAUUUGGGAGUCGAUUUCUCUGUCGGAUUUGUAAUUUUUGCUACAGAUCAAAAACAUCUUGAAGGUGUUUUCAUAUCUAACAACUUGAACUAUCAUUUAUUUUGUCUUGUUAAUGUUCAAUUUUUUUUUCUUUUUUUAUUAGUAUGACAAUUAGUCGAAUGUGCUUGCACAUAAAACAAUCUUUUAACUUGGCGUUGGAAUAUUUGUUUUGAGUUGUGUCCCCUUAAUCAAUGACCAUACAAAAGUUCCCCAUGAUAAAGUGUUUAGCCCUAUUAAUGCCAUAAAGUCUUGCUCUCAAUUUUUCUGAUUAUGCCUAUGGAUUGAUUACCUAUUUCAUUUACAAAUUCAAUUGGCAAAUGUACAAUGCCUGCAUGACACUCACAUUUGGGUUAUGAUGGUAGUCAUUAUGAGGAAGAAUGUUAGAAUAACAUCAGGGGAAACAUCUGGGAGAAGGUAUGUACUGUCAAGCUCUUUGUUAGAAUCAUCACGAAAUUUAUAUUGGAUCUUGGCUGUUCUAUGUGAUGCAUUUUGGAUUUGCUCUUACUAGACAUGCAAAAACCUGUAAAAUGUAUUUUUUUUUUCCAUUUUAGAUUUACUAUCUAGUAUCUUGUAGGUUUAAUCUAAAAUAGAAACCAUUGAGGAUACUGGACACAAUUCUAAUGAAGAGAAAAGAUGUUAGACUUUAGUAUUCAACCUUUUUUUUUUAGCCAUAUUUCUAGACCCCAAGUUUAUGUCAUGAUAAUUGUGUGAUUGAUAAGAUAUUUUGGUUUUGGACUUUAUCUCAUGGAUUUAGAGUUCGAUUAUAUUUGGAAGUGGAAUAAUGCAUUCAUUUACAUAUGAUGUUUGAUGAAGUUCCCAUAAAAUUAAUUCAAUUAUAUAUGUUUAUGGUUCUAAGGAAGCGGGGCAAAAAUUUUAUCAGUGGGUUGAUUUCACUAGUUUAAGUUAGUAAAGCAAAGAAAUUGUCUUUAUGCACUUUAACUUUCCUCCAUUUAAGGUGAAAAAAUUAUUGAAGCUUUUAGAAGUGAAUUGUUCAUUUUGUUUGUGCACUUAUGCAGAUGGAUUUACUUUUGGCUGCUUAACCCUUCCUCACUUAUAUUUUUUCAGUUUAAAUUGCAGUGUUUUGCUGCUGUGCAACAGCACAAGAGGCUGUUUUAUUGUUGUUUCUGUAAAAACACAGCACCAGGAAGCGUCCAGGUAAUGUUUCGCUGCUGUUAUGCAGUAAAAACAACACCUGAAAGUUUCUAGGUGCUAUUUUUACUGCUGUUUACGCAGAAACACAGCACCUAAAAGUGUCUCUAGGUUCUGUUUAGCUGCUAUUAUGCAGCAAAAACAGCACCUGGAAACUUCCAAGUGCUGUUUUUAUUGCAUUUUAUGCAGAAACAAAGCACCUAGAAGCAUUCAAGGGUUGCUUUACUGUUGUUUUGUAUUUAAAAUUGCUGUUAGAAAUUUUGGGUGCUAUUUCUCUGAAAUUUUGCUAUUAACAGUGCAGCUUAAUAAUUUCAUAUGUCGUUUUGAACCUUCUUCAGUUCUUUUCUCUUAUGUCUAUACUUAAUCUUUUCCCCCCUGGUAAUAAGCAGGUACAAUUUUUGCAAGGUAAUAUCUAAGCAUGCUGUUAAUUCUUUGGUUGAGACGUAGUAUUCUAAACUUCAGGCCUUAAUUUUUUUAUUUCCAAGUGUAUAAUGGGUAGGUACUGGAUCUCUUAUGGAUGAUGUAGUUAAUGCUUUUUUAUUGUCUCUAUUUUGGCAAAUGUGUUGUCAUUUAUUAUCUGAACACAUGGUUGAUUAACUUACUUGAGGUAAGUCUAUUAAUUAAUAGUGAUAUGAUACUUUAAAGUCUUGUUUUACAACUUAAGUCACUAAAAUGAUUUAAUAUUUAUGAUUUAUAAUAUAUGAAUAUAUCUUAAUUUCUCUUUAUUCUUUGUAAGAAUGAUGUAGAUUGCUGAAGCUGGUGAGAUUCAUUUGCAAUUGAAGACUUGAUGAGAAAUUAGAUGUACUCACACAUGCCAAUCUUGUUGGUUGCUAGUGCAUUCACUAGUAGAAGUUUAAUGAUUGUUGGAGAUUUUUGUAGAGCUAUCUCUUUGUAAAUGAAACAUUUGCAUCAUUUUGAAUAUGAAACAUUUGUGAAAAAUAAUUGUAAAGAAUUUAAUAUGAAAUUAGAAUUAAAAUAGGGGCUUGAAAUAGCCUUAAAUUUGCCAAAUUUAUUUUUUUAAUAAUAAAUAACAAAGAUGACGGUUAUUUCAAAAGAACCGUCAUCAAAUGUAGUGUUCUAUAACAAAUAUGACGGUUUUCUUCUAAAACCGUCAUUAAAUGUUGUUUCAAUAUUUAAUGACGGUUCUUACAAUAAACCGUCAUUAAAAUGACACAUUUAAUGACGAUUAUUUAGAUAAACCGUCAUUAAAGAUAGAUAUUUAAUGACGGUUCUUACAAUAAACCGUCAUUAAAAUGACACAUUUAAUGACGGUUAUUUAAAUAACCGUAAUUAAAAAUAUACAUUUAAUGACGGUUAGUGAACCGUCAUAAAAAACAUACCCUCUUUAAUGUCGGUGCCUAAGAUGACGGUUUUAAAACCGUCAUCUUAUGUCGUUUAAAACCGUCAUAAAAGACCAAUUUUGUAGUAGUGAGUCUAUUAGGUUGGCAAAUCUACUGAAACAAUAUUGUUUCCUAUCAACUCCGAAAUACAACCAAUUGAACAACGUUCAGAAAUCGAAAAUCAUUUAUUACCAGUAAGAUUUAUUAUUAUACGCUAUACAUAUGGCUUUAACAGUCACAUUACCAAUACAUUUUUAAUCAUGGUAGGUAGGUGCUGGAAUGUAUACAAUAUUAUCAGCCUGGAAGAAAUGGCAGACAUGGGAGCUCCCUGGCUCGAUCCCAAGCACACGAAACGAUGCAUGAUCUCGACUCCAAUGAGACGUAUCCAUGUGGCAAACUGCUACAGCUUCCACUCUAUCUCCAUUAUCACCACCUAAUGAAACACCGAAUAACUUGUUCUCAGUCAUUUGGCUGUGGCAGUAGAAGAUUGCAUAAGGGUAAGGCAUGAUAUGACAUGCCACCAUCUUGGGAGCAACCAUUGGUUUAGGCACUUGUAAAAUAGUGUAAUUUUGGAAAAUGGUAGCUGAUUUUGUGAGAAAUUUUGUGCUUAGAACUUCGAAUUUGGUCUCCAAUCCGAAAGUUCCGUGUACAAAAUCAAGCAUGGAUUCCAAAGAGGUAGCACAAAUUUUGGUUUCUCCUUCGAUGGGAGGAACUUCGCAAUGAUUCAGGGUCCCUUCCAUGGCUUUGGCUAGGGGUGAGUCAUCUGAGAACGAGAAGAAUUGAAGAAGGUAAGGCAGUUGUUUCAAUGAAAAUGGAAUGGAAUCUGCUUCUUCUCUAGGCAAAGCCUGAGGAUAAGCUGAAGGAUCUCUCUUGCGAAAAAUAAAUCGGCAUCGUUUCGCCAAUCUUUAGAUCCUUCAAGGUGAAGAACACCAUCGUUGAAGGGUCCAUGUGAUUCAUGUGGGAUGGUAUUGAAUGAGAAUCAUGAAGAUUCUCCGAAAGCACCUGAGCACACUGUAAAACAGUUGAGCAAUUCAAUAUGACAACAUAGAUGAAAAAUCAACAACACAAGUUCUAUAAAGUGUAAAACUGAAGGAGCAAAAUAUAUCUUUUUGAGUUAUUGCUUUAAGACAACACUUAUGUACAUCUAUUGCAAAGUAAGCACUUCCUUAGCACACAUUGAGGAUUAUUACCAGAAAGAGUAGAGAAAGAAGGAGGUUCCAAACUGAAAAUCUUAACCCCAUCUCUUUUCUAUUAUCGAAGUUUCUUAUGUAUUUUAGUAAUCUUUUUGUUUUUUUUUUUAAGGGAGAGGAAACACAGAUAACAAGUGAAGCAGAAAGAGAAGAGAUUGUGUAACUGUAUAUGUCAACAACCAAAUGAUGUGUGUUAAUUUUCAAGUGGAAAUUUAUAGCCUGCAUAAGCUGAACUUGUUCUACUGUGCUGAUUAAUUGAAUCACAACACAGUUUGAAUAAUGACCUUAAUAGUCCAAUCCAGCAAAGAAUUCAGCACUCCAAUCAUAUGGGGACACACGUAUUGUACCUUCAUCAUGUCUGCGGAUUUUAAUAGUUUUGACUGAGUGAAGGAUUACUUCAAUUGAUAACAUUGCAUAUUAGAUUACCAGACCUAAAAUUGAUUUCUUAUUAAAAAAUUUACUUGCAAUUUGGAAACUCUCUUUGACACAUUAAUUACAGACUCGAAAUCUGUAUCAAUAUUCCCCAUACAUAGACGGAACUGAGCAGAAAAAGUGGGAAGGCAGAUCGUAAACAAAUUCGACAUGGUAGUUUCCAAGGAUGAAUAGCAUUUUUUUCAUUCGAAAAUGGGAUAAUAUAUCCUUCAGUCACGUAAUGUACACUAUAUAAGGUGGCGUUUGGUUGGGAGGAGAGAACAAAGGAGAGGAAAGUAAUUUAAAUUUUCUUUUUAUUUUCAUUGUUUGGUUUGACAAAAUAUAUAAGAAUUUAAUUUCCAUUAGAAUUUAAUAUCCAUCAUAAUUUGAAUUACACACCAAGUAGUGAAGAAUUUAAAUUCCUUGUAUGUUAGAAACUAAAGUUUCCAAAAUUACUCUUCAACUUGUUUAAUGUCAUUAAUAAUUAUUAUUUAAUAUUAUAAAUGGAUCACCGCCGGAAAGUCGUCGGACUACCGCCGGAAAGUCACUGGAAAGUUACCGGGCCACCCCGGGAUGUUGCCGGAAAGUCACUAGACCACUACCGAACGUUGACGGACGUCGCCGAACGUCGCCGGAAUCCUGCCGAACGUUGCCAUAAGGUAGUUUCCAAGGAUGAAUAGCAUUUUUUUCAUUCGAAAAUGGGAUAAUUUAUCCUUCAGUCACGUAAUGUACACUAAAUCUCUUCUCAACCUAGUGUGCGUCGGAUAUGUGAGUGUCGGGGCUCCAGUCUCCCGUACAAUCUUUAAAAAUUUUUUUGGUCAAAUUAACAGGCUGCACUCACUGUAUUUCCAUGGAUCACACUACUUCAACUAAAAGAUAAGAUAAUAAGUAUAUUUAGGAUUUUACGGAAUGAUUUUUAAGUAGUUUUUAUUAAUUAAUUAUUCAAAUUCGAAUUAAAAAAAGACUAAAAAAUUCAUCAGAAUUUUUCUCACUCCCAAUCUUUCAAAAUAUAACAAAUAAUAAGUCAUAUAAAAAAUGUUUUAAACGCAAUUUUCACUUCAAACAUAUUUCAUUUGAAGUUUAAUUAUAUUCUCCGGUGGAACCUGGAUAAGUUGAAACAAAAUUUUAUUAAUAAAAAAAAAUGUACAUCUAAUUGUCUUACGAUGGGUCAAGAACAAAAGGUUAAAGGAUAAUAUACGUGGACAUGAUAAUGCAGAAACCGAGAAUCAAAAGGGCACGAGUUUCAAAUGCUAGACAAAUGAAAGAGACGUGUGAUUGCAGGUCGAUUUUCUUCUCAUCACUAGCCACUAGCACACAUCCCCUUAAUCAAAAUCUUUUUCAAUAUUGUUUAUUAUAUAAAUGGAUAUUGGUAGUGGUUGAACUUCUAUUAUUUAAUUAUGUUGUCAUUUUCCAUCACUACAACAACAGAUGAUUCAUGUAGGAUCGGUCAAUAAUUGUCGCCCAAUGUUUUUGUCUUUUUCAUAAUUUAGUUAUUUUUGUUCAUAUGUCUGACGAAGAAGUUUUAAUUUUGCAAGAGGAAUUCAAGUUGAUAAGACCUUGUCGACUUGUCUUCUGCUGAAGAAUCUUGAAUAAUCAUGCCAAAUUCAAAAAGUGGCAAAAGCAAAAGGCUAACUUCUUAAUGAAUUCAAUAUUAUUAUGAAUUUGGUGCUAGCUCAAUCUUGAAAAUGAUCCAAAAAUUAAAAAGUAAACAUAUAAUAAUCACAUCUACAAAUGUACAUUAUUAGUGAGUCAUUGAUGAUAUAUCACGAAUUCAUUAGCUGAUUAAUUAAAGAUACCACGAAAAUAUUAUAUCAUUAGCUGGUCUAAAAAAGUAGUCAAUAAGAAAAUGAAAGGUAAAUUCAUAAAUUUCAGCCGGAAAUUUUUUUUUAAAAAAAAAGGGACCAAUAAUUGUAGGAAAUGGCUAGCUUCUUAUCCUCUUCACAAAAGAUUAAAUCCUCUUGAAAAGGUUUGUUACUGAAAUACAUAUUAUAUUACACCAACACUCUCUAUUACCAUAUGAAUUUAGAUCUUCCCCUAACUUAAUAUUUUAUAUAAUGUUGUAGGAAUAAUCUUCAUCACCAGAGAUUAGGAUCUUCUCCUAACUUAAUAUCUCAUAAGUGUUGUAUGAGAUUAUUUAGCACAUGUCAUUAUAUUUUUCUAAAGCUAAGAUUUAAUUUACUUUAUACUUUCCUUAUUAAACAUUAAAACCAAUAAUUUUCUAGGCUAAGUAAAACCCUGAAAUUCAAGUGUGCCGCUUUCUAGCUAACCAAACUGCUGCUUCUUUCUCUACCGGGUUUUUUUUUUUUUUUUUUUUUGCCACAAACUUUAAACUUAGGUAUAUAUAAACUUGAGCAAAGAAGCAUUAUUGGCAAUUAAUUCUUGUAAGAAUUGUUUAUGUAAUGGAAUCAGACUAGAACAGAAUGCAUUAUUGUUCGAUAUACGUAGUCUACAAUAACAAUUGAAGACACCUGAAGAUAAUAUCAAUUAUAGACAAUUUUUAUUGCAAUAUAUUCAAUGCAUUGUUGCUAUCGCGUGUCUGUAAUUAAUUUUACAUAAAUUAAGCUGAUAUAUCUCAUUUCAGUGUACUAAUAAUUAAGUUGAACGUUGAUGCAGCUACUGCUAUUUCCAGGAACACAGCUUUUCUAGGAGCCAGUAGUCGUAAUGUGAGAGGGGAGAUUAAUUAUGGCAGUAGCUAUCUAAAGUAAAAUUUUGGAGAUAUUGAAUUCGUUGAAGCAGAAGCAAUGACAUUUGAGAUCGAAAUAUGCAAACGGCACGGGUCUAUUUCCAUUAAUUAUUGAAUCAGAUAUUCAGAAUGUUGUCAAUCUUGCUGCAUCACUUGAAAGUACUAGAAAAUAGAUUCUUUGAGUGAUCUCUGAUAUUUAAUUGUUGGCUAGACAACUGGCAAUUUCAAAUUUGUAUUCAUUCCUAGAAUAUGUAACGUGGAAGUUCAUAGAUUAGCUAAACUUGCAGUUAGCUAUCAGAAAGCCGUAUUGUUUGGAUUGAGAAUAUUCCUAUAGAUGUAAAAUCUUAUCAUUUUUAAAGAAUUUUUUACUUUGAAAGUAAAAUAAUUAAGGGCCAUCUCUAUCGUUGUUAGGGAUGGCAAAAUCCUCCACGGGUUUGGGGCCCCAUGGAGCCCCACCCCAAAUGGGGAAAAUUUUGAAUAAUUUUUGGGGAAUGGGGUGUGGAGUGGGGAGAAAAUAAUCCCCAAAUUCUUAAUGGGGUGGGUUUUGGUUUUGUACUCCCCACCUCAAUCCCCAUUAUAUAUAAAUAUGUUUUUAAUUCUUAUUUAAUAAUUUUUAUUUUAUCAAUUAUAAUGUCAAUUAAUAAUUUUUUUUUUAAUUUUUAUGCAAUAUAAACAAGAUAUGAAUGAAAGAAAAUCCUAUAAUAUUUUUCAACUCUGAAACAUUGUUAUAUUUUUUUUUCUCUUUUAAGGUGCUACGCUCUUUAAAUAUUUUUCACUUUUAAUAUCAUUUUAAGAUAUUGUUUCAAACUUUUAGAUAUUUUUUUAAAAGAAUUUAAAUACUUUAUAAUAUGAUGAUGAUUUUAUUUUAAAUCUCUAAUUUUUAACUUACUAAAAUAAUAUAUUUAUACAUAUUAUAAAAUAAAUAAAUGGGGAAUGGGGUGGGGAUGGAUAAAUCAUUCCCCACAUGGGGAUUCUCCAUCCCCACUCCACUAAAAUUAUUAGGGAAUGAGGUGGGGAAUGGAGACAAAAAUUUCUAACAGGGUGAGGAAUGUGGUAGGCCUCCCCACCCCCACCCCACCCCAUUGCCAUCCUUAAUCGUUGCGAAUUGCAAUUCUCAUAGACUAUGCGGUCCACAUUAUGAGUUUUAAAUUCUUGCAUGAUUAAUCACCCACAUGAGCAUGCUCCACCAACCUGCCACAUCAUGUUACCACUUCUUCCAAUCUGUGUAUAUAUACACGCACACACACCAGUAUGGCCUCCAUGCAAAUUACAAACGCAGUAUCUAAUAUUGUUUGUCACUGGCCAGAAACAUGAAUAUUAAAGCCUUCUUUGUUCUCUCCACAGUGCUCUCAUUGCUUCUCUUGGUAUGUAUCAUUUGAUCAGUAAUAAUGUUAGGUUAAUCACAAAUUCAUUACAUAAAAUAUUUUGUACAAAAUUGAUAACACAAAUGUACAGUAUCGAUGUGAUGAGAACACCACACAGCCCGAUCAUUAUUUUGUAUUUCUAUUCAACCAAUACUAUUUUAUCACAUCAGCUUUAAGAGUAGCUUAAUUAUAGCUAGCUCUAGCAUUACUCGUUUUGAUUCAAAUGAUUUUCGAAUUUUUAUCAUUCGCAUGGUCAAUAUAUAGUUCCUCUUUCUUUUGUUUUUCCCCCUCUUAAUUGUUUUCCUUGUGUGCAGUUUGCCAACAUGAUAGAUGCGAGAAAAGACCUGAGAGAUUAUUGGAGAACUGUCGUGAAAAAUCAAGACAUGCCUGGGGAAUCAACUCAAGGUCUCAUUCCUGAAGAUCAAGCCUCGACCGUCUCUAAAACCACUGCCUAUUGCCAUACACAUGAAGAUUCUGAGCACACCAUGGAGAAGCCUUUUGUCAAUAAGAACUUUGAGCUGAUGCCUGAUGUUUCAAUCUAUGACAACGGCGUUAAGCUGACGAAACAAAAGGCUUUUGUCAAGGACCUCGAGCUAAUGCCUGAUGUUUCAAUUUAUGACAACGGUAUUAAACCAAAGGAUAAGCAGAGAUCCUUCGCCAAGAACUUCGAGCUCAUGCCUGAUGUUUCAAUUUACGACAACGGUAUUAAGCCAACCAAACAAAAGGCUUUUGCCAAGCACUUCGAGUUCUUGCCUGAUGUUUCAAUUUACGACAACGGUAUUAAGCCAACCAAACAAAAGUUCUUCGCCAAGGACUUCGAGCUCAUGCCUGAUGUUUCUAUUUAUGACAAUGGUGUAAAGCUAGCCAAACAAAGGUUCUCCGCCAAGGACUUCGAACUCAUACCUGAUAUUUCAAUUUAUAACAAUGGUGUAGAGCUAGCCAAACAGAAGGCAUUCGCCAAAGGCUUCGAGCUCAUGCCUGAUGUUUCAAUUUAUGACAAUGAUAUUAAACCAUCGAAGAAGAGUUCAUAUGCCAAGGACUUUGAGCUGAAGGCUGAUAUUUCAAUUCAUGAACCGACCGAACAAAAAUAGGUUAUUAGCAGUACGGAUCCGCAGCCAGAUGCUACAAUUUAUCAUAAAUAAAUAGAUGAUCAUGCUUGCAAUCAGGCGCAGGAUGGAGUCUCUUACCAUAUUUAAUGUUCUAGAAGAGUAGCCACAUAUAUGUGACACUGCUUUCCUUGUUUGUGUGUGUUGUCAAAAGCGCUGUUUGUAAAGUAAUGUAAUAAGUGCUGAAGUAACCCAUGCAAUAAAAUCAUGUCAUGCGUCUUUAAAUUUUUUUUUUUUUUCUCCUCUCUCUCUUAAACAAUCUUAUGAUAGAUUAUUUACAAGUUAUAAUUUAUAAAGGGAGAAACUAUAUUAAAAUAAUGCUUUAUACAUAAAUAUUCUAUCCCUUAACCUCGUAUAGCUAAUUAAGUUUGUAUUUUUUUUAUUUACAACGACAUGCUUAGAUGUUUAAAUUUUUUUUUUCUUUUUAAAGGUAAGAGGGUUGGGUCAAUCAAAAUUAAUUUUUUGAACCUGAUCUCUCUAAGAUUCAAAUUUAGGUGGCUAGCUAACUAAAAUUACUUGAAACCACUCAGUUGGGUCUCUAGGGGCCUUGGAUGUUUAAAAAUUGCAUUUUGAAUUGUUAUUCAGAUGGAACAAUAUAAUUAACUUUAAUUUCAAAGUCAAUUUGGCCCUAUUUGGUUUUGAGAUGCUGUAACUUUUAAACUAAUUUUUGGGGAAAAAAAAGUUAUAACCUUAAAAUAAAAAUUAAUAGUGUGUGGAAAAUAUGAUUUUUAAAUAAUAAUUUUGACAAAAUAUCAAAGAAAUAUUAUUUAAAUUAUUAUUACCAACCAAACAAAAAUAGGUUUUUUAUUAUACAAAUGCAAGAUCAAAUCAACUUAAUUUUUGAGUUACAACAACUAGUACUUACUAAACACUUUGAUGUCAAUACCAAAUAGGCCUCUUUUUUCCUCUCCCUCUCUAAUUUGUAAGGCUACCCAACCAUAUUUUAUCUAAUAUUCAAUUAUUAUAUUAACUAGUUUUAUUUUCUUAUGAUCACAUAAUAUCUUUUUUUUUUUUUCAAUAAUCUGAAUAGAUAAUGGUUUUAAAGCUCAAAAGUAGAUUUGAUUCUAAAUAUUUACAAAUUGACAAAAAAAAAAAAAAAAACUGAUUCACAUUUGCAGAAGAAGGUAUGUACUUGAACGCCAUGAUGGUAUAUAAUUAAAUUUAACUAUUGUUAUAUUUUUAUUUAUUAAUCACUAAUUAUUCACGAUGAAUUUUAUUUGAAUAAGUUCAUAUCAUGAUAGAAUCUUAAUUCACAAUAAUAAUUUAUUUAUAAAUAAAAAUUAAUAUUAGCCAACUUAAAGUAAUGUUUAUCAUCCUUGCAAUAAUUUUAUUAAUAAUUAUUUUAUAAAAAAAUAAUUUACCAAAUUAAUCCUAAAAGUAAAAUAAUAUCAUAAAAAAAUUUUACUGUAAAAAUUUUUAUACUACUUUUAAGGCUAAUUUGAUCAAGAAUGGAACUACUAGCACUCCUUCAAAAUCGUUUUAAGAGCCCUUUUUAAAUACACUCAAUCAAAUAAAUGAAAAAUUAUAUCACUUCUAAAAACAACCAUCUUUAUUCCACAAUUGUCCUUCAAUCUUAUCUCUCAUAAAAUGAUAAAAUUACAAAAAUAAAAAUCUUUUUGUGGAUACUAUUGCAAUAAUCAUUAGCAAUCUUCACAAAUUUGAUUAACAAGUAUGGAAUGGUAUGUAACUUUAGAUUUCUAAAUUUUAACUUUUCUUUAUGUUUUGCAACAAAUAUACCUUCUAUUUUAAUAUAUGAUACCUAUUAAUUUAAUUUUUUUCAAAUAACAAAACUCACUUGUUCAAACAAACAAUGAGACCAAAAAAAGCAAGGUAAAAAAAAGUGAACAAAUAAAAGGUAGAACUACUUGACACACAAAAACUUAAAAAAAAAAUGAAAAAGAAGAGAUCUAGUAGAAGAAGCAUGAGUAUAAAAUAAGCCAGGCAAAAGAAUCAUAUAUUUUCGACAAAUUCCAUGUCAAUGUCCUUUUGGACAAAAUUUUUAAUGUUAUCUAUUUGAAUAAUGAUGGUGGUUGAGUUUCCACUUUCCAUUAUGCUCUCGACUGUAAGCUUCUGAUGCGUCUUCUAAAAUAAUUCUAGAUAUUUUAUUUUAAAUUUAUUGUAAUUUGUAAGUUACCCUUUUAAUUGCGGUUAUCAUGUAAACAAUUGUUGCCAAAUCAUAAACAAAAUCCUGAGCCGACGAUAAUGGGACGGCUUUGAUCCAUGAUCCACUUAAUCUAAAUCUAAAUUUAUCAUAUUUGGAUCAGUAUAAAAUGAAUUUGGAGUGGGUACAUAUGAAUCUAGAUGAGUAAAUUCAAAACAAAUUUAAAGCAGGUAUACAAAUCUAACUUAAAAUUCGGAUCCAUAGCCAUAUCUAACUAGAAAUCUUUUAAUUUAAUUUAAUUUUUAAAAGUAUUAAACUAUCGAUGGUUUAAUACUUAUACCUAGCUUACUGAAAUCAAUACGACAUUUAUAAGAUACAAUAUAUUAUCAAUUUUAUAUUAAAUUCAAAGUAUUCUUAUUAAUUUUAUUUAAGAUGAAUUAUGUGUUUUAGUUGAUAGUAAGACGUUUUUUCUCAAAUAUUUUUGUGCUCUUAUUAUUCUUAUCAAGCUUUAAAGUUUAAUAAAAUAAAUUUAUUAAUAUUUUGUAAUAAUAAUAAAAUUUUAAAAUAAAAAUUAAUAAAUUCAAAAUGGAUUUGUAGCAUAUUUGAACCUUUAUUUUAAAUUUAAAUUUAGAUAUGGAAUAAAAAUCAUAAACCCAUAACGAAUUUAGAAUAAAUAUAAAUCUCAAUUUUUAUUAUUAAUCAAGAAUUAGAACAUAAUAGAUCCAGCUGAUAUAUGCCCCAUUAUCAUCCCUGUCACUGAUGAAAAGAUAUCGGAAAAUAAGCAUGAGUUUAAUAAGCUAGACAAUCAAAGAAUCAUAUAUAGCAAUGAUUGAUUCUUUCUUGCUAUCCUUAUGAAAUCUUUCUCAAUGUCUUUUCUACGAAAUAUUUUUCAAUGUCUUUUUCGAAAAUAUCACCCUUCAGCCAAUGACUUUGGCUGAUAUUUCAAUUCAUGAACCAACCGAACAAAAAUCGUUUGUCAACAGUAUGGAUCUGCAGCCAGAAGCUACAAGUUAUCAUUAUUAAAUUGGUGAUCAUGCUUGCAGUCAGGCGCAGGACAGAGUCUCUUACCAUAUUUAAUGUUCUAGAAGCGUAGCCAUAUAUAUGAAACGUUUUACUUUGUUUUUGUAUGUUGUCAAAGACUCAGUUUUAAAAGUAAUAUUGUAAUAAGAGCUCAUUUGGAAGUGUGGUGAGGUAGUUGGGUUAUCAAAAUCUAAUUAUUAAGAUGUUUGUUAACAUUUAUAAUUGAGCUUUGACAACUUAAUAAAUUUUUUUUUCUCAACUUCUAUUCUACAGUUAUAACUUUUACUCCACAGCAACUACAGCACUUCACUUUCAAACACACCUUAUAAGUGUUGAAGUGUCUCAUGCAAAAAUUCACAUAAGUACUGCAAUGUCUGCAGGAGGGUCUUCCAACUUCAUGGACUGGCCCAAUUAAGGCCUGAGAGGGGCUUAAAUUUUUUUAAAAUUAAGCCCAUAAAACCCCUUCUAAUUAUUAAGUCCAAUACUAAUAUAAUAAAUAAUUUGGGCUUUUCUCAACAACAAAAAAAGUAUUUUGAGCUUUUAAAUUAAAUCCAUUUAAAUAAUAAAACUUUUUGAAUUUAAUCAAAUUCUAAUUUAAAACUAACUUACAAAACUCAUUGUUUCAUAUUAAUAAUAAAAAAACUUAACGAAAUAAAAAAUACCAAAAUCAUGAAACUAUGAAUCACCAAAUCACAAAGACUGGCCACCGCCACUGCCGAAUGUUUCCAUUCCUGCUCCUAGUCUGCCACCAACUCGUUGUUAUCUGUCGCCGCUAUCGCUGAGCCUUUCAUGAGUUUCGUCCUUACUAGAUCAGUCAUAGAUUGAAACAGGUAUUGUGCUUGAAUGGUGUUUUGAAGUUUGACUAAUGAUUUUGGCUGAAUGAAUGUUCUGCAUUUCUCUAACUUCGUUCAUUAAUUCUUAUUCUGAUAGCUAUAUACAAAACUCCAAAAGUAAAAGUUCAUUUGUCAAAAGUGAGCAAUUCUUUAAUAUUAAAAUUGAAUGGGAAAGUGGUGGGAUAGUAGGUGCUCUGUGAAAUGGUGAAAGUGGUGUAUAAUUUAUUAUAUAAAAGCAAUCAUUUUGUUAAUGCAAAUAAAUGAGCAAUUAAAAAAAUAAAAUUUGCAAUCAUGUAUCUUUCCCGUGAACCCCAUUAAGUGUAUUGUAAAAUAAUAUUUUUGUAAUAUCGAAUUUGUAUUAAAUUCAUUAUUAUUGUUCCGUUGUUGUAGUUAUUUUGUUAGGAUUUAGCCUUAUUGUGAAAUUUAAUCUAGUAAUAGUUUUAUUUGAUUUGAAACAAAUAUGGAAAAAAUUUUAAAAAAGAAACCACAGCUCCCAUCUCCUCUAGAGGGAACUAGUGAUGGUUCAUAUGAAGUUAAUUUAAAAAAUUUGCUUGAUGACCGUGGCUUACGACCUUGUAUUGAUAGUUAUAAUUGUAAUAUUUGAGACCAAGUUCGAAGAACAUACUUACAAAGGGGUCCUUUUCAACCUAAGGGCACAAUUUUAAAUUUGAGAAAUUUAGAAAUCAACAAUGAUGAUUUGUUUCGGAUUGGUUCAAAGAAUUUGGUUCUUGGCUGGAAUAUAAUACAAAAGAAGAGUUUGCAUAUUGUCUUUUUUGUUAUCUUUUCAAAGAAGAUAAUGGUGAUCAAGCGGGUAGUGAUACUUUUAGUGGGAAAGAAUUUAAAAAUUGGAAAAAGAAAGAAAAAUUAAAUAUUCAUGAAGGAGGUGUCAAUAGUGCCCAUAACCGAAUUAGGCAUAAAUGUGAAAGGUUGAUGAAUCAGAAACAACAUAUUGUAACAUUUUUUGCAAGACAAUCUGAGAAAACUCAAAGUGAAUAUAAAACUCGCUUGAAUGCUGAUGUUGAUUGUAUUCAGUUUCUCUUAAAUGAAGGGGUAGCAUUUCGUGGGCAUGAUGAGUUUGAUGGUUCAAGCAACAGAGGGAAUUUUCUUAAGCUUUUACGCUUCUUUGUUGAUCAUAAUGAAGAUAUUAAUGUUGUUACUUUCAGAAACACUCCUCUAAAUCUGCAAAUAACAUCUCCAAAGAUCCAAAAAGACAUUGUAAGUUGUUCUGCAACUGAAACUACUAAUGUUAUUAUUAGAGAAAUGGAUGGUGCAUUAUUUUUUGUUCUAAUUGAUGAGUCUCAUGAUAUAUCUACAAAAGAGCAAAUGGCUAUUGUAUUACGUUAUGUGGAUAAGAAUUGAUAUGUGGUUGAACAUUUUGUAGGCAUUGAACAUGUUUCUAGCACUACAGCUGCCUCACUUAAAGAGUCUCUUAAUAAUAUAUUUUCAAGGUUUGGAUUGAGUUUGUCAAUGUUACAUAGGCAAGGUUAUGAUGGGGCAAGUAAUAUGCAGGGUGAGUUUAAUGGUUUAAAAACGCUCAUUUUAGAGGAGAAUGAAUCUGCUUAUUAUGUUUACUGUUUUGCUCAUCAACUUCAGUUGGCUCUUAUUUUUUAGGCAAAAAAGCAUGAAGAAGUUAAUUCUUUGUUCAAUUUAAUUUCAAUGCUAGUUAAUGUUCUUGGAGUGUCAGUUAAACGUCGUGACAUUCUACAUGAGAAACAUGCUCUUGCAGUCAUUGAAGCAUUAGGUAAAAGCGAGAUUUCAAGUGGACAAGGUUUGAAUCAGAAGAUUACUUUAAAGCAUCUUGUUGAUACACGCUGGUCUUCUCAUUAUGGUACGUUAAUGAGCAUAAUUUAUAUGUUUCCAUCUGUGGUUGAUGUGCUUGAGAUAAUUGAAGUCAAAGGAAAUUAUGAGCAAAGAUUUCAAGCUAAAACACUAUUGAAGUUGAUGCAAUCAUUUGAUUUCAUAUUUUGUUUAUUCUUGAUGAAAAAUAUUCUUGAUAUGCAAAUGAGUUGUUACGAGCACUACAAAGGAAAGAUCAAGAUAUUUUGAAUGUUGUAAAAUUGGUUGAAGUUUAUAAGCAUAACCUUCAGAAGUUGAGAGAUAAUGGAUGGGAUUCUUUAUUUGGUCAAGAUUCGACUUUCUGUAGCAAGCAUGAUAUCGAUGUUUUAGACAUGAAUGAUUUAUUUUUAAUUCCAGGGCGAUCACGUCGUAAAGCUCAAGAGAUCACAAAUUUACACCGAUAUUGAGUUGAGUUAUUUUAUGUUGUCUUAGACAUGCAACUUCAAGAGCUAAAUAAUCGUUUCAAUGAGUCAAAUACUGAGUUGCUUAUUUGUUUGGCUUGUCUAUGUCCAAAUGAUUUGUUUGCAGUUUUUGACAAGGAAAAAUUACUUCGACUUGCUCAAUUUUAUCCUAAAGAUUUUUCUGCAAUAGAUCUUAUCGCACUUGAGAUGCAACUUGAUGUAUACAUUAUGGAUUUACAAUCUAGUGCAGAAUUUUUAGAAUUGAAAGGGAUUGGUGAACUUGCAAGGACAAUGGUUAAGACUAAAAAGGAUCAGGUGUAUCCGUUAGUUUAUCAAUUGGUUACAUUGGAUUUAAUUCUACCUGUAACUACAGCCACUGUAGAGAGAGUAUUUUCAGCCAUGAAUUUUGUGAAGAAUCAACUUCGAAACCGGAUGGGUGAUCAAUGGCUGAAUGAUAACUUAGUUGUGUACAUAGAAAAAGAUGUAUUUGCUUGUAUUAACAAUGAAGCUAUUAUUCGACGUUUUCAAAAUAUGAAAACACGUCGAGAACAAUUGAAGAAGUUUUAAAAAUGAUUAUGUCAAUGAAAUUGAAUAUUUUACUUAUUAUUUUUUCAGUUGGCUUUUAUUAUCUUGUCGAUUUUUUUUAUCAAUUUAUAUUAAGCCCCUUCUAAAUUUAUUUCCUGGGUCCGCCACUACUUCUAACUAAAUAAGAUCGUUUUUCAAAGAGAGUGCUAAUUUUGCUAACUGAUAAGAAAUUAUAUUGCAAUUUUUAAUUUCUAAAAUAAUCCAUUCAAUCUCCUUUCUACUUGAUAAAACGCCCUUAAUUAGAUGGACAAGAUUUACUGAAUCAAAUUCCACAAUCAAAGGAGAUAAGCAUGAAUCUAUCGCCGGCUUAAUGCCUUCGAGGAUAGCUUUAGCCUUUGCAAACUCAAUGUCACUAGGAAAAGAUUUCUUGUGGCUGGGCCAGCUAUAAAAUCUCCCUUGAAAUUUUCUAUUAUUGCACCCAAACCUAUAAUUCCAUUGGAGAUAUCAAUCGCUGCAUCAACAUUCAAGUUAUACCAAUGAUUAUCCGAUGGAAUCCAACUAACACCCUUCUUGGUUGGAGGGACUAGAAACUCUUGAAUUAGAGAGCCUUGAGCAGCAAUGUACGAAUUCAAAACAGCUUCAGCCUUGCAAAGAACAUUCUUUGGGUCCAUCUUUUGAUUCUGAUAGAGCGCUAUGUUCCUAGAAUGCCAAAUAGACCAUGUAAUCAUCACAAAAGAUGAGUAGUCCUUUUUUGACAGCAAAGAUUCCAAAUUCUUUACAAAGAGCAAAAUCCAUACGAGGGCUAUUCGUUACAUAAGCAGCCAAAGUUAACAACUACCACACCUUCAUCGCAAACUUAUAGCCAACUAACACAUGAAAGGUACCCUCAAUAGCACUAAAACAUCGAUGACAAUUUGGAGAAUCCACUACCUUUCGUUUCAAACGAUUAUUUGAUGUAGAGAGUAUAUUAUGUAGAGCUCUCCAGAAAAAAAGAUCUUGACUUUAGAUGAAAUGGAUAAAAGCCAAGCGGGUACCCCAAUUAGCAUAGAUAAAUGAACUUGAUGGGGAAUUAGGAUAAGUAAGGCCCUGUUUGGGAUUGAAAUUGAUUGGAUGAAACUCAAUAAGCUGCUUAUUUUAUAAUUUUUGAUAAAAAUAAUAUUUGGUAAAUUUUGUAAAAGCAACUUAUUUCAUAAUUUUCUUCAUUUCGUCGACAACUUUUAAAAGCAGAUAGAGGGGUGUUUUUCAUAAGCAGCUUAUUUACUACGUCUUUUUAAAAUACAUAUUAUAACCUUAAUAUUUCGAUAAAAAGACAAUUAUAUCGUACUUAUCCAAACCUUAAUAUAUAAAUCAUUAAAUAUUAUAUUACUGCCACGAUUUUAUUGCAAAAAAAAUUAUUGUGAAUGUAAUACAUAUUACUUUUUAUUUUAUUUAGAUUAUAUAAAAGUAUAAAUUUUUAUCAUUUUUUAUGUAAUAGAUUAGGAAGUUCUUCAGAUUUUUCUUAAUUGAGUUUUUUUUAAAUAAUUUUACAUAUUUAAGAAAAAAGUAUGUCUAAAUAAUUUAUUAAACAUAAAAUUAAAAAAAAAAAUAAAACGUAUAUCUAUUUUGGUCAUUAUAUAAUACAACAACACUUUCGUAAUAAGAUUUACCAAACUCAUGUACUCUACUUUUCAAAUUCACAGUAAUCACAACAGCACAGUUUAUCAAUAUGAGUAAUGCAUGUAAAUUAAGAUCAUCUCGUAAUCUAAGCUCUAUUAAUUAAAUUUUUAAAAAUCUUGUGUCACAUAUUUUUAGUAUAGUGUAUAAUUUAUUGUUAUGUCUUAUUUAUUAAUUCCCAAUUACCCGCUAUGUAUCUUACUCAAAGAUGUUUUGAUUAUGAGAGAAUUUUAAUUCAAAUACAUAUGAAAAAAAGAAAGAAAGAAAGAAAUCUGAGACCAUACUAAUAAGAGAUUUCGUUUCAUGUGAUUUUAAGAUAAAAAUUAUGAUUGAUAUGCAAACUUGGUUGCGUUUAGUAUUGUUCUUUAAAUGAUGUUUUUUGUAUUUGUUUUAUAAUAUAGAUAUGAUUAAUAUUUGAUGAAUUUAAAAUUUUGUUUGCUAUAUAGUAUAUAGUAUGAAUUUGACCACUAAAUACUGAAUAAUUAUGUUUAUAUACAAAAUAUAAAAAAAUAAAUGAAAGAGAGAGGCAACAGAGCAUAAUACAGAGACGGACCCACAACUUCAUAAAACUAUGUCAUAAAAGCAGUGGUAGUUCCUACGAACAAAGUGAAGAAUAAAGAUUUUAUGUUGUCUAAUUAUCUUCGUUAACAUUGUAAAUAGAUAUGGUUUGCUUUCAUAAUAAUAAAAAUGUCACAGUUACUGAGGCUUACCAAACACUUUUUUUUUCUAUUCUUAUAAAAUAGAAAAUGAGUGAUGAAAAACAAUCCCAAGCAGCCCAAAAUUUUUUCCAUUUUUACCCCUUUAGUCAUAGCCUAUCAGCCUCUCCAAUUAGUUGAAAUCCUGAUGAUUUAAGUGUUUAGUCUGUUUUUCAAUGAGACGUAUUUCGUUCAAACUUUUACCUUCAAUCAAUGGGACCAAAGAAAGCAGGAAAAAAAUUUAAACAAAUAAAAGGUAGAAUAGUUGACAGACAAAAUUUUAUAAACAUUUUGAAACAACCAACAUUAAAAAGAAAUUAAAAAAAAAAAAGAGAAGAGAUCUAGUACAAGAAACAUGAGUUUAAUAAGCUAGAAAGUGAAAAAUCUUACUUAGCUUUUCAACAAGAUCCUUUUCAAUGUCCUUUUCGACAAAAGAGAGAUUUUAACUAUUUCCUAGUUAUAACAAAAGAGAGAUUUUAACCUUCUUUUCUUAAUUGGUUGGAGCUUGUUUUUUCUUGCUGCAAGAAAGAGUUGUGUAACCUCGUUGCCAUGAUAUGCUGGAGGAUCUGGCACCGGAGGAACGAGAAAGUUUGGAAUAACAAAGUCUGUAGUGUGCGUCAUGUCCUUAACUCUGCUGGAAAUUAUUUGUUUCAAUGGCAAACUGCGAGGCAGAAAUCUGAGGUCCAUAAUGCUACUUGUUUCCAAGGCUGUCAUGGGGCAAUUUGCUGGACACCUCCUCAGUUAGGUUGGCUUAAGUGUAAUGUUGAUGCCGCAACAUUUUCAGCUCAGGGAAAAGUGAGUUAUGGAGGGGUCAUUCGCAACUCUGAUGGGCUUUUUGUGGCAGCUUGCUGUGCAUCUGUCCUGGGUAGUUUUGGUGCAAGGGAUGCUGAAGCGCUUGGUGUGCGUGAGAUCCUCAGCUGGAUUAAGAAGCGGCAUUUGUCUUGUGUUGUAGUAGAAUUGGACUGCAUUCAGGUUUUUAAAGCUCUCACAGCAAGCUAUUCUUGUCCUAAUGGGUAUGGUCUUAUUCUUGAUGAUUGUCUAGCUUUAGCUAAGUCUAUAGGAGAUAUUGAGUUCUCUUUUGUUCGAAGGUCUGCGAACACUGCCGCCCAUGUUACUGCUCGGGUGGGGGGUUCUUUGUCAGGCUUUGAGGAGUGGAAUCAUGUUCCACCUCCUUGGUUAUUUACUUCUCUGUAAUCUUUGCCCUUUAAUGAAGUUUCCAGUUUCAAAAAAAAA